AUCGUUCUAAAAGUACACAGAUUAAAAAUAUCUACUUUUAAAAAUUCAGCCAAUCAUAAAAUAAACUACAUAAUAUAAAUAAUUAUAAAAUUUUAAGGUAAUCUAUAUUAUUAAUUGGGAAUCACUAAAUAUUAAAUAACAUUAUGAAGAGUAAAAUAUUACAAAAAAUACCAUUGGUUUUUAGUGUUUUCAAAUAACUUCAUUAAGGGUACAAUAGUAAUCACAAAAUUAAUAUAUUUAAAUGAAAAAUAGUUUAAUUCUUUUAAAUAAUUAUUAAUUUCCAAAAAAAUAAACUAAUUUUCUCUCUCUUAUUAAUUAUACACGAAAAUUUGAAAUUAAUUUUUAAAAAAUUGUUAACCAAUAAGAAUUGAAAAACUAAGAUUUUAUCUAAACGUAAUAAACUAUUCUAUAUCAAAAAUAAAAAGAAAAAUAAUAUCAUUUUAAUUCAAAAUUAAAUACACUAUCGUUUAAAAGAUUUAUCAAUGGAGGACUUUAAGAUUAAAUUUAAAAUUUCGUAAGAAAACUAAAUACAAAUAUUUUAAGAUUCAGUUUUGUUAUAAUAUUUUCACAAAUUUUAAAAUAUAAAACAAAAUAUUAUUUCAAAAUUUCUAAAAUACGAUAUUAGAUAUUAACAACUAUUUAUAUUUAUGAUGAAAUAAACUCAAAUAAUAAUAAAUUUAAAGUAAUUAUCAUUAUAGCCUUCGUUUAGAGCAAGUUUGAUAAAUAUCUAACAGUAGAUUGUAUAUAUUAAUUUCUAAAUUAUUUUGCGUUUUAUUUUUUGUUUUUCAACCGGAUCUUCCUUAAACAAAUCUUUAAUAUAUUACACACUGUUUUCAAAUAAUGUAAACUAAUUAUAUGUUUUGAAUUCAAAACAAAUUAUGCAGAAAUAGCAUAUACCUUUUAGAGAUGUAUCUCAAAUUUUUAUUUUUAGUCCAAAAAUCAAAUUAAUUAUGAUUAAACAAUAAAAAGAAGAAUAUGAAAAAUUUAGCAAAGAAAGAAACAUUAAUAAAUUUGUUAAAAUAUAUUUGUAACUUUAGCAGCAAAUAUAUUAAUCUGCAAAACUCACAGUAUGUAUUGUAUGGUAUUUAAAAGUAAGCACACAAGAAUUUGGAACAUGAUUUCAAUGAAAUGAAAUGAGAAUAGGAAUUACGAGACGGGAUGAGAGGGGAACAUAAAUUAAAAAUCAAACUAAAUACCCAAUUGGUAUGAGUUCAGGCUAUGAGCACUAUAUAAAAUAAAUUUGUUUAUAUUCAUAACCCUGUACGUAAGUUUUCAGUUACACAUAUUCUAUUUAUGCCGAAUACUGGACCUUCAUAUUUUUAUUUCACGUAUACGAGACGGGUUAUGGGACCAAGAAUUUAUGACGGAUACAGGACGGGAUAGGUUUCCCGUUCUAAAAUAGUUACGUCUAGCUAAUAUACAUGAAAUAACCAAACUCAAACCGAAUCUAUAUCCUAUUUAAAACAUGUAAUCAAACUAUUAGAAAUGUUUUGAUUAGUUUAGAAAAUAAAAAAGUAACAUCAUUUAACUUUUGAAACUAAAUUAUAUCUUAGUUUUGUCUUAAAUAUAAUUUCGCACGUACGUGUAGGUACGGAUCUUAAAAUAUAACUAUGCACUAACGCAACUGAAUUUCGUUCAUUACUCUAAUUUUAUAAUAUUUAUACUAUUAUAACGUUCACUAACACAACAAAAUAUUUUAUAUUUUUAAAAUCUAUAUAACAAUUUCUAUAAAAAUAUCUCUGCACGUACGUGUGAAUCCAGAUCUAAUACACUAAAAUAUAUAUCAAAGAAACAACGAAAUAAUCUAUAUUGAAUUAAAAUUUGUUAGAACUUUUUUAAAAAUAUGAAAUCCCGCACAUAUGUGCGGGUCAUGAUCUAGUAUAUAAUUUGCAUAGAAACUUGAAAAUGACUCUAUUGUGAAACAAAAAAGUUUACCCAAAACGACUUAUAUUAUAUUAUGAAACAGAGGGAGCACAAACCUGGUUGAUGAAAAGAACUUUAAGAUUAGGAGAAUUUUGUAGCAAUCCCAUUAGUGAUUCCAACCAGUCUAACUCAGCUAAAAGUGUUACUUUACACUCCAUUAGCUUGGAAAAGAUAUUAGCGUUACACCAAACAACCUACAAUAAUGGCAAUAACACAUAGAUAACUGCUAGUUAUAUAAUGGGACAAUAAAAAAAAAAAAAGUGAGGUUGAAAUAAAGCUACACACCGUUGCAGUUCUCAAAUCUAGUUCGAAAUUCAUGACUGAGGAAAUAGAUCUCAUAAACUUAUCAUCAGGGUAACUUAAAAAACCGAUAUUUGCUUUAUCAAAACAAGGCUUGUUCUCAAUCGAGCAAGAAUCUUCCGAAUAAUCUCUGUAGAAAAAUUUCUUUAAAGCCGGGGAAUCUAUAACCAAAGAUCCUCCUAUUCCUUCGUUGUGCACUCCAAAAAAAUUAACAUUAACAUAUAUCAAGCAUUCCAAAGAUGUGACUUUUAUAUUGAAAUUUCUAACGUUGUCCUGGUGAUGUCUUUUUACCCAUAAAAGUUUGAGAAUAGGACAAUUCGAUAAAAGCCUAACAAGAGAAUCUUCAUCUUUAUACACCACACAGUAAAGGGAAAUGCUUUUAAGGGAUGAGAGGCAAACCCGAGAAGGAUCAUCCACGAUAAUAUUGUUGGAAAGAUGUAGUUCAACAAGUGUAUCACAUGUGUAAAGGCUCUUAGACAAACUGGCCGGUUCCGCGGACCAUGUGAUCAUCAACGUUAGCUCGCGCACCCUACGAGCAACAGCAAUUGCAAUCCACUUUCCCACAUCAACAUGAUCUCCAGAAGGACCGAGUUUUAUCAGUAAUGAUUCUAAUACAUGUGCCUUGUGGAGUUGUAACGACUUGUCAAUAAACCGCCAUAAACACCGUUGUUGUUGCUCACUUUUGUCAAAUAAACGGCCAAGUAAACGACCAAAUAAACCACCAGUAAAUACUUUGUGAGUAUCAUCAUAGUACCCUAGUCUUGGCACCAUCGUCCAAAUAGACCGCCAUCGUUUUGACAAAAUCAUAGUGGCCACUACAUCUUUCGUGCCCGGGAGAAACAACAAUAUAUGCAUGAGCAAAUCAUCCGGCAACGCACUGAUCCUGUCUUCACCUCUAAUUCUCUGACAACAACGUUUGGCUCUGUUCUUCACAAAUCGAAGCCAUGUUUGUUGUAAUUGUAUAGAUAUCGCAUAGGCAACAUGCAUUGAGCUGAAAAUUAAUAAAAGUCGUCCCAACAUCUUUUCUAGCUGAAACUACACCAAUGUUUCUUCUUUCUCUCGUUAAUAUUUAUUAGGGUUUAGGGUGAGAUAUUAUCUCUAACCUUUUUUUUUUUUUGUAAGAUAUUAUCUCUAACUUUUCUUAUAUCUUUUUGUAAGAUUCUUUAUUUUCUACUUUCUCUCGUUUCAAUUUAUUUUUUAACACAAAAUAAAUAAAUAAAAAAAUCAAAUUUCAUAUGCUUAAUAGGUCAAAAUAUUAAGAAUUAAAUUGAAUUAAUUAAUCACCGCACGCAUUCCAAUUAUCCAACGCCGGAGAAGAUCAAUGUGUGUCAUUUCCUCCGGCGAGAAAACACAAACAGAGGAAAAAAAAAGUGUCUUCUUUUUUCGUCCGCGAAUAGAAAAAAUGUCAGCUUUGUGUCCUGUCUGCAAUCUCACGCUUCCUCUCUCCCUAAUCCAAAGGUAUCAACAACCCCUAAUUUCUUCUCUCUUUUCUAUAUGAUCCUUAGUUUCAUCCAUCAUGGUCUUGAUGUGUCUGUCUGGUUAUGGCGGAGGAUUUGACUCAGCCAUGUGAAUUCCCACUUCGAAGACGAUGAAAUCGAUCCACAAAUCGAAAGUGACCACCAUUUGGCUCUGCAACUCGCUUCUUCUUCUUCUGACCCUUCUCCGUCUUCCUCUGCGUCAUCAUCUGUAAUGCUUUCUUAAAACCCUUGAAUCUUCUUUCCUCUCCUGCGUUUGGUUGCGUAAAGAAAACCCAUUUGACAAAGUUGUCUCUUUGGUGCAUUUACAGACCAAGAGUCAAUUCUACAGUGUAGGUCAUGGUGGUUUGAUUUGUUUGCUGAGGAACUGUUUGGAAUCAGAACUGAGAUCGAAAUCGAAACCUUUAGAGAGUAGUACUAGUUUACUAUCAGGCUUUGUUGAUCAUUUUCAAUCUUCAAUGGAGGAUAAAGGUUGGGGAUGUGGAUGGAGGAAUAUUCAAAUGCAAUGUUCUCAUUUGCUUUCUUGUAGAGUAGAAGCUAAAAGAGUUCUCUUUAGUGGCUCUAAUUUUGUUCCUGAUAUUCCUUCGCUCCAGCGAUGGCUUGAGUUAGCUUGGAGCAAGGGGUUUGAUGUUUCUGGAGCUCUCCAGUUUGAUAAUCGAAUCUGUGGUUCCAAGAGAUGGAUUGGAACUACUGAAUGUGCUGCGUUGUUACGUUCUUUCGGGUUAAAAGCUAUGAUUGUUGAUUUUGCUCCUAAGAAGUCUAAGUCAAUGUAUCUUUCAGUUCCUGGUUCUGCUAUUGCUCCCAAGGUAAAGUCAUAUGGUCCCAUGGACAGAUAUGUGGUUAAAAAGGGGGGAAGUGGGAAGGGAAAAGCAGUUGACUCUCAUAGCUCUAAUUCUUCUAGGAUCAGCAAAGGAGCGGUUUUAAUGGAAUGGGUUUGGAAUUACUUCUCAGAUAACAGAUUAAAUGUUUCUUCCGGUGUUCAUAUGACGAACAAAGGGUAGGUUGUUCUGUUUCAGUUCUUGGUCUUGGAAUGUCUUUUAUAACUUCAAAACACAUUACAUAUAAGGUUUGUGAGUUGAUGUUAUCGUGUGUACUGCAGGCCCUUGUAUUUCCAACAUGAAGGGCACUCGAGGACAAUUGUUGGGAUUCAGAGACGGUUGCUAGGAACUACAUUUACUCCUCAGUACAAUCUCCUGAUUUUAGAACCGGCUGAUGUUAGUAUACUGUUCUUUUUAAUGAUUAGGGAACUCAGUGACGACAUGUCUAUGCAUGAACAUCAGCUUUUACUUGAAUCUGAUUAAUGAUUGUGAGACUUGAAUGUGAAUGCAGUUUACUAGAGCUAUAGAGAAAGCGCUUAUAGAGAAGAGAGGAUGGGAGGGAUAUCUUAAAAGAGGAGCUCACACAUUGACGAGUCCCGAGUAUCAGGUCUCAGCUUCGAACUCUGAUAUCCAUCAUUGCUUUGUUAUUUGGCAAAAAGUUGAGUGAUUUGAUCUGAGUGUGAUUGGGAAAUGUUAUAAUGAUAUAUACAUACAGAUGUUGUACGUUGAUAAUGGAAUUGCUGAUGGAGAGGAGUUGGAGAAGCUCAAGACCAUUGAUAGUCACUUUGUUGAAUUCUAAUUGCUUUCAUAAAAAUUGAAGAAUGGUUCUUGGAGAUUCGUAGAUUGAUUGCAGUUGUAUACUUCUGUAUCAUAUGCAACAUUUUGUAAUUGCUAAGGAAAAGCUCAUAUAACAUUGACAUUUUAUAUAUUUUGCAUCAGAGUGGAUUGUUUAUAUAAUUCAUAAGCAUUUCUCUUUUUUCAAGAAUAUGUUAGAAGUCAGACUACUAAGACUUUCCGAAUGAAAGAUUAUUAUGGUUUGGAUGAUAAACAAGUUUCAACAGUCAAUAUUUUGCUUUGAAUUAUUCAGAGUUCAGACACUAUGUUUCUUUGAACAGUACCAACUUUGGAUUGUUGUGAAAACUACUAAGAGCAUAUAAGAUGUGGCUAUUUAUUAGAAACAUUGAGAAAGACUAAAAUGUGAAAAUACAGAAUGGCAAUUUGAGAUUUUUGUCCAGAGAUAGCAUCUUCAUCACCACACCUAAAAAUAGAAAUGUCUUUUUUCCAAAAGCACUUAAACUAGAGAGAAUGAGUCAUAAAGAAGAAAAAAAAGGCUAUAGAGCUUUUUUCGAUUCCCCCAGUUUGGUGAUCCUUUCUUCCUCUGGGAACAAAACUUUUUCAUGUGUGCCUCAAAUGAACAACAUAACCUCACUGUUGCUCUUCCAUGGACUCUGAAAAUGGUGACAUUUUAGAGGUUUUGUUGGUUAUUUAAGAGGCAGAUGCAGCCACCUUCUUCCUCACAAUCCUUUUCCGCCUAGCCUUUGGAGGUGGAGGAUCUGAAACUGAGUCCUCUUGCUUCUUCCCCAGUAGCCCUGAGACAAUUGCAUUCUUUGAGAUGAACCAUCUUGAAGAUGGCUUUGCUACUGCUUCCUCUGACGGUCGGUUGUAUGCUUUUGCCAGCAGAUCAUCUGACUGCGCCAGUGGAUCUGCCUCCACACCUAGCCAUACCUGUCUUGACUUUUCCCCUAAUUGAACAUUCAUAAUCCUGUACCACAUCCAUCCAUAUUCAUCAACGUUCUUGAUCCCCAGAAUAAAGGUUUCCUAAGUCCUAAGACAGAGUUUUACAAUACAACAUCCAAACGUCCCACAUGUCCUGUUUAUGUAUGUUAUGGACAUAUGUGGGAGAGGAGGGUGGGAGAAAGAGAGGAAUACCUCAAGGCAGUGCCGAAGAAGAGUGCAACUCCUAUGACAUCAAAGUGGCUGCUCACUCCUCUUUCAAAUCCACAUAACAGCUGAUAUCUCAAGUUCGCAUAUAUUCCAAGAAAUGCACCAUAACCAAGAGCAUUUGUGCUGAUAGAUGGGACCGUCACAGAUACUCUGUCAGAACAAAGGUACAACAAGUUAAGCAUGAGCUGGAAAAAAAAGCAGACAUGCUGCCCGAGUGAAUCAAGAGAUUUGUAAUCCUAAGAUAGAAACAGAAGAUCUGUGAUGACCUGUUCUUCUUCUUUCCUGCCAGAAAGUUUGACAACGAACCCUGGAGAGUUCCUGCUGCGAGUCCAAGAAUGGACAACUCUGCUGCCUUGUAGAAAAGAGAAUGAAAUCUCUUUUGCAAGUCGAACUCUCUAAGAGGAUAGCUCAUUUCAAAUAAAUUAUUUGGUAGCUUUUGUAGUGUAUUUUGCAGGUCAAACCGGAAUGUGUUUCCAUAGGAACGACAUGGAGCUAGCAACCAAACAGCAGCUGCAUUGCAUGCUGAUACAGUAAGAACAUUUAUAAGUGCAAGAUCCCAUUCCUCUUUUAGUCUGCAAAUCAUAGAGUAUGCAAUUUAGGACACGAAACUAGAAGCUACAAAACCUUCAAAGUUUAGGUAGAUGGACAGGAACAUACCUAUUCUUACGAUUCUUCACCUCCCACCAAACCGAGCAUCCAACCGUGGCAGCUUGCUCCAAAAGAAGUUUAUAGAGAAAUGCAGGAUCCGCCAACAUCCUACACAAGACAGUCACCUUAGUCAAGACUGCAUAUAGUCUAACAUUAUAGAAACUUAUAACUUAAGAGACAACGAAGUUUACAUGGACAGAUGGAUUCUCAGAAGAAACCCUAAAAUUACCUGCCAACAAAGGCCCUCGACAAUCCCUGAGGAAGAGCACGGGAGAUCAUUCUAGUUGUUGUAGGACGGGCAUUUAUAGCAAGGAAUUUCACCAUUUGUGCUGAACUGACCAAACCCUGCAUACAAGUUUCCGUAAGUUCAAGUAUGUCAGCAUCGCAAAAUCACCAUUUCAUAAUAACAGAAAACGUAAAGGAUAUCUCACCAUUUCAUAUGCUUGACGGAGACCAGCAGGUAAAUCCAUCAUUGUUUUUUGCCAUUCGUUCAACACAGCAUCAACAAAUUUCCUAUCAAAAAUCUGGACAAUAACAUAAAUGCUGUUACUGCGUGACACCACGACAAUAAAAUACAUGAAAAAAUCAACAGAGCACAAGCAUAAAGAUCACUUACCUCUGCGAGGAACAUCCUACGCCUAAAAAGUCCAUCAUCAUCUCCCUCAUCGCCAUCAUCAAAUUCAUCAAAGUAAUCAUCAUCAUCACCAUUAUCGUCACCUCCAUCGCCACCACCAUUAUUGAUACUCUUUCCAAUGUUUCCACCACCUCCUCCAGUUGCAAUCUGUAAUGAAACAUGAAAUAAAAAUUCACAAAGCUACUCUUUUCUGAUCGGUGGAAAAUAGAUUCACUGCAAACUGUUAUCUCCAAGGAAGAUAUCAUUACUAAGAUUUUCUGGAACUACUUGUCCAAGAACUUGCAUCCGCCCAUUAUCGUAACACAAUUUUCAGCUACAAUAUGAUUCAUCUCCUUGAUGUUAUCUAUAACAAUAUAAAACCUCCCACUUACUUCAUACUAAAGAAAUGAUCAACUUAUCCGGAUUAAAAUCAAGUUAUUUUUACUUAAGAGCAAAGAAGCAGGACUAAAAUCUAGCAGUUCACAAACACUGUUACUUGCUACUCAUAGUUCCCCACGAGUAGACGAUGGAAAGAAAACAAAUUCUGAACCUCCAAGAAGAAUGACCAACUCGCGACUCUCACUAACACCAACUUGAUGAACCACAACAAAAUCAAAACAGAGCGGAUAAAACAAGCAACGACAUGCUCAUGUAGCUAGACAAUAGAUAAAAGGCACAUCCUUUAGAGAGAAUUUCACCAAAGUAAUCUAAAUUCUUGCAAUUCACCAAAUAAUCUCUUAACCAGAAAGAAAAGAAAGGAGUAUGAGAGAGAGACCUCAGGGCUGGUCUCAGAAAUCUUCUGGGUCAUAUCAAGCUUCCCUUUUUCCAAAGUAACAGCUCCUACCGAACCAAAUUUCCCUUUCAUCACUGGACACAUCUGAGUACUUGCAGAGAAAGAGCCAGAGGAAGAUGGGCCUAACUCAACUCCUGAAGGUAACUGUAAGCAACGCUCGAGACCUGAUACUGAAUCAUCGACAAGAAAAGAGGACGAAGCUCUAACGAAGCCGCGACGGAGCUUACAAGGCAGAGUAACGAGUGGACGAGGGAUAGGUAAACAGGGUUUGAGAGGAGAUAAGGGUUUGGGAGCGACAACGCUCUGAAACACCAUAUGCGACAUGGCUUCACCAGGAUUAAAACCCAAGCUUUGAUUCCGAUAAAGAUUCAAGCUUUUCGGUGAUUUCUUGAAGAAAAGGCACAGAGCCUUCUUCUCUCUUAGGGCUGAGAGAGAGAAAGAGAGGAAGAGAGAGAUGAGAAGGAAGAGAGGAUUUAUCGCCAAUCAGACGAUUACAGAAACAACCCAAUCUCGCUUUUCUCUUUUUGCACCAACUCAAAUGCUUAAUACUUCUGCCUGAUUCAGAGGGUUCCAAGUCGGUUAUUGUCUUUCGUCAAAUGAAAAUAAAUCCAAGGAUUUUUCAUGAAUUUUUUUUAUAAAUAAAAAUCAAAUUCCUAUGGAUUUAGGGAAAAGGAAAACAUUUUUUUGAAUAAUAAUAUAUGCAUUACAGUGUUAAAAAAAAAAAAAAAACAUUUUUUUGGUAGGAGAGAAAGUGUCUCCCAUAAUUUAUUCAACUAAACUAAAAAAAUAUUAUAACAUGGCGUAAAAUAUUAGCAUCCUCUAACAUAAUCGAAUUGACUACAUUGAAUACAUUGAAUACAUUGGGACAAGAUUCGAAUAAACGAAAACCUAACUGUAAAAAAACAUUUUGAUACUAAAUCAGUUUACACGCUACACAGAGUAUCUUAGAGAUGUUUGUUUGAUAACAAUAAUAAUACAAACCAUUUAAUGAUGCAAAAUAAAUGAUAAAAAGACAAAAAAAUGACACAAUACAAAAAAAACUAAACACAUCAAACUCAUUUAAAAAUAUCAUGAACAGCAUCGUCCUUUUUCUCUUACUCUAUUCAAUUGGGGCCAAAGAGAUUUGAUUAUGAAUACAUUCCGCUGCUAUCUUCGUUUUGGGAUCUUCUGUGCAAACUUGGUUUUAGCCAUUCAAGAAGUCAAAAUCAAUUGGCUGGCUUCUUAUUGGAGGAUAAUUGGUUACUCGUCUCUCGGUUGCUGCAUUCUCUGUUGGUUUCACUGUUGUUGUAACAGUUUCAGGCGGAGGGGCUGUUGUAACAGUUUCUGGUGGCGCUCUUGUAACAGUUUCAGGCGUCGUUGUUGUUUGGCUAGUAUCUUCUGUGGCUACAGCUGUUUCUGUGUUUGGAGUUGAAGACGGAUCACUUUUGUCUUCCAAAGAAGUUUCCUCCUCUACGGGAGGAGGCUCAGACACUGUCUCCUUCACGGGUCCAUCCACAGGUGCUGCUGCAGUUUCAGAUGCUGGUGACUCAGCAACAGCUGCGGUUUCAGGUGCUGGUGACUCAGCAACGGCUACGGUUUCAGGUGCUGGUGACUCAGCAACGGCUACGGUUUCAGGUGCUGGUGACUCAGCAGUAGCUGCAGUUUCAGGCGCUGAUUCAGUCCGUGGUGCCUCAGAAGAUGGAGGAGCUUCAAUAGCCAAUGGUUUUGCAGGUUCUUCGAGCGCCAAUGGCUUAGCUACUUCUGGCUGUGCAGUCUUCUGUGUGAGUAAAGGUUUUUUGGGAGCAGUAAUGGAAGCAAAGAUUGAAGACAUUCCAGGAGGUAGAAUCUCGAUUGGAGGUUUUCUGGAUGCAUCAGAUAAACUCGUGAGCUUUGGAUCCUCAAGAGAAGCCAGAAACGCACUUGCAGCAUCAGUUUUAGAAGAUGGAGCUUGCUCAACUUCCUUCUGCAGCGUUUUAUUCCAAGCCUGGACCAAGUUCUUUAGAGUUGGACGACCAUGUGCCUGUGGGAUUAAUUACAGUAGGUGAGGUCAGAAACAAUACAAGUUUAAUUUAUAAACUACAAAAAGAAAACGACAAUAAAAAACAAUCUUACAUGGGCAUGAAGCACGGCUUCUGCAAGCAUUCCCGUGUCUUGCCAUGCCUUCUCCAUGAGCGCAUUGUCUCCCAGAACUGCAGCAGAAAAUGCUGAUUCUCGCCCAAGGCCUAUGGAGAUCAGAUUGUUUAUAAGUCCCUGCAACAAAGUUAAAAUAGUAUUUCAAUUAGGAACCUGCAGAUACAAAGUAUAAAAUCAAAGCAUAAAUUCGUCUACAGUUAGUUAUGUCGAUCCUAUCUAGUGAACAACACAACUGUCUUUAGAUCUCUGUAGGUAUCCUAAAAUACUAGAAACCAAGUUAGAAACCGAAAGAAAGAGAAAUUGCAGACGUACACUUAGGCGUGUCAAUUCUCCAUGGUUUGCUAGGCGUAAUGAAAGGCCUCGCAACUCAUGACCCUGUAAAGCGCCUUUGACCGAACCUGCAGUUGCCAGUCUUUUGAGAGCUUCGCGAGCAAUGUCAGCGUGGCCAGUGGCAUCAGCAGCAUCUAUAAGGUCAAGAAACUCCUUUGCAAAUUUCACUAUUCCCUCCACAGCUUCAACAACAUCUUCUUUUUUAGUAGCUGUCAAAGAGAGAAUGUCACUCAAAUCAAGGCCUACACCAUCCUGUCCAAUGUCCUUGCUAUUACUCAUUGUGAGAAGACAAUGAAGAGCCCUCUUAAGAUCAUUGCUCUGCAUUGCUAGAUCAAACUCCAGCCUGAGAAAACAUAAAGCUAAGUCAAACUCGGAGCCUAAGUCAAAGUGAAAAUAAUCACUGAUGGCAUUUUGGUUUGAAUUGACAGCUAGGAUGAAGAGUGAAACACUGAAUUCUGUUUACUGUCCAGCAUAAGCAAUUCAGAGACUAGAAAAGACUGUGUAUAGUAGAGCCAAAUUGAAGGAAUAGCGGCACCAAAACAUUAUAUGUUUUAUUUACCUCUUAGAUAUUCCAGGCAAAUGAAGUGCUUCUGUUGCGUAUCCCAUCCCUAGCAUAAACUGUGCCAGAUCGUCAUGAUGUUCUCUCCCAAGCCUACUUGCCCUGCGCAAAAAGAAAUGUUGUAUUAGCAUUCCUGCUACUUUACUACUCAAAUAAACACGAGAUUAUGAGAAACAUAUCCAUACCAUUUAACUGCACUAACAGCAUCCCCGUAAGCAGCAAGACAGCGGCAACGGAUACCAGGAUGAUUCAGUGAAAUGGCAUGGGCACACAUGUACCUACCAAGAAAUGGAGGUGUCAGAUAAUAAUUUCUAUCUUUGGUCUUAUUUAAUCAUUCAAGUAACUAAAAUGACGACCAUGGCAAGAUAUGCUAUACAAGAUUACAAACAUAUUUUGGUGCUCGAGGAAGCUUUGGAAUACAAAAUGUCAGAUGUCAAUGCGCCUACCUAGUGCGUAAUAUGAAUGAAAAGGAAAAUUCAUAAUCUAACUGAAUAUACAUAUCUCCAACGAAGAUAAACGAUUCACCAAUUCAUACAGUCAGUGUCCAACAAGGAAUUUUUUAGCAAGAGUCAGUCUUGUCUUAAGGUAAAGAACAGGAGACUCUUAGUACCUGUCAAUGAGCCAAAGAACUCCAUCACGUACACCGGCAACAACAAGAGGCCCCACUGGUCGUUUCUGCUCGACUGGGAAACGAGUAACAGCAACUGAGACUCCUCCACCACCCACAGCUACCUCAUUGACCCUUCUUUCAUCCAUUAUGUCAUCGCUAUCACCUCUAGAUUGUCUUGGCAAUGAUAAGAAUGGUGGAACAGAUGGAGCAUUUUGGAAAGAAGCUAAACGCACAACCUACAAAUAAAAAGUAUACACAUGAGGAAGAUUCUUGCUGGUUUGACAAGAAUUGACAUAGAUGUCGACACAUAUGGAGGACAAAAACACAAGCUUAGACCUGAAAAAUUAAGCUUCACAAUAGUUACAAUAUAUUUCAUGUAAAAGGAAAAAAAAGUCCACCUGCAGCAUGGGGGGCCUUAAAGAUAUCCUUUCUUGCUUUCCAGCCUGGGAACCUUCUACUGUGAUUAAGGCUAACUCUCCAUGCUCUGCAACUGCUCUAGCCUGCACCUCCUUAAGUUUCAUUUCUUCCUUCAUCUUCCUAGUCUCUAUAUCAAUUUCAGAAACUCCCGCGUCCACAAAAACACAUCUGGAAAUCCAGGCAUGGAAGAAAGUAUUAGCAUUACUCCCCAGAUAUUUUGUUUAGUAAAUAGCAGAUCAAGGUAGCCAUGCCCUUAACAGAGUCAGAAUUAGAGCAAUUCUUUUCAAAACAUAGUAAUCUCUGAGAAGUUGGAUUAUGCACCAUCUGAAUAAUCAAUAACUGAUGAUACACAUCCACCGCAAAAACACUUAGAUUCGAUUUUUAGUUUGUUUCACCCAAGUGGAAGUAGCAUUCAAGGUAACUGGCACAAAACAGAAAAAAAAUCAUGUAUCAUGUGCAAUAAUCUUACUCAAUCGUGGUUGGUGUAGCCACAAACAGCUGUCUGCGAUGCCAAACAGCUCCAGUAGCAUGUGCAAUGGCAACAUCACCAAGAUACCUAUACUGAGGGCGCAAGGACGAUAUGACCAUGUAUUGUUGAUAAGCAAAAGCACAGUACUCAACUGUUUGGUCCCAUGCCAUCCAUUCUGGCUGAGGUAGCAUACCACCUACUGGCUCAAAAUUUUCCCAACUACACAUUAAAAAUUCCAUUUAGAUAAUAUAGAACUGAAAUACUUUAACAUGAUGCAAUGCAACAAAAUUAGAGCUAACUAAAAUGUAACUAUGGGAAUCGGUACAGAUUGAUGAACAGUGCUUAUUAUUCCAUCAAACAAGAGUAACUAUUUUCUCAGACAUCUCAGAGGAGGAAAUGAGAUUCUGAUUUGGUCAAUAUAGCUAACUAAAGAAAAUGAAAUGUAAUAAAAUAUGCCCAACAGCCAGCUGCCUGCACGCUAGUUUAGUAACAAAGAGUGCUAACAGAAAUGAGCCUUGCAUAAAAAAAUAAGAAGGACAACCCUAAUCACCUGUAGAGCUGGUAGUUUAGGGGUGCAGACUCAGCAGACUUCUGCGAAGAAAACCCAUCAUCAUAGCUAGAAAACGAAGAAACAUUGCUGUUUCCAAAUCCCGAGAGUGGCAUCGACUGAAUGGUUGAAAUAGCUGUUGCAGCAACAGGACUAAUCCUUCGGGAUGUGCGAUAGCCUAUACCAAGUAGAGCACCACCAUGCAGACCAAUGACCUGCAAGGAGAAUUAUGAAGCAUAAGAAUGUUGCUUAACCUAGAUGUCAAGCAUUGACAUACUGCUCUUUGAUCAUUUUUCCAAAGUAACAAAGAUAAACCACCACUUGAAGUCAAGUAGAAUUAUUGCGUAAGAUUCUCAUGUUUAGCAACCUUUCCUUUUGGUCAAACGUCAAUUAAUAAAUUACUGUGUUCCAAGUAUGACAAUUUUUUUUGUACUAAUUUUACAGUAUUUUCAAUGCAAACCAAGGCACACAAAUUCUUAGGAGCAUGAUAAGAUUAAAUAUUCAAUAGAGCUGCUCUAGAAUACAUGCAGAUGAUCUGAUAUAAAUGAAAAAGAGACACAUACCGGUUCAGAGCGACCUCCUACAGAUCUCAUGAGUAUGUUUGAGGUACCAUCAUCCAAGAGAAUACGAACUUGGACACUAGCCGAUGAAGCUGCACUGGCAGCAGCAGCAGCUUGAGCUGCAGCUGCAGCGGCUUCUUUUGCCUUUCUCGAUAAACCACCCUUAGGGAUUAUAGGCAUCCUUUGAGGUAACACAGAUUCUAGAAUGGCAAAUCUGUCUCGACAUGUAUCCCAAGCCAACAGUCUUGCACUUCCAGAGUCAACAAUGGACCAGUCACUAACCUUGUAGAUAGAGAAGUACAGAAUAUCAGGCCAUACAACUGCCACAUACCUACAACCAGAAAAUAAAGUUAGUUGGCUAAAAAAACAACACUCAGCAAAUUAGCUGAGUUACGAAGAAAAUUAUAUUCAUAAAAACAAUUAGCUAAACUUACUUCCCUGAACUGCUCACAGAAAGGACUGAGUAUGAAUCAUGUGGAACAGGUGCCACAAUCUGCUUUUUGGUCUGCUUUACAGUCAACUGUUCACCUGGGUCUCCCUUAGACAGCCCUGAUUCGGACAAGGCACUAUUAUUUCCAAGGGAUGGGUUGGCUGAGUUGGAUAGUUGAAAGUUCAAGAGCUUUAAUUCUCUUCCAAGGAUAUAUAUAGCUGAAUUCUCCCGACUUCCAGGCAGUGCUGGUAGAGGAGCUGCAGACGGGAUGGCACGAGGAUCAAAUUCACUAACUAUAAUACCAACAUUGGUACCAGUUGCGACGAGAUGUGGUUGUAGAGGAUGUGCAACCAUACAAUAGACCUAAAAAAAAUGAAAUUAAUAAGUAACUAAUGAGGGUUACUACCAAUGUAUGGACGCUACUAAAGCGAAAGAAGUACAGAAGCAAUGCUAUUAUAAUGAUGUAAUAAAGGAACUAGCAAUCUUUGAAAUUUAUCAACUGGCGUUUUCAAGUAGAAAAUGAACACCGAAUAUCAUCUGCAAAUUCUGAAAAAGGAUAACUUCCAACUUUGGGUGCAGCACGUGCUUUCUCUAUAACCAUCUGACAUAAAGAUUACGUAUCUUCUCCGUUGUAAUUUUCUUUUAGAUACAUUCAGUGUUCAAACAGCUAUCAAUCUAAAGUCUGCUAUAUACAAAACUUUUCUGUAAGAAGUAACAAAUUAUCAACCAGUUGUAAUCUAUUCUAUUCUUAUUCCUAGUCUACUUGAGUCGGAAUAUCUUUGCACUGCUAAGUGCAAGAUUAUACAGCUAACCAACUUCAUCAUUUCAAGCAUAAUAGAUGCAUUUUACGAGAUAUGAAGAGAAACUAAUGUUUUGUGGGGCACAUAGAAUGGAGCAUAAGAGAGCAAUUAUCAUGCCCAGGCUUGUGCAUGAGUUAUUGACAUAUUAUACAACUAGCAAGCAGAAAGAAAUAAUAUGAUACAUGGUAGAUUCCGAGGAUUUAAUCAACAAUGAAAACAAAUCAACAACCAAUUGUGCUGAUUUUGCUUUGUCAAACUCAAAAAAAAGAAAGAGGCAAGAGCUAAUUACCCUAAGUUUUCUGUGGGUUGCAAGUACUUGAGGCGGAACCAAGGAAGAAAGUUCACAUAAUGGCCUUGUUAGGGCCGAGUAAGUUGGAUGCUCAAUAGACCUGCGAAAAUCCAAACAAUUAGACACUCAUCUAAUAUACAAAAGUUUUUUUACCAUAUACACAACCAAAUGUUAAACAAAGAUACCAUAUGUGUGAAUCUUUAACGCAAGUCAAAAUAUCAAGGUUUGGCGCUCGAGGGUGACACCAAGAUGCAACACUGUGGCAAGCUAGCUUCGGGACAGGUUUAAUUCUACGCAGCUCCUGUAGAGAAAAAGUAGAUAUGCAUGUUAAAAAAUGAUAUCGGUAAAAUAUGAAAAAUAUAUACAUGAGAUACACCAUUACCUUAAAUGUCAUUGUGUCCCAUAUGGCUAAUGUCUUGUCAGCCCCAAUUGUAAUCAAUUGUGGAGCACUCCCACUUACCCUUGACAACUCAACAGCCACCACCCCACCAUCAUGUGCCUAAUUCAGAACAAAAAAAAAUCAGAAGAAGCCAAGAAGGUGAGCAAAAGCUUUUACAACGCCAUAUCUGGAAGAGAAAAAACAGUAUAACAGAGAAGUGGAAAUUAUGAUUCAAUUAAGCAAACAAGAGCAUGUCUAUUACACCAAGAAAAAACAACAGCACAAGCAUGUUAUACUCCCCUAUCAUUACUCAGCCUUUUUUCACAAAAUGAAAGAAAAAAUCUAAAUGCUAAUAGUCCAACAUUCAGAAAUAGGCACAGAAAUCAACUCAUAAGGUUCAAUGGAACUAAGAAAAAUGGUGCCUUAGUCUCAGCUGUAACCAAAUCUGGCCAAUCUUUCCAGGCCUCAGACUUGAACGGCCACAGCAAUAUCUUCUCUUGAACUUUUCAUGAAAGAGUAGGCAUGAGAAGAAUACCUUUAAGCUAAGCUUGGGUACAAGUUCCCUUGAGUCAGUGCCAUUAUCAGCACUCCACAGUACAAGUAAGCCAUCACUGCCACCUGAAACAAGGAGUGCCUGCAAUUGCAAUUAGAUAGAGAAUGGCUAGUAUCAUGUAUUGGACAUGAAUAACAAAGAGAAAAUACUUGAUAAGCAUUCAUUAAAAAAUGUCAAAUUAUAUAAAAGGAAAGAAGGCACAGUACUAGUAGGGAUUCGCUAAUAACAACCAAAACAAGCAAUUGGGGAAAAAGAUGCCAAUGGUUAUAAUUCCCGCCGCUCAUAAUGCUAGGCUAUGCAUGAAAUUUAACCCAAACAUAUUAGGAGCACAGAUGAUCUAAGAAACUAAGGCUCGAUAUUUGGAUUGUACAACAGGUAUCCGUAUAGUAAGGCCUGUUGCGGUCUGCACUCCCCACUUAGUAAAAUGAAGAGAUUUUGAUGUCAGAAAGAAGACAAAAAUAUAUGUAGGGAACUUCCAAGACCAUAUGCCCAAGACCUCGUUUUCAUUAAUAUCAGUCAAUCUUACGAGGUGAUCUUGCGUAUGGUUUUCUAAAUUACAACACUUUCAUCUAUCAGAUAGUAUUAAGUAAAUAUCUCGAAAUAAAUUCAGAGCAUAUGGAGAGAAUAUGUAGUUACUUCGCCAGAUGAUGCCAUGAAAUUCAUCAGGCAAUAUAUGGAUCCUUUAUGGCCACCUGUAUAUCUACGUGCAAGCUGCAAGGAAGUAAACAUUUAAGGAAAUUAACACAGAUCAGAAUCAAAAGCCCUCACCCUAAACCCCGCAGAGAAACAAAACAAAUAUUAUAACUUUGGAACAAACAAACCUUCCAUGUUAUCAUUGAUAAAACCCGAAUGACACCAUCAGUUGAACCAAAUGCAACUAAAGGGCCAUCACCACCAGAUGAUCUGGAAAGAAACUCCAUGCUGCAAAACAAAAGGAAGAAUUCUAACAACUUUUACGGAGCAGAAGAUAUCAGAACAGUAGAAAGACUGUUUGAACAUUGACUGAACAUUAAACAUCAAGGUGGUCAGGUAUCCAUUACACUUAAAACACACACAUAUCAACUUAUGCCUAGUCUACAUUUGACUAAAAUAUUUCCAGCGUAGCAACUAAUGAAGGUCUUUCCAGGAUUCAAGUGAUUUAAAGAUUGGAAGCCUACAGUAAUGGAACAUCUUCCUUGGGGUCCAGGUGUCAAGCAAACCCAUGUUCUAAAAUUAAAGAAAAAGCAAUGAACUAACCAGAGAAGUGACUUGUUAUCAAGCUCUUGCUUUGGCACAUCACGACCACGCAUUGUCACCAAGUCCAAGAAAAUGGCUUUAUUCUCACAGCAGAUGACCAGAAAAUGCCGGCCUUUAGUCGAUGGAGCAGGAGAAGUGAAAGCAGAUGUGAGAUGAUUGACAGCUGAUGGAGAUUCAGCAGCUGCAGAACGAUUGCGCCAAAGUUGCCAAUAACGCACAUCAUCGUCAUAAAACUUCACCUGCUUAACACUUGUAGGUGCAAACAUUGAACAGAUAAGUCAUUUAUCUCAUAUCGGAAGAGUCAAUUGAAUAGCAGCGGAAAAGAUCUACUACCUUCCUCCUCUAAUGGCUUCAGUGGGCUUGGCUUUAUAGUCUGAGCAAUACAUGAAUGUCAGAAAGCAUCUAAACGUAUACUCAUUUAACAGGAACAAAUUGUUCAUAGCUCACCGGAUUCUCCCUCGGCGAGCUUCUCUAACUUAGCACCAACUAAACGGCGCUCGUCAACUCCGCCGGCUUUCAAUUCAUAAAUUACCUAGAAAAUAGCCAUAGACGUUGAAAGAUCCACGAUUCAGGAACAGAAGCGAAACGAAAAUCAAAUCAGAAUCUCGUUAAGAACCAAACCUGACGAUGCUCCCAAUUCCAGACGGAAACGUGAUCUGAAUCAUCGGCGGUGACAAGCCAUGGAUGCGUGGGAUGCACCUGUAUCUUCACAAUCUUACCAUUUGUCUGCCGAAAUGCUCUCGCCCGCAACAUUUCGAUCUCUCUCUCUCGCUCUCUAUAUCAGUUCUCCAAGAUCAAUGAAACAACUCAAAAUCUGAGCACAAUUGCAUCCGCAAAGACGAUUUGGAUUCACGAGAACUCCUAAAGAGACUCAAAAUUUCAGAAAAAAGCUAUUAUCAGAUCCAGAUCGAUUAGAUCCACCGCGGUUAUCAAAGAAAAUGGCCGGAUCCACCACCACCACUACAAUCGCCGAACAAAAACUCCGGUAGUGUGAUCUUCAGACGCGAAUCGCGUAAAGCGCGAACUACGAAGGCCACUCUGAUUAACAAAAAAGGCCCAAUAACAUUUUUUUAGCCCUUUCCUUUGUCGCAUGGUUAUUCCAUUUACGGAAUUAAUUGGGGGAUAAAAGUUGAAAAUUAUUUACAGUUUUUUUUUUUUUUUUUUUCGAAUUCGAAAUGUAUCAUCAUCUCAAACAAAAAUUUUCUUCUCGUAAAUCUGGAAUCGAUGUCGAUUUAUAAUUUAUGGAUAAAAAUUCAUAUGCUACAAAUAACUAUAUUUGAUAAAUUGUAUAGACUAUUUUGAUAGUUUGUUUUAGUAAAUUUGUUAAAAACUAUGUUUGUAAUCACGUUUUGAGUGAACAAUUAGUGUGGGAAGAAGCUCAAUUGGACCCAAUUUAAUUUAGUGUUAAUAAGAAAACAUUGGAUAAUCCUACACAAUCCCUAAGAUGUCGGAUUGAUGGCUCUACAAAUCUUCGAAUCCAAUUACGGGUCUAAAAUGUUUGUGUUUUCAAGAAAAUUAUCAAAUAGUACUUUUUGGUGCAAAGUGUCUUCGGAGGUAUCCCUCCCCCCUCUCUGCCCCUUUCACUCGGAGAUAGAAGCUUUAUUAUGGGAUAUGAUGAAUAUCCUUUGAAGAAGGAUUGACUGUCAAGCGUUUGAAACAUAUUGUAUAGAGUUAGUCUCGAUUAGGCAUGUCAAUCAGGUUACCCUGGCCAGGCCCGGUCCAAGCCCACAAAACCCGCGUAUAAUUUAGUCGGGUCUGGCCUGUAAAAAUUUCGAGCCUAUAUUUUAAAGCCCGACCGACUCUAUUAGAGCUACAUGGCUUUUCCGGGCUCUAUGGACUUUUUCGAUAAAAGAAACAAACUUAUAAUUAAUAAUAUCUCUUUAAAAAAAUAUGUGUAUAAACGAGUCAAUCGAAAUUAAGAUAACGACUAACCCCAAUUUAAUUUCAAGAAAUAGUUUAAAAUCAAAUAAAUAAAUUGUUUAAAUUAAUACCAAAUAAAAUAAAAAAUCGGAAGACUUCAAACUAGAUAGUAAAGCUAAUAUUUGCUUUUUAUAUUUAGAGUAAGGCAAAAUUUUGAAAACUAGGUUUAGGGUUUUUAACUAUGUUAAAAAAAUUCUUAAACAAAUUUCUCAACUAAACGAAAAUAUUAACAAAAAAAAGUCAAAAUAUCUUUCUAAAAUUUUUUUGAACUAGUCUUAGCCCGACCGGUCUAAACCCAAAAUAUCCUUUUUGCCCGAAUGGGCUUAACCUGAAAGGUCCGAUUGUUUUUGGACAUAUAUUUUUAAGUCUGAGCCUGUUGUUUUUAGGGCUGGGCCGAGCUAUCCCGCAUGUUUUGGUCCUAAUUGACAUGACUAGUCUCGAUGGUGCAGUCUCUUGAAGAAUGAUCCACUUUUUUCCAAUCUGCUAGAUAAAUUUGAAUGCUCUGUGUCUUGUUUUCCUUUUUGGAUUUCUUCUAUUUCUCGAUUAUGUAAUUUUAAAGCGGAUUCUUAGCGUGAUCCCAUAGAUUAUUAUUUUGAGAAAUCACAUUUGUAAACUCUUUCCGGUUUUGUAUUAUGAUGAAAAUGUGUGAAGGGCACUAUUUUGUUGUGUUGGUUUAUGUUUUUGGGAAAUAUAUAUAUAUAUAUAUAUAGAAAAUAUGUUGUAAAAUAUGAACCAGAGUGACAUGUUAGAUCGUUUUAAUUUAUCUUCUUCACCACAAAAGAAAGUCAAACAAAACUUAGGACUUUUUUUGUUUCGAAAACCUUUCACAAGUAAAAUAAUGACAAGAAAACGAACCAAGAUCGAAAAUGAUAUUGGAAAUAAACAUCAUUUAUUAAAAUCGAAACACACACCUUCAAAGCACAUGAUCCAAAAGCAUGGACCUUAUUUGACUCAUAAACAAACACAAGAAAAGCUGAAAUGCUUACUCAAGACGUCGAGUGACACAAAUCCAAAGCGUGGACCUUAUUUUACGGAAUCAAGAGAAAAAGAAAACUAAAGAGCAAGUCUUUUAUUGGUGAUAAUAUAUAGAUAGACACGACAUGGACUUCGAUCUGAUGAACCAAAUCACCAGCUUUUCAACGAUCUUGUAACCUUCCUCCGUAAGUUCAUCCGUUACCACAUCCCACACCUAUGGCGGUUCCAAAGUAAGCUCCAAUGGCAUCAAUAGCCUGACCAGAGCGUCCGUGGAAUCCAAGAAGCUUUCCUCCAUUUUUACCCUCGAGCAUGAGUUGAUUUCCAGAUGAAUUCGUCUCACCGAAUAUCGGAGAGGUUCUUCCGUAAGAGGUUUUGAAGAAUAGCGAUUUGAUCAGCACUGCCUUGUAGAGGUCAACAUGAUCGUAGCUUCCACCAACGGAUGUGAUACAUUCGUACGGAUAAUCCACCGCAAACUGUAUUUCAAUUUUUUUCCAUCAAAAACAAACAAUUUAUAAACGGGUGGAUAAAUAAUUAAGAACCAAUUGAAGAAAAACAAAGUCAAGUAGGCUAUUUUUAUUACCUCUUUCAGUUCCCCGCGAAUCGUCCCGUGUUCACGGGUUUCAAUUUUUUUGUUCUUUUCAUAUUCGAUCUUGAUAUAAGACACACAGCCAAGAUCUUUUCCAACAAUUAUUUUCUUCACACCGUCGAAAACACCAUCGUCGAAUGCAACUCCCAUGUUACCACCCAUUGCUUCAAUUUUUUCGGGUGCCGGAACUGACCAAAAAUAUGCACCAAUGGCAUCAAUAGCCUGACCAGAGCGUCCAUGGAGCCCAAGAAGCUUUCCUCCUUUUUUACCCUCGAGCAAGAAUUCUUUCCCAGCUACAUUUCCAGAUGAACCGAAUAUUGGAGAGGUUCUUCCAUAAGAAGUCUUAAAGAACAGCGAUUCGAUCAGCACUGCUUUAUAGAGGUUAACAUGACCGUAGCUUCCACCAACAGAUGUGAUACAUUCAUUCGGAUAGUCCACGGCAAACUGGAUUUCAUUUUCCAUUAGAAACAAGCAAUUUAUAUAUAUAUAUCUUUAUACACAUUUUAAAAGAGUUGGAAAGAAGAAUAGCAAAUUCACGUUAUCUAUAUUACCUCUUUUAGUUCUCCGCGAAUCGUCCCGUGUUCACGGGUUUCAGUUUUUCCGUCCUUUACGUAUUCGAUCUUGAUAUAAGAGACACAAUCAAGGUCUUUUCCGACAAUUAUUUUCUUCACACUGUCGAAAACACCAUCGUCAAAUGCAUCUCCCAUGUUACCACCCAUUGCUUCCCGCUUUUCGGGUACGGGUGCGGGGAAUGGCCAAAAAUAUGCACCAAUGGCAUCAAUAGCCUGACCAGAGCGUCCGUGGAACCCAAGAAGCUUUCCUCCAUUUCUACCCUCGAGCAAAAAUUCUUUCCCAGAGGAAUUCGUCUCACCGAAUAUUGGAGAGGUUCUUCCAUAAGAGGUUUUGAAGAAUAGCGAUUUGAUCAGCACUGCCUUAUAGAGGUCAACAUGAUCGUAGCUUCCACCAACGGCUAUGACACAUUCUUUCGGAUAAUCCACCGCAAACUGGAUUUUUUUUUGUUUUCCAUUAGAAACAAAGAAUUGAUAAGCUUCUAAAGGGUGGAUAAGAACCGACUGAAGAAAAACAAAAGUCACGAUAUUUUUAUUACCUCUUUUAGUUCCCCACGAAUCGUCCCAUGUUCACGGGUUUCAAAUUUUCCGUCCUUUUCGUAUUCAAUCUUGAUAUAGGACACACAGCCAAGGUCUUUUCCCACAGUUAUUUUCUUCACACCUUCGAAAACAUGAUCGUCGAAUACAUCUCCCAUGUUACCACCGAUUGCUUCCUGCUUUUCAGGUUCAGGAACUGGCGAAAAAUAUGCACCAAUGGCAUCAAUAGCCUGACCAGAACGUCCGUGGAAUCCAAGAAGCUUUCCUCCAUUUUUACCCUCGAGCAUGAGUUGAUUUCCAAAUGAAUUCGUCUCACCGAAUAUCGGAGAGGUUCUUCCGUAAGAGGUUUUGAAGAAUAGCGAUUUGAUUAGCACUGCCUUAUAGAGGUCAACAUUACCGUAGCUUCCACCAACGGCUAUGAUACAUUCACUUGGAUAAUCCACCGCAAACUGGAUUUUUAUUUUCCAUUAUUUAUAAACUUUUAAAGAGUUGAUAAGAACUCAUUGAAAAAUAACAACAUCAUGAUUUAAUUUGUUUUUUUACCUCUUUUAGUUCCCCGCGAAUUGUCCCGUGUUCACGGGUUUCAAAUUUUCCAUCCUUUUCGUAUUCGAUCUUGAUAUAAGAUACACACUCAAGGUCUUUUCCGACUGUUAUUUUCUUCACACCGUCGAAAGCAUCAUCAGUGAAUGCAUCUCCCAUGUUACCACCAACCGGUCCCAUCUUCUCAGACGACAUUGCUUCGAUCUCUUAACUUUAACUUUAGUGAUAGAAACCUGAAAGAUUCAAAUACAUUAAGAAAGAAGAAACAACAAACAGAAUGGUACGUUACUUGGUAAAGAAAUGGAAGAAGAAGUAACACAAACUGUUUUUUACUUAUCCCUAAUGAUAGAAUAAGUUAAUAUAUCUUUUAUAUUCAAUUCCACUUUUUCUAUGAGAUCAUUUUAAUUGUAUUCUAUAUCUUCCAAGGACGCCACUGAGAAUUCAUUUUUAACGUACUUCUCCUUAUCUCUCUAUAAUUGAAAAUUACAUUAAAAACCCAUUAAUAUAUUUGUAUAUAUUGGUGAUACCGUAUAACUUCAAUAAGUUCAAACAACAACAAUGGAUGCAUGACAAAACUAUGCACAAUACAUUAGCAAGCUAAGGAUGAAAUCAUGUAAAUUAGAUUAUAAUAAUGUGAAUAGAAAAUGUCGACUAAAGAUGUGAAUAGAGAGAAUCGAGAAAAAUGAAAGCAAAUUAAGAGUGAGAGAGGGAGAGAGUCCUCACGUGUGUGUUACUCUUUGAUUGGAGAAGAGCUAUGGGAUUUGGAGUAAUGCUACUCCCUAUUUAUUGACAUUCUUUUUUACCUUUUACAUUUUACUAAUUUACUCUUUACACUCAUCAAAAUUUUAAUUAUCAUGAUACCUGAGAUACGCUAGUCACCAACGUCCAAUCGACUAGACCAAGACAUUUCAAAACGAUAUUAUCAUUUUUAUAGAAAUAUUUUAUUUUAAAAUAUAGUAAUUGGAUUAUAAAAUAAGAUAAUGGUUAUUACACUACAAUUAUUGAAUAUUGUGUUCAAUUGUUCUCAUAUAUUAACUAAAACAUAGUUUUAUUAUUUUCAAUUUGUGGUUAAGGUUUAUAUCUAGCUAAAAGAAUUGUGAAACCAAUUCCGUUAGAUUGAUAACCAUUUUAGCAAAAUCGUAACUAAAGUUUCUGAUUAUCAAACUUAAUUUAGACACUUGAUUAACUGAGCUGAUGAGGUAGGAAGCUCGCCAUGUCGACGUUUGUUCCUCUCUCGCCAAAGUGAAUGUACUGUGGCUUGGAAAGUGAGUUUCAUGAUGAUAAAGCAAAUUAAUCCAUUGAACGUGGAGUCUGAGAGGAGUUAUAUGAUCUCCGAGAAUCUGUUGGUGUAAUGACGAUGAAAGAACUUGCGGGUAAACAAAUAUUAUGAUUUUUUAACGUGUUCAACAAAUAUUAUGUAUCACACGGGUCAUAAUCGAGAUGUAAAUAUAAACAUUGCCUUUGUUAUAAAGUGCUCAACAAAUAUUAUGAUUUUUAUUAUCUUUUUAUUUGUUAGUUAUAUUGUUGCUUCUAGUCGAAUUCUCAGGAAAUACGAUUCAUACGUUUUCUCCCGGAAAGUUUGACCUUUUCGUUUUAUGUUAAUAUUCAUGGGGUUUCAACUCAAAAUCAAUUGGCAAUGAGUGGAGAGGCCUAUGUCCCUUAUAUACUACUCAAAUCCCUUCCAUCUUGCCACUGUUCCCUGCGUUUUCUGUGCUGCAGCCAUAGAAACUCGAAAUCAUCUUUUCUUCUCUUGUCCAUAUAGCUAUGAUAUAUGGAAGAAUCUUGCUCAAAACAUUCUCAAUAAUCAGUUCACGGAGGAUUGGCAACAGAUUGUGGCUUAUAUCUCAGCUACUAAUCACGAUCGGGUUCACAGUUUUUUGGUGAGGAACACAUUUCAAAUCACGGUUCACACGAUUUGGAGAGAGAGGAACGCCCGACGACAUGGAGAAGUACCACGCCCGGCAACCACUCUCAUAAGUUGGAUCGAUAAGCAUGUUCGCAAUCAACUCUCGGUUAUACGCUCAAAAAGUGACAGGGGCUAUGACCUAGCUCUUCAAGCCUGGUUUGCCUCUCAAACCUAAAAAACCCACAGAAAUCUAUCAUCCACUUUCAAAUGCUCUGUUUUAAAUCAAAGCUCUGUUCUCUGUUUCUUUUUAAAAUAUGGUCUUCAGAAUGUCAAAUGAAAGCUGAUGUAAACCGUAUAUUUUUUUUCUUGAAUAUAAUUUAACAUUUUAUUCAAAAAAAAAAAAUGUGGGAUCUCUCUCCAUACGCCCUUCCAGAUAAAGGCUCUUAUAGCCAUUAAUCUCGACAUAAUCCAUCACUUUUCCUCGAGAUAAUGCUUUUCUAGCUAUCUUGAUAGAAUUGAGUCUUCCUUUGAGCCUUCAAUUAGUAGGGGUGAUCGAACCACUCUCUGAGCCGAAUUAACGGGUCAACGUAUGUUCGGGCUCUGAUACCAUGUUAAAAUUUGGGUUUAACAUGAGUUUUCAACUCAAAACCAAUUGGCCAUAAAUAGAUUGUCCAUAACCCUUUAUAUGUAUAUUACUUGAUAAUUUCUCCAACUUCUAAUGUGGGAUUUUACUUCACUAAUAUUUUACAACCUAGAAUGUUGCAGUUCUUCAUUAAACAUCACAAACAAUCACUGACUAUACACUUCGACAUAUCUAAUUGAAAUGUUGGUUUUUGUUUAGUAAACUAGUAAUCGUAUUUUACUGUACCGUGAUUGCCGAUUUUGACCUAACUAAACCCUAAAUUCGACCUAAUGAUCAAACAUUAAUAAAACCAACAAGAAUAAUAAAAUAAUUUGUAUCUCUCUUAUGAUCUCUCUCAUCUCUUAUCUCUCGUUGAUCUGAAGUAACUGGUGAUGGAAAUUUGAAUUACAAAAAGGAAGAAGACGAUGGAUUGUGCUCAAUCGAAGAUUGGAACGAAGAAGUGCUUACGAGUUGCAAUUUUAAAGAACGUAAACAAUUAGUGAAAGAUGCUCAUAACACUUUUUUCGUUACUCACUCUGUUGAUGCCAAGGCUCUUAAAAUCAUCUUCACAUAUAAUACUUUAACCGGAUAGCUACUUUAAAUAUCCGGAAUAUUUUCUAUAUUAUAUAAAAUUUAAAGAUUUUUAAUCAUCUUGACAAGUUACACACCAUCAAUCAUACAUCCCAGAGUUUUUCGUUUUUAUCGUGAUAUUAUUGAUUUUUUUUUCUUCAUUUUAUUAUAGUGUAUAAAUUAAGUGUAAAAAAAACGAGUAAAGAUCAAAGUGAUAUGGCUAUUUGAAGACGUGCUGAAGAAUGCUAAGAUGCAAUGGACCGACAACUUCUAUCUAUGUAUCAUAUAACUCUACACCGGAUUGUUUGAAUUCAAUUAAGUUGGAGAAUGCUAAUGGAUCUGCGCGCCCACAACCUGUUCGAAUAUAGUAUUUUAUUUUUUCUUGAAUAAAUAUUGGGAGACCGUUGUCUCCCAUCCGCGACAAAAAAAAAAAAAAAAGAUAUUUUUUCUAUCAAACCGAUUGGAUGAAUUUAAUAACCCAUUUGUGGUGCUCUAGAUACUCUAAAACGCCAUAUAUUAUAGAGAUAUUCUUCAAACGUCGAGAUCGGUAGGUUUAGCUGCCAUAACAAUAGAAUCUGAAAUUUCUAUAGGUAAAACUAAGUUUAAAAUUGAUUCCAUUCUUACCAGUUUUUAUAAAAAAAAAACAAGUAAAUUAUACUGGAUUUAUGUGUUAUAAAGAUGUUUAAUUAAGGAGGGUUAGGUGGUACGUCUGGUGAAGUAAAGUUGUUACAAUGAAUUUCACGUGUGGAAAGUUUUAGUCAAGUUAAGACAGCUAACUAGUAGAAAACCUAUACUAAAUCCAAAUUUUGAUUUAAUGGUAGGACUUCAAAUCUUCUACAGUUUAAUUUGUCUUUACUUGAUUCAUUCCACACGUGAAACUCCUUGUAAUGAAUGUUGGAUUAUUAAUGGUUAGUAGCAAUAUGGAGUACACAGACUUAAUCAGGUGAUAUGUGUACAUUCUUAUAUCUUUUACUCGAAACAUUUUGCAUAGUGAAAAUCAAAGCAUGUAGUUCACUCUCAAGAGCAUUGCUAGUACAAUCACCUCCUGCUUAGUCCGAUCCAAUGUAAAUACCACCACUAUCUCUAGUAACCGACACGCCUUCCCUUUCCUUGGUAGUUUGAUUCACAAAUGUUCUUUCAAAUUGCAUUUUAUCAAACCCUGAGUUGGUGUUGUCCAGUGAGGUACCGAUGCAUCUCAAACAGAGGCACUAGGAUUCGGAUGACUGUUUAAGUCUGUGUACUCCAUAUUGCUACUAGCCACUAAUAAUCCAAAACAAGACAAAUGUUGCAGUUCUUCACUGAUUCAGCGUUCUGUCACCGCCCACUUAGCGUCUAGCGCUUUUUUGAACAUUGCCUGAAUCUAAUAAAUAACUGUUUGCCCAAAUCACCUACUUUUUGGAAGCAAUGAUAAAGAAGAAAGAGUAAUAUAAAUAGAUGUGUUGGUAAAAUAAACUAAAAAUAUCUCACAGUUUAGCUGGUGUAAACGCUUUCAUAAGGCUCUUCAUUGCCUUAGUUUCAAACCCUCAUGAAUGAGAAAUUUUUUGUGAUCAUUCAUUCAACAAAUCAAAACGACGUUGUUUUAAAGUCAAAGUUAGUAAAUGCAGAUUUUGGCACUUUUAAUAAGAGUUUAUGUAGUUAAUUUGAAUUUUAUUAAGGACUAAGGUUGAAAUAAGCACUGUGUCGUUGUGUGGGUAAGAAAAAAGCAUCAUCAAUAGUAGUGGUUGAAAUACGCCCCUUUCCCGUUGAAAAGAUCCACCCGAACUAAAACUGAGGACUUAAACCCUGACCGUAAAUUUGCAUUUGACAAAUACUGAGUAGACCGAGAAAACAAUUGUUUUGUUUUCUUCCAUUGAAUCUGUAAUAUUUCAAAAACCUGUAUUUAUUAUAUGUCAAUCUGGCCUUCUGCGAAAUAUGAUCGAUUGAUCGUUGUUUGAACCCAACUUUUAUAUAUAUAUAUAUAUAUCAUUAUCGUUCAAACAUAUCAGACCACAGCAUAUAUUAAAACUAGUUUCACAAAACCCCUCAUUAGUACACUGCCUAACAAAAGUAAAGAAUUUUGAAUCCUGUAUUCUAUACACAUAACUAUCUGGGUUCAACUAAUGUUACUUCGACUUAAAACAAAUCGACUGUGCCAGCUCCGGCUUUUCCCAGUUUCAAUAGUCGAUAGCAACACACUCAACAAGUCCUCUGCUUCUUCCUCUGAUGGAAGCUCUAAGUUUGUCUGAAGCAGCGGUUGAGCUGAAGAAUUGUUCCAUCGUUUUUUGGUUGGGCUGCUCUUCUUUUGCUGGUCCUGUCUCCAGUUCCAUACACCAUCUGAAUUGCUUCCUAUGAUGCGGACAACUCCGCCACUGCAAUCUGUAUGUAUUACACUCUCCAAACCGAUUUCUCUUUCGAUAUUCCAUACCAAAUCUAUUGGAACUCCGAGAAAUCCCUGUUUUCUGAAAUCUACCAAGCUGGGGCUGCUUAAAACCAAUACCAGUCUCCCUGUGAUUACAACAAAAGCUCCUUCUUGCUUCAGGGCUUUGCACUUCACCAGCUUCUCGCCCUUGAACUUCAGGGAAUCUCCAACCUCCAUAAGUACUGCUGUCCCGACCGCUUCUUCCCAUGAGUAAGGCCUGAGAGGUUGUUCUCUACUCAGAGGCCUGGGAAGACGAAGCCUAUGCCUUUGGGAUCUUAUGUUAUGAAUCCGGCUUCGGUUUCUGAUACUCUGUGCAGUUUUUCCAGUUACCUCAAGGAUACUAGCCGUUGGUCUGGCUACAAGUCCAGUAAUCCCCAUGGCCACUCCUGAACCAUAUAGAGGCACCCAGUUAACAUACAUAAAAUUAGAAAAAGCCAGAAACAAAAGGACAGCAUGUACACAAACAUGAAAUGUCUUGAAUAUUUAUAAAUGACUUAAGUUGGUUCUCGGUUAAAUACCUGAGAUGACGCCUGGAAGACCAUGUUUCUCAGCUCCUCUUAUUGGUGAUUGAAGGAGACCAGUGAGUCCCUGUGAUGAACAUUGUGAUGGACUAUUUUUAAGUAAAGUAUAAACCAAGCAGAUAUUUUCAUCUCAUGUAUAACCAAUCAAAUUAUAUUUGCAAGAAACAGUGCAAUGUUCACGUUUCAGCUGUUGUAAUCUCAGGCCAUCACAAGCAUACUUAAUUCUUUAUGCAAGUUCAAAGGGCAAUGGAAUUGAUGACUAAUAUGGCAAAAUAUCUGACAGAAGUCAGUGAAUUCAAGACUAAGUGAACAUCAAAUCAGUAUAAACGACAUAAUUCCAAAGAAAGUGCAAAUAAUAUACCUCAAACACUUCACCUAUAACUCCUUUGCUACGCGAUCCUUCGCCCAAUUGCUGCUUCUCCAUCCUUGCAACAUCAUGGUCAUUGAAUGUAAAUGCAACAAUACCCUGCAACGAUUUGGAAGUUCUGUGAAUAUUUCUUGAAGGUGGCGUCUGCACCACAGAUUUUUAAGCAAACAGAUGCAUCGUACCUUGUGUGCAGCUUUACUAAAUUGAGUGGCAGCAUCACUUAAAGCAUAAACAGUGCUACUAAAGAGGCUUGUGGUUCCGUGAGCCAUUCCUUGAAUAAUUCCUGCUGGGCUCUGUUCAAGUAAUCUAGUUUAGCAUAUAAGUAAAAAGUAACUAAACCCGAAAUUACAGGAAAACGUAAGUCAACAAAAAAAAAAUUAAUCAAAACCUUUGAGAUACUCCUGCUGGGAGCUGACAGGAAAUCUUUAAUUCCAAAUGCAACAUUCCUCGCAAAUCCCAUGGGAUUUCCAAUAACACCAGCAGAGCCGAAGACCUGUGUUUAAACAAGGGAAAACAGGUAAUAUUAGAUUGCAGAAAUGCGUCCAGCAGGUAUAUAGUGAAUAGUAUGACUGCUAUAGGAAAUCAAAACAGUUAGUGAAAAAAUGACAUUUUACCAGUUCUUACCUUGUAAAUCUCAUGAAGAAUUUGGCGGGUAUAGUGCCCAACGAGGAUCUCCUGAAAUGAUUCCCAACUAGUGAUUUGAUGAGCAAUUGUCAAUUGCUUGAGAUGUAUUCGAGCACCCUCGACAUCGGCAAGAGCCAUUAGACCUCUCUGAAAUCGAAUAAUAACGAUUCAGUUAACCAUAUUAAAUACAAGAUCCUUCAAUUUAGAAUUAACACGGGGCUCUAAGGAGAGAUGAAUCAAUAUUAUGUUAUAAUCCUUACAACCGGGUCCAAGGAGAGAUGAAAUUACAAAGUAAUGAUGAGAUUCAAGAUCGAAACUCUCUUUGUUUCUCAAGAAACGAAGAACACGGAAAAUAGUACUUGAGUAUCAAUAGCCAAAGCAAAACCAGAAAACGGUUUGCUUUGGAGUCCCUAAUUACUGCCAAAGUCAUAAGAGCUCCUAACUAAACCAGUGGUCAAAGAACACUAAUCUGUUCUCCUGCCUUCUAUGAAUAGUCUAUCAGGUAAUCCCAGAGUUGAAACAAAGAGAAUAUGGUAAAAAAUGUCAAAAUGGGUAUUUGGCCAAGAAAAAGAAGGAAGAAGACUAUUCAAAAUUUAACGUCAUAAAUCAUUUAUGCAUUGAAUUUCAACAAAAAUAAAACUAUGCAAUAUAUCUAAGGAAUGUUGCAAGAAAAGUGAAGGUACAUUACAUGGAUAAGGGACUCUCCUGAAGUAAGAAUGCCAUUCCUAAGCAUCCAGGGAGCACUGCAGAAGCUGUCAAUAUUGCGACACACAAAGGACCCAUGUCAAAUCUACAGGUAGAUAGGUUACCAAAAGUAUAUUUAUCCUGAAAGGACAAUUUAUAGCUCACCUUAACGUAAACUGAAUAGGGGCCAAGUCGAAUGAUUCAACAUAAAUUUUCCUGUGUCUUCGAGCCAACAAGUGAAUAUGCUGCCAAGGAGCUCCUAUUGGAACCACUAUAGGCAGAGCUACAAUGCUUCUCUGGCUUUUGUUAAAUACAGGAAUGUUUCUUGCAUGUGGAGUAUCUUCUGAACUUAUAUCCUUGGAACCAGUGUCAUAAAUCAGAGGACGUAGCGUUGGAUCUGAGAGUGGCAGGAGUCUAGCCUGAGAAUUGGGAAGCACUGCUUUUACAAACUCUAGUAAGGAUAAAAGUGUUUGUAGCUCGAGCUCAAGUCCAAAUUCACCAAUCCUGCAUUUGUUUAAAGCAAACUGAGAAUUGGGAACAAAAUGUAUAUAUUUAUAAUACAAUGAACUGAGUGAAUACUAAGGAGAAAGUAGACCAUGAAUCAUACCUAAUAUUUAUGUACUCAAAAGAAACUAGUGAAACAUCUUUUUUCCGCCACUUUGCUAGGCCAACAUAGACUACUGCAUCACGGGAAUUACCCCUAACUUGCUGAACAGUUUCACUUAAAAGUAUUGCUUUUUUAUUCUUAACUCCCCAAUCAGGAGGAAUGCCUUUGUGGUCAUGAUUGAACGACAAUAUGACAGGAUACGAAGAAUUGUGAAGUGGGUUGUCUAUCUGUAGUGAAGAGAUCUGAAAGGAAAGCUUCUGCUGAUCUACACUCUGACUUAACUCUAACACAACAUUUGAUGCACAAGCAUAAACCAAUUCCUGUGAGGAGGAAGAUUGGAGCAUUACAAAAAUAUUGGGAUGUAAUAUAGACGUGCUUUAUAUUCUCAGGGGAUAUUUACCUGUGGAUGAGAAUUAACCAAAGAUAUACCAAUGCUUGGCAGGACAAGCAAGAACCUUUCUGUGUAACGGAUGACAUUAUCAGUUUGAAGCUUUUGCUUUCCCUUCACAUGGAAUCUGGAGUCAAACGUUUCCUUUAUAUCUUUCAUAGUGUGAUAACCUGAAUCUACAACACUGAAAACCUGGAAUGGGAAAAGACAAAAUUAACAAGUUGCAUCAGCAACAGAGAGAGAAGUAGUUGUCCUCAGAAAGUUAGCUUAGUUAAAGAUAUUGGUAUCAGAGAAAUUAUACCUUUGUAGCUCCUUCAGCACAGAUAGAUAGCAACAGCGUCCUUUCAGGUUUCUGAAGCAGGUCAAUUAAUAAAAUUAAGUAGAUAAGAAUACCUGAGACUCACUGAUAGAGUGGCUACAUACAACUGAACAAGGAUAUAUUUCGUCCUCUAAGCACAUCUUUGCAUUUAUUAUGUGAAACUCAAAAGAGAGUAUUAUAAGAAGGAAAAAGUGAAUGAAGUUGGUUGAUCUUAUCAAUUAUAUACUUUCUUUUCAUGUGAUUAGCUGACAUAUGUUUUCGUUUUUAGAUUCAUUCAGUAUCAGUGUAACUUAAGGUCUAGCAACAGAAGAUAUUUAUUUAGCCAGGAUGAUGAUACUGACUUGAAUUUCUGCAUACAUACAAACAAAAAAAAAACAAAGCAUGCAUUCAUAUCGUCCAGAGCUGCAUGCGACUGGAUAUUGAAAAGUUUAAUCCACUCCAUCUCAUCAUUUUAGCAGGCCCAGAAAGCCUAUACUGUUCGAGUUCAAACUUAAUUUGGAAAGGAAAUUUGGAGAUACUCUACAUUAGGCUAAAAGACUCGAGGACCUAACUCACUCAAAUUUCAUGCGAAUAUUAUCCUAAAUUAGACUAACGAGAGAUUGGCUAGUAUUUUUUUGUUCAUAACCAAUGCACAACGAAAGUAUGCUGGUAAGAUAUUCCAAUUAUAUAGAUGCGUCUAGAAUGUACGAACCACUCAGCAAAAGCAAUGAUAACCACAAAUAUAUACAUAACAAAGUUGUUUGUGAUAUAUACCUCAGAGGUGGAGCGCAAGUGCACUGCAAUAGGUUGUUUUGUUAUCUCAAAUGCAUAAGAGCCUAUGACACGAUCUCCAGGCACCUAUAUACAUCAACAAGAGAAAACAACGUAAGAAAGGGAAAGGAAGAGAACAGCGGCAAUGAUAAACUUCAAUAGAUACAAAGGACUGAUUUGUUAAUAAGCAGAAAAUGUAAUCACCAUACCUCAAUGGUCAAACGAUGUGGAUAACAGGGUUCAUCCCAAGCAUAAGGGCAAGAUGUGUAAGGAUGAACUAUGGUAUCAAAAGUUUCACAUUUUUGUUGAUAAACCCUCAGUCUCUAUCACCACAAAAAAAAUCCAUAUUCAGUUCCUUGUGGGAGUAAGUAAGGAUUACAAAAUCAAUAUGAUAUCACACAUCGGCGAUUCAGAAAGCAAGUUUUCCAGUAGGAAAAUGUUUUCACCAACAAUUACAUUAGGUCCCAAAAUUACAUGCUACAGUAAAGACAACUAGCAUAGCUCACACGAUUGAUACCAAAGAGAAUCAAGUACAACUUUAGGUCUGAUAGAUAUCGAUUACUCAAUUUAAUGUUCUGAAUGCUUUGAAGUAUACAGACAAUGGUACUUAAAUUUGUAGAGUUGAAAGACCUGUGAACUGACAGGAAGAAUAACUAAAACUCUUUAGUUGGAUUUAAAGAACCAUCAAUCGUAACAAUACUGACCUCAUUCGAGAAAUUAUCAAUCCUGUAAGGCAUAUAACCCAUGUCGUCAUCUGAUAAUAGAAUAAAGUUUGUCCCGACAUGUCCAUGAACACUCCCUACAAUCUUUUCAUCUCCGCUUGACAUAUUGGCAUUCUGAACUUCCACCCGCACCAUGUUGAAAGCUUUAUUAACAUAGUUCCAAAUCUUCAGUUGAGUAUCCCCUAAAUGAUCUGGCAAGAAGCUGCCUGACCAUUGCCAUCCAGGCUCAUUUAAACGGAUUGAAACUAGUAACUCCCUGUUUAUAUAGAAGAGUAAGUGGCGUAUAGGUAGAAUCUUUUAACUGUAAAUUCUCUCAGUACAAGGUAAGGUAAAUAUAGCAACAGUGGUGGUUUCCAAAUAAUUUCCAGAUUUUGAGGGAUGAGAAACGGAAUUAUUCACCCCUUAAUACGAAGAAUGUGUUAUAAGACUUAAAUAAGUAAUGAACGAACCUCGCAGUAUCUGUCCAUUGAAGCUGACAAUGCUGUCCAACAGCCAGAUGAGAAACUAAAUUGGUUCCCUUCUGCUUGUAACACAAGUUAUGGCUGCAUGAAUUACAGAUGACAUAUCUGCAACAUGGGAAUUUGUUUAGUGGAUACAUAGGGAUGAUGGUUCAGGAGAAAAAAAGAGCAUUUGGUGAAACUGUCUAUCACCUAGGUUGGAAAGUAAUUGCUUGCGUUCUCCCUGCUAAUGCACCACCAAGAAUAGAACACGUAACAGAUAAUAAAGAUGAUUCACCAGGCGAUGGUUGUGGGACAAUUACAUUGGUAGAACCACUGGGUGGAACAAGAGGAAAUGGAGCAGACCACAGGGGGUAUGGGCUACUUGAAUUAUCCCACUCUGGCAGGUCCCUUUUGACUCGGAUCAUGGUGUCACUGGCCCUGGAAAUAGGGCAAGGUGAAUAAAUGCAUGCCUUUACUUUGCCAGACUCAUUACCUUGGAAGCACACCUCUCUUAAACUUUUUGAAGAAAGACUCCUCUUGCGAACAAUUGGUGAGUCUUUUGGAUAUGCUACAAAAGGGACUUGGCGAGUUGACUGAGUCGCAUGCCUAUCCAAAAAUCUCUCAGUACUGGAAGCAGUGUUGCUGCACUCCGAUGAGGAAGGACUAGAAGGGAUAUCCUCCAUUAGAACUUUAUCUAGCAAAUCUUUCUCAGAGGUCAAAAUCCCAAGACCAACUUUUUGACUUUGAACAAAAUGCUGCUCAAUCAGGUUGUAGCAGGAGGGAAUUACGCUGUACAUCGCUUUAGUUUCAUUGGUGCAGUCCGAAACAAUCAGAGGAGUUCCAGUGCAGUUGUACAAUAGAAAUGGGACAAAGAUGAAUACUUCCCGAGCCCCACAUGUUGCAUCCAUUGUUUUCUCACACGAUACAUAAACAGAACCUAUAAGAUAAUCAAUAUUAAAAUUGUCUCAAAAUGAGUAGCCAAUUUAAAACAUAAAGAGAUAAACCUUACCACCACCAACAUAAGAAUCAAAGGAAAUAGUUUCAAUCUGAGAGAACUUCCCUCCACUGAACUUAGCCGCUGUGCUAAAAGUUUCUGAGCGUGAAAACUUCAAAGAUGAUGAUCUAUAGCCAUUUAAUUUGAACUCAAGGACCAGAUCAUGUGAAGGAUCAAUGUGAUGGAAUGGCGUCUCCCCCUAAAAAGAUACAUUUUCUUGUCACAUAUAUAAUACCAUAUCAACCAUAUAAAAACAUGAUUCAACUCUAUCUUCCAGAAGGAAAUUGUAUGGAAAUAUCUCUCAGACCUCAGGAAGGGAUGCAGUCUGAGUGAUGCCACCACUUUCUAUCGAAAGUGAUAUUGGUUCUGGAAGACAGUUGCUCACAACAAAUGGAGUGCUUAAAGUUACUUGAUGAAUGACUUGCUCUCUUGAUUGGUCAAGAUCGUGCAACUGCUGACCAAAAUUUCCAUCUGGCAAAUCAUUAAGAUGAAAGGAUGCCGGCAAACUAGUGCUCUGAACAGAUAUGCAACACCGAAAUGGUUCAUGGCUAGGGUGACAAGGAUAACAAGCAAAAGAUCGGCGAAAUCCUAUCCUGCUAUCUUGAGAAAGAACUUUGGAGAUGCUAUGAGCUUCACUCCACAAAUAAGAAUCUCCGAGGGGACGCCACCGAAGCCGGCCAGAUUUAGCCAAGUGUAGAGGCAGUGGAAAUUCUUGACCAGGAAAAAUAGGAUCUAGGAUCUGAAAUAGAAUUGACAUAAGAAGAAUAAAAGAUGGUGUUAAGAUCAACCAGGUAAGGCAACUAGAAAAGAAAAGAAACAAAGCUUAAUUUUCUUAAGAAGCACAGAAACAGUGUCUGGUACCGAUAGAACAAACUGGCAUAUUAGAAUUCAAUAACCUUUGGGGAGAUGCCAAACGGAAUAUCAAAGCGAAGUUCCAAUGGCAUGGAUGUGGAGUUCAAAAUUAUAACCUGAAAUAAGGGAAAGGUCAAACGCAGAAUCAACAUUUAUAAGAACAAAUAUACAUUGUAAUUACGUCAUACAUACAGUAGAGUAUACUCGUAUCAACUUGCUCUGCUGCUGCAAUGAAACCUCGUACACAACAGGAACAACAAAGCUGCUUCCAGAACCAGAUUUACUUGCUUUCUCAACAUUAUCACUGGAGUUCGAUGUUUUGGAAAAAUCAACCUCAAAAUAGGAAAGGCCAAUUCGAUCCAUUGAAUGAGGAGGAGAAGCAAAAGAUGUUCCAUCAAGUUGGACCUUCAUAUAAUGAUGUAUGGCAUCACCAGAUUCACUGCUGAAACAACCAAAUUGACUUCGACGUCUAUCAGGAAUAAGUAGUGUGUCACUAUUAUCGAUAUAGAUGGGAACAGAAGAACCGGGUUGCACAAAGUUCUGAGCCACUGGAGCUGACAUAUUUAGCACAUCUGAAUCAUGUCCUUGAAAAACUUGGUACCCCAAAGGAAGAGAAGUUAAAUUUUGAAAUACAUAUGGGGAAUAUCGUUCUGUCCUGGUACUUUUGGUGCAGUAAACUGACAAUCCCUUAUCAUCAGGAAUGACAUCUGUUUCCAUCAAUUCCAAAGUGUUCGACAUCUCAAUUAUCCUGAAAAUGCACUUCAGCAGAGAAAGGACAAAAUUAACAUAUAUGGAACUUAGGGUUUAAAGAUAAUGAAUUUGCCAAACAUAUUUCCGUUGAUGAUUGAUAAGGAGUGAGCCAAACCAAGCCCACAAAGACCAUUGGGUAGAACUGACAACAAAAACUAGUUAAGGGUUUUGGUGCCCUGAGGUUUUCUAAAGUUUUGAUUUGGUUCCCUCCCAUCCGAUGUGAGAUUAUUUGAAUACCCAGAGUCUUAUCAAUAAUACAAGUAGACAGAAAGUUGGAAGCUACUCAUCCUAUCUGAAAACUAGUGAGAAAUAUGAUUAUAGGAUUUAGCACCAAAAUCACAGUAUUAAACCAAGCUGACUGAAACUAACCAGUCCCUGCCAAUAUUAAUUAAUACAGAAGAUUUUAACAGGGUAGAAAUUAUAUCUAUCUUACCUCAAAAAGAGAUUCUGUUAUGUUCAAAUUGAGAUGAUUUGAUGAUGCAACAAUUACUUCAGUGAGCCCAGCAUUGUUCAGCAAAGAAUUUGCAUCAAAUUUUCUGGAUAAUUUGAUAUCAAAAUUCCAGGGCUCAAUAAAAGGCUCCCACAAGACCUUCAACAUAGAUCCACAGGUGGUUAUCAGCAUACUACCAAAACAAAGAUAAAAAUGACAGCAGGAUUCUGUUUCUGCCUCGUACCUUGUGCAUAUUAUUAUAAUUCACUUCAAGAUCACAUGAAACCAAACUCUCCAUAUUCUUUUCGGUCAGAUUAGCUUGCAGGAGAAAGUUUCUCAUAAGACCUUCAAGAAGCAUACCGCUACAUCCCCACUGCAUGAGAAUAUAGAGACAGAAGAAGUCUUCAGCAGAAGUAGCUCAAAAAUUUCAAGCUGACCAGUGGCAUAUAUAGUGCAAAAGCUAAAAGACAAGGAGCUCACAGACAAUCAUGGAAGAAAAUAUGUUCUAGAAAACAGAACGCAGACCCUUACCAACCAAAAUUCACCCAUCAAAUCAAGCUCGUCGGUGAAGAAAUAUUAAAAUCGUCAUCUUAAGCACUAAUUACAAAGAAGUACCAUAAAAAUUCAUACAUUAACUGAUCACGAAGACAAACACACGCAGUACAAGGUAUAUGCUAAUGCAGCACUUGAUGAAUAUAAAAGUGAGAUCAAUGGUGCAGUGUAUUCUUAAAAAAUUACAUUAGCAUGUAGAAAUCGAGCAAAGGGAUGUGAACUGCCAAACAAAGACAUGGACUGGCACAACAGAAGUGGCAACACAAUAACAAUGAUAUACACAUAAGCAGCAAAAGUGAAUAAUUGUGAGGCCAAUUCUGUGUGAAAGAACAUUGAGAGAUGUAUUAUAUAGUAUAUAAAGCACAAGCGUACCUUUCCAUCAGAUAUAAGAAGAGACACAUCUCUUAUCUGGACUUUUAUACUCAUGUUUCCUUGCGAAUUUUGUGAAGAUGGUGUCUCAGGUGCAUCAAACGUAAUUCCAUGCCAGAAAGAUAAUACUUGAUGAGAUGCAUGCAUCUCUACAUUGUCAGACAAUAUCCCCACAUCUAUGCUCAUGAUUUUGUUCUGAUCCAUCUGAAUACUAGUUUCUACAAGUAGUUGUGCCGCCCCAAAUAGAGAGCAAGACCUGACAGUGUCAACCCCAGAUAUUGCAAGAAUCCCAUUGAGUUUUUCAAUCUUAUAGCUCAGUUUGACAUCUCUCCCAAGAAUAGAGAGUUCGCCGCUCCUACUACGCGCUGUAACAGAAACAUAUUUACAGUAAUUCCCUUUAAAAAAAUUUCUGUGCUCUUCCUCAGAUAUCUCAUGAACAUCAGUUGCCAUGAACCCUGGAAAUUCUGUAUGGCUUGUGCAAAGAGGAAAAUGGAUUUGGACCCCAAUAGUCUCUGAUCUUGCGGAAAAUGCCAUUACCUCACUAGAGUUCUCUGAUACCUCAGUUUGCAGAACAUUCAAAACCCGAUCAGUAUUGUCACAAACAGUCCUUACCACUCCAAUAGAUUCAUCCAUAUCCAAGUUUGAACCUUUUGACAAAAAAGGGUCUUCCAGUAUCUGAGAAUAAGAUUUCAGAAGUUCAAUAACUUCAAUCCAAUCAAAAGAGUGUAACCAGAUGUCUAGAGAUGGAAGAGAAAAACAGAGAUCGUAUUCAUUUUCAGCCUGUUCCGUAAAUCUGACUUUCAGUGCAGAAGGAUCCCCAUAUGCAUUGAUGCAUCUAGCUAACAUGACUGAGCUCAGCAAUGAAUAAAUCCCGAUUUCGAAAAAUUGAACAUCCAAGCUCAUAGGGAAAUUAUUUUUAAAUUCUCCAGAGCAAACAAAUUUCAUAUCAGCUUGGAGCACUGGUUCGGAUAGCAGUGUUCCAGGAUCUUUCCUUAACCGAUGCAAUUUUGCCGUCAAAAGAUUGACAAAAAUUCUGAAUUUUAUAAAGCUUGUGGAAGAUCCCAGGGGGGCAACUGACAACUCUUGCUUUAGACGCAUCUUCGUACGAAGAAACUGAGGAACAUCAGACACGAAAAGUUUUGAUUCCUCAUCGACUAAAGAAAGCUGAUCAAACACAUCAAGAAAUGCCUUAAACCCAUCCAAGGCAUCUGAAUCUGCAAAGAAAAAGAAAAAAGAUAACACAUGUAAGCAUUACUUGAAAUACAUGAUCACUGUAGAAAAACAGAGAGGGUUGAGGAGCAAAAGUUAACAUGGAGGGAAACACCACCUACCAUCCACAACAAUUUCACAAACGUCAACCCUUGACAUAACACAUGCCAAAUCCGUUAACGGAUUGCGAUCACAAGGGAAGCUAAUCCAAGCAUCAGCGAUAAUGCUAGCAGCUAGAGUGAUACUUCUGCACAUGGCGUCAUUCUCGAAUGUUGAUAUGCCACUCUCAGAAAGCAGCAACGAUACCGAUAAGUCCCGCCCAAAUAUGUUUAAACAGUCAGCUCGCUCUGCUACUUGAUUAAGCGGAAUAACACAUUCCUGUGGUAUGUGCUGCACCACAUUGCUCAAAGCACACUCUGGAACAAAGCUAAUAUAUAACUGCUGAAUGUCAACUUUCAGUUGCCGGCGGUCAUCAUCUUCCACAGGAAGAACUAUAGAGGAGUCCAGUAUCUCAAUUUUAUAAGCAAUGGCAAACUCAGAAGGAGCCUUGGUCAACUCAGUAGCUUGUGGCAAUGACUGCAGGCCAGACUUCGAAGUCCAGUCAGAAAGAGAGAAGUAGCCAAUUAUAAUGGCCAGAUAUUCCGGAGGUAAAAUGCAGCAUGUGUGUUGAAUACCUAUGCUCACUUCAAGUUCAGAACCAGAAGGCUCCAAAUCCUUCUUCCUUACACGUAGGUUCAAGACCUGCGAGACAUCUGUUGAUGAAUGUUUCCAAAGAAACCCACCAGAAUAGUUGGUGAACAAAGAUGACUCCAGCAUCAAGUCUUCAGCAGAGGCAACCAAAUCGAGAUGAUCAUCUGAAAUGGUAAGAAAGUAUCUGGAUACUGGCAGUAUAAUAGUUCCAAAAACACUUGAAGAAUCAUGAAAAUGCACAUUGGUGUUGAAGACAUGCAUAUCAACUGUAAAGUGAUUGGUCUGACCAAGAUCACUGGAGGACGCAAGCCCAUUCAGAGGGCAAUCACGUUUUGGUUGAAAAGUACAGCUGUUACAUUCGCAGUUCAAACCUAUUUGUGCCCCAUCCUUUUUAUUCCUUAAUAUAAAUAACUUCCUCCAGUCAGAAGUCGAAUAACACAGAGAACUUUCUAGGCUAUCAAGAGAACCCGAAUUGUAAAUGGUUACAAAUGGAUAUUUGUCAAGAGGAAUGCAGCCACAAGAUCUACUUUCAAUGAAGUUUGAGAAUCCAAACCUUUCAAAAUCAAACUGAGUAAUUUCUGCUGGAGCACUGGUAUCUGUAGUAAGGCUAGAUGGAUUUGUAUCGCUAGACGAGAUCUUAUAGGAGGCUAUCUUAUCCAAAAAAUUUGUCAGCAAACCAAAUAUGUAUGGGUAGCAAUGGAGUUCAGCGCCCCUCCAAUAUACUGUAUACUUGUGAAAAACAAAACUUUUACUUUGGGAAACCUUGCAAUUUAAGCUGAUAGCAGCUUCAGGAGUUGUUCCGUAAUCAAUAAUGUUGGUUUGAUCGCUAGUAUGAGCAUCCAUCCCAUGUCCAUGGGAAGAAGAUUUGAGUAGAUUUCCAGAUGAACAUAAAAUAUGACUGUCAGCUGCAUCUUUAGAGGAGCAAGCUGUCAUUUCCAGUGUUUUCGCACGGACUGACCACUCUUCAAAUUUGGUAAGCGAAUACCUGCAAAUGACGAUUGUACAAGGGAACUUGUCAGGAACCCCCAGUGAUACAAUAUUUAACAAUUGAGAACCAAGAGAAAAAGAAUUGAAUGGACGUGGUUUUGACAAUGACAUCAGUAGAUGAGUUAUAGGUAGUGAUCGUAAGACCAAAUAUGUGUGAUAAGAAGCAUGUGAACAAGCAGACAUCACCAUGGUAAAUACAGAUAUACAACAACAAAAACGCUAAAUUCAUGCUUGUUUAAUAGCUAAAGGUUAAAUUUCCACUGAUACUGUAUAAAGACACAAAAUGGGCUACUUUUACCGUUGCAACAAUUACCUACCAGAGAUCCAGUUGCUGUAUAGAAAGAACAAGCACUGUGCUAUUUUCUCCUUCAUUUUCGAGAUUGACGUGCAACCUGAAAAAUGCCAAGUUGGUUUUUAUGGUGAAGUGAAAGAUGGGAGCAGGGGAAGGUGGAGCAUUUCGAGCUGCAUGAUCCUGAAUAUCAAGAUAUUCAAUCACAGACAUGACUCCUUUAAAUAUUGACGGAGAGAAAUGGACAUUGAACAUAGGCAGAGUAGCUUCAACCUGAAAAUGAAUGGAAUGGCAAAAAAAUCAAUUCCAAAAUGUGGUCGACGCCUCUAUUAAAGUACAAGAAAUAAGUAAGUUUAUCAUUCACUCAGCUAAACUUAGACACAGCCACCUCAAACCUGAGAUAAAUUUUAAUACCUCCAACUGCUUCAAAAUCGACUCCUCCGGAAUUAUACAAGACGCAAACUUGAUAAGUAAAGAUGAUUUCUCCACAAGGGGAAGUUCUUGGAAAGGAUAAAUCUUCAUGAGCUUCAUCUGCACAAGUAAGAACAUAUGUGAUUGCUUAAACAGCUCCAAUCAAAAAGAAAAAGAAAAUUAACAUAAACAUAUCUUACCUCAAGGUUACAGAUUUUGAUAUCAAAAUGGUCAUAGAGAUCUUUGACUUGAAAAGCAUCCAAGGCUGCAACGGAAACGGAACUUUGUAAGCUAUUGACCACAUGGUCCGCAUCAGACUCCAAUCUUGGACUUGGGCUAAGAGCAUCUGUGCUACUAGAUGUGAUAGAAAGAGAUUCCAAUACCAGAACCUGUACAAGGAAAUGCACAGAAAGAUAGAAUAAAAACUGAGAAGGAUACAAAUAAGAAAACACACACACUUAUAUGUUUAUAUAAGCGAAAUACCAGAUUAUAGCUUUCUGAUUCAACCAAUCGUCCAGGGAAACUUAAGGUAAGAUCUAUUAUGUCCAGGUCCCACUUAACUUUAUUUCGGCUUGAUAAGAGGUAUCUAUGAAACAAACCACGACACAAAUAAGUAUCACGAUCAAUUAGGAUAUGAAUUUAUCCCUAACAUUUCGAUAGAGGAAACACUUACUCAGCUUUCGCUACCAAUCGCGUUUCACUUUCAAGGCCAUUGAGUGAUGAUAAAAUCUGAGCCACAAAAGAGAAUUGUUAUUGGGUUCCUUUGUCAAUUCAUAAAUACAAUCUAUAGAAUUCAUAAGUCCAGUACAAUCACAGAGACAAACUGACAUUAUAUUCUACUUAUAACCACACUUGCUUAAAACUUGUUUUUCAAAAACUUCACUAAUUAUUUCAGAACAAACAUUACGAGCAUGUAGUAAAAUAAGAGCUCACCCUUUCAUGUUGUAGUUUGAAGUAUCUUGAACCCAUGAAAAAUUUACUGACAGCUAGAAAGAAGUCUACAUCAUAAGCAGCUUCAAGUGGUUGAAGGGUGACCUACAGAAUCAAGAUGCAAAAAUCUAUAACAAAGUCAAUCCUAAUAGUAAGCUAUGAAAAAAGACCAAGACUCCUAAGAGGAGCAAACAUUGUGUUGUCCACUGAUGCAAGGUGCAGUUAGUUCACCUUUAAUGACAAUGCAACAUCAUGAUCUUUAGACAACUUCAAUCGUGCUCCAUAUGAGGGUUUCGUUUCUAGUGUAUCACUCUGAGAACAGACCUGCAUGAAACAAUUAAAUUAUUUUUCCUGUAAACAUUGUGAAAAGCGCUAAAAUCGAUUUUUAUAACAGACUACGGAGCAUAAGUUACACCUAGAUGGUUCAUAUCACCUUAGUAAACAAGUACUAGUUUGAUAAUGUUCAUGAUUUCAGAUAUUAGCAGUUAUUAACAAUAUGGCAUAGGGGUAACACAAUAUUACGACACAAACCCCUUUCAUGGUUAAAAUUUCUUUCCCAUUGUGAGGAUAGAGCAGCCUUCCAGAAAUAACAGAUACAAUCAUGGCUGUAGAAUCUUUCCAAGACUUGCAUUCAACAAUCACCCCCAAAAUGUCCAACUCUGUAAUAACUUGAGAAGAACUCCUGCGGAAUAAAUAAGAUAAAAAAGAAUGAAAAUACAAACUCUAAAAGGCAGAGGCCAAGAUGAAGUAACUGAGAAAUUGUAACUUACCCAGUUAUAUGUUGCAAAGUACCAGAAAUUUUGGGUACGUUGAGUCGAAUGGAGCACGUACAGAUCUUACCAGUUGCACUUGUAUUUCUAGGAGAUGACGAAAGAGGGUGAAACUUUGUUGCCUUGUGUAUAUCCUGCAAUGGAUGAACAGUUACUAGGAUGUUUCAAAGAAUUCUGAAACUCCAUUGCUACUAAAUGGUACUUAAAAUACCUUGACAACUUCAUCAGAAACAACACCAGAAAACUGACUUGAGUCCUCUGUGCCUCCGGCACCAAGCAUUCCCCGUGACAACCAGUUCAACCACCCACGCGACUUAUUUAAUGUAGGAUCAUCACUCGGUUCCUUUUCAGAGCCAGUGGCACCAGUCGCUCCCAUGUUCACUGUCAAUUCUGAACAAGCUUCCUGCAUAAUAAGAUCCAAAGGUAAAAGGACAGAUAAUAAAUUGCUAUUGCUAGGACAUCAACUUCUGAUAGAUAUCUGAACAGCCUUUGGUAUCUCAGCCAAAGUAUAAAAUGCUACAACAGCAACCUAAUUUACCAUACCUGCAUCUCACCUUCCGCUGCAGACCUAUAACUUAAGAUAUCAUCAAUAUCAGACUUCUUCUCCACUUCUUCCAAACCCAAACGGAUAGACUCAUCGAUUGACUGUAGCCAGAGACAUAAAGCACAGCCAUAUUAGUAGAGAAGUCACUUGACAAGAAAAACUCAGGUUUUACAAUUAUAUAGAUGAUUAGAUAUGAAGGUUACACCAAUUAGUUGAACAAAUAUGUCCAACGUAAAGCAUCUUAGUAACAUAUGUUGGAGACUAAGGCAAAGCAACAAAAAGUUUAGGGAAGAGAACAAUGAACAUAUGUAUUUCUUUCAGUCAGCAAUUUCAGAACAACUACAUUUUUACGAUGAUAAGCUCCUCUAGAGUAUUUUAUUGAUGUUAGAAGAAGAUUAAGUGUUUCUUCAAUUUCCGUUUUUUGAAAUGUAUGAUGACGCUUAAACCAAGUAUAUUAUGCAAUUUCUACCUCUGAUUCCAACAUUCCAACAAGUUUAAAAGUUCCCUUAACUGCUACAGCUACCUAUGCAAUAAACCAGAAUAAAUCAUUCAUAUGGAAGCACAUGCUAAGAUAUAACAUUUUCGAAAAUGGCAGCCCUUAUUGAAAUAUGCUUCUAAAUCAUCUUCUCCUUACCACUACGCAUUCUUAGAACACAACCAGAUGAUUAAUCACCUCAUACUAUGCUCCCUGAUGGACUUAUAUGAUGUGAAAUGUGCUUCUAAACCAUCUCCUUACCACUACCCAUUCAUAUACAUGCUGCUGCAGUAGUUAAGAGGACAAAACACAUUGAAAUGAAAAACCACCUCAUGAGAUGCUCCCUAAUUAUGUAAAAUCACCUAAAAAUAAUGAGGCUUCUAUAUCUACAUAGAAUCCAACGGGUUGGGUUAGGCAAUUUCAUGCAGUUAAACAAAUAGGAGGACACAGAGCAACAUAAUGAACAAACCCUGACACUUCUAAUCAGAUAAGGAGGAAAAUAAGAUCCUUGCCUGUUCUCUGAGAAGGAAAUCUAGCUUUAUCUUGUAGAAGUUGAUAUACCUCCUGCGCAUUCUCCUGUAUUUUUUCCCGAAACAAAAAUCUAAAAAUUAAGCAGACCGCUUGAAUAUAUUCCGGGAGUAUUUUUCUAUUUAUGCCAUGAAAUAGUAAGUUAUUUGCGUGGAAGUAAAGUAUACAGAAAUUUUAAGAGAAUCAAAAUUGUAAUAGCUAUGUGAUUAAGUAUCAUCUAAUUAAAAUAAAAGAAAUGAUGUCAGAAAAGUAAACUUACAUUCGCUGUUCAAGAAAUCUCCAUGAAGUUUUCCACAGUUUCUUAUGUACAUCAGAUAAAAUUGAUUUUUGGGCAUAGUGCCACCAAAGUUUCUGCCAUCCUGGUGGUUUCCUCAAUAAGGAAGUGGAGCAGGGACGAUACCGCCCAUACCUAAACCAUUUAAAAUGUUCUUAAAUCAGUAGUUCUUCGAAAAGUUCUGUAGUGUCAAAUAGUAGAGCUAAAACUCAGGAGAAAAAAAAAUACGAAUUGAGGAAAAGUUAUCGCUACCCUAAUGAAAGGCUUACCUCUCACGCAAUUGGCUGGUUUGCAAGUAAUCUAACAGAAUAAGAAUCUGCUGCAAUUGAAAUUCAUUCAGAGUCAUGACCUGAAACGCAUAAGUGGAAGUUAGAGUGAGUCAUGAAAAUAAAUCUUAGCUCUGAACCUAGUUCAGCAAUUUCUGAGAACUAACCACAUCAGUCAACUCAGCGCUGAUAGAAUACUGAGGAAGAUCGUCAAAAAUCUCUCCAGAUCGAUUGACCUAUGCAAAGAAGUGUAUCAGGCAAAAUGAAGAAUGCCUAUUUACAUACAGCACAAAAAUGCACUCAAACAAUAGCUGAUGCACACCAAUGUGCUUUCUGUACAAAUAUUGUAUCAUUGAUCAGAUCGCUGUAAAAAUCUUUCACCAAAUACAAUGUCCAUAUGCAGCUGAUGGUGACAAUUAAACGAAUUGGCAAAAACGGCAAUGUAAAUCAUUUCUAGUAACAUUGACUGAUUAAAAUGUCAUCAAAAUUGCGUAGGCCAUCAGGUAAAUCAAGAAAUAGACUCAGUACAGCAGAUAUAACAUAUAAAUGUGUACAUCUCAUUUUUAACAUAACCGUAAAGCUAGAGCAAGGAUGCAGCGCCUUGAAGCAGCAACAAAGAUUAGAUGCUAACAAAAGAUGUUAAAAGACAGCAAACCAAUGACGCUGUUUUAGAUCCAUUACCAAUAGCGUUACAGAAACAUGGACUGGCUUCAGUAAAUAACCAAAUCUAUUGCUUUGCAAUCUUGACUGGCACCAGUUGUCAAAACCUCUUUUUUCAUUAACACUUGGAAAGUCCAUGUUUCCCUCAUACAUGUCACAAUAUAUUUCCAAACCUUCAAUCUCCACAAGUAUAUUCACUUGCCCCCCUCUCACCCUACCAACUGAUGGCCUGAUAUUCAACAGAGACAUCAUGUCAAAUAUUUCAGGGUGCACAUAUAUCCACCAUGAUCUUAUCUUAGCAACAACAAUUUAGCUUAUGGAAGAAACAGGUAUUAAGGAAAUUUUACAGUAAGAAAAGAGACAGUUGGAAGAAAGUUAUAAUGGGGUAUACUCUAUGCUGUCUCACAAUGUGACUCAAAACACAUCACCUUACCAUAGUGUAAAGCAAAGCUACAAGGAAUCAAAUACGAAAGUGGAAUAUAUUUUUAAGUGAUAUAGAAGAAACAAGGCAACUGGAAAGAAAUUAAUGUGGGGUAUGCUCUCUGCUGUCUCACAAUAUAAUUCAAAGAACAUAUCCUUGCCAUAAAAAUAAAGCAAAGCUCAGAAUCAAACACAAAGUGGAAUAUAUUUUAAAGUGCCAGAGAAGGUGCAUAAAGAGAUUACCCAACUGAGUUUUGUUUAGUAACUGUCAAGCUUGAAAACCGCAAUCCUAAUACAACUUGCACCUGCGACAGCAGUUUAGAGUAAAACAUAUGAAAGUGGGAAAGUAGACAACACCAAACGAUUGUUCAAAUUGUACUCUAGUGAAUCGCAAGAAAGACUGAUAGUAAUUUAGAAUCACAAUGCUCAAAUAUUUAAAUCUAUCUAGAUUCAUAACCUCCAUGAUAAAUGUUAUGCUCUCACAAAUAAACCAAGAUCACAGAACGAUUAUCGAUGUAUACAAGUUUCUACAAUUGCAAUGGGAAAAUUACAAAAUACAAGCCUAUAUUCUAGCAAACUAAUUAAACAGAACAAGCAGAAGGCUUACUGAUUCAGGUUGUGCAUCGGAGUAUAAGAUGUGAAAGUUUCUGAUGGACACUUGAAUGUUAUCAAGAACCUAAGCCAAUAAAGAAGGAAAGUUAACAUAGCACAAAAAAAACAAAGACAAGAAUGAUAACCUCAUCCAAAAGCAGGAAGAUCUACACAUCCUUAAAAACCGGCAACAGACCAAUCAUAAUAUGAAAAAUGUAAUAUGCUAAAACUAAGGUUGCAAAAGGAGACUUGCGGAACAUAAUGUUACCUUGGCAGCAAUAAAUGAGAAAAAAGACUUCCCCGCUGGACUGUCUGGAAAAAGUAAAGAUUGAAGGGGUUGAACAAAUGUUGCAUUGGAGCAAUCUUAAAGAUAAAUAAGAAGGAUAUUUGCUCACCGACGCGCCUGGACAAUUUUGCUAGUUCUGCAGCAGCAAGCUUAGCUUGCUUACCAGCAAACUCUCUUUUCUCAACGACAUCUGAACUCCACUGCAAUGACCAUGCAAUAUAUAUGGGUUUAGAGGCAAACACUUGUCAUGUAUAGAAAAAAAAAGGCAACUAUACAAGGAAUUCACCUCUUGAUCAUUCCGUUGUGAUGCACAUAUAAAGACAUCUUCAAGCAUAAUGAUUAUAGGAUCCCUACCAAGUUUCUUCCAUGGAAUUUUAAUGCUCAAUUUCCCAACACGGCCUAGAUAAACAACAAACGAUUUGAUACAGACAAAACGAAAAAGCUGAGAAUCGAAACUUCAAUCGAGUAACUAUAUCACCUUGCUUGAGAGCAAUUGGAAGCUGCAAAUACUCAAACGCCUCAAGAAUCAGUUCCACGUUCUCCAAUAAGACUUCCCCUACAGUUAGAAGCACGAAAUUGUGCGUAAAUCAUACAAUAGAGUGAGAAUAGAGCGAAAGAGAAGGAGAGAAGACGUGCAAAUACCAUUCCAGAGUGUGAUCUUGAGCUGGUCUUUUUUAAUGUCUUUGAUGUAGCGACCUAAGUACCCUAACAACAGUUGAACAACUCCUUGCACAAUUCCUUCAAACAUCUUCAAUCAAUCACUAUUUCAUAUUCCAGUAAAGAAUUUUCCUCCGCCGGGAGAAGAAGAAAAGAGACGGUGGUCGGAGUAGUGCGAACGAGUCGAGGAAUAUCGUAGGGUUUUUUUCCCGUCGAAACAAAUAGACUUGUCUUCUUCUUCACAAGACUAAAAUUUCUUUCGGUUUAGUACCUUUCCUACCGAACCGGAUCAGACCAAACGUGCCUAAUGUUGAUUACGCUAACCGGCUAAUACGUAAUUUGGGUUUUUUUUUACUACCUUUUUUCCCUAAGAUUUUUCUAAACAAGUUUAAGAGAAACAUUAUUCAUUUUCUCAGUUGAAUGAUUGGUUUUAUAAUAUAUAUUUUUUUUGUGCAAAGAUUGGUUUUAUAUAUCUGAACCUUCAAUCAUGAAACUUUGUUUUUGUUUGUCAGAAAUCAUGAACCUUAACCCCUAAUCCCAACAUCUUAAACCUUAACCAUUCUAUAACCUUUGUCUACCUCAUAAACUCGCAAGAUUUGAACCCUAAACCCAUAUUCUUCAAAUCUAACCAUCAUCACCGCCGGAUCUUAUCCCGACUUAUUCUCACUCUUUGUCGUACACAUAUAAAGAAGUCGCACGAAAAAAAAUGUGAGUGAGAAAAUUUUUUGUCUACUUUUUUUUUUUUAAAUAGUUUGUUUCUACUAACACCUUUAAGAAAUGUGAGAAUUUAUUUAUUUUAUAAGCAAAGUUUCUCAACAUUCAAAUCCCCUAAACUAAUUUUAGUUAGUCAAAUGGAAAACAAUAAAAUCAUGUCUUAAAACUUUUGGAUCUAAAUACCGUAACCUCUUGAAUUAAACUCUUGAUGUUGCAGACUCUUGGGGAGAAUGUGAGUUUCGUGUGGUGGCGCUUUUAGCCUUCUUCGAUUGCUAAAAGUGUGACAAAGGAUGGUCGGUUUCAUCUAUAUAUAUGGCACUUUGAAGGCCAACGGCCUGGCUCCACGAUCAAGUGUGAAAUGAAGCAAAUUAUUGAAUUUCUUUUAUUUUGUUCUAGUUUAUGUUAUCUCGGUUUUUCGAAUUUUAUUCGGAUAUAAUUUUUUUAUGAGCAGAUGAAAUUUUAAUUAAAAUUUGAUCCAGAUAUAGUAGUACUAUCAAAAGAAGCUCAACUAUAUGACAAGGAGGUAUAUGCUUCGGUUUGAGCCUUGGAGACUUGGCAACAUUAACAGAUUCGGCAAAUGGUCUCAUGAUGUCCAGAUAAACAAUCUGAACAUUCAUAUUAGAUGAAAAAGUAAAUAAGUAAAAACAAAAAAAAAGUAAAAUACUAUGAUUGAGCAAAUCAGCUGAUAUCUUCUUAUAUAGACUUUUCCUAGUAAUGAGGCAAAGUAGUAUAAUUCAUAAAUUAUACCUAGGAAGUCUAGUUCUCUUGGAGCUUCCUUGCACCAUUCAAUAUUCAUCUAUCAUGGGGCUAAAAUUGUACUGUGCAUGGUUCUGCCCACGCAAUCCAAUCAACAAUGGACUUUGCAUUCUUUCUUUUUUUUUUUUUUUGUCGUCUAAAGAUCUUUAUUAAUGUAAGGUAACCAAAAACCAUCAAAACAAAACAUCCAAAAUCAAAAAACAGAGCCCCACAUAACAGAGCAUUCAUAGUAUGAAAAUCUUUCCAUCUAAAUCAUCUUCUCUUUUCCGCUUCAAGCCGUGAAUGUAACCAAGCCGGACCACCACGAGCUAGAUAUGAUCGCACACGACCGUCUCUUGUGACACUCAUAGCUAUAUCUUUUGCGAUUGAAUUAGCUUUUGGAGAAGACACCUUGAACACUAUUUUACCAAAGUUUGAUAUCACCCGAUGAAUCCUAUCAAGAUAGGAAAGAUAUCUUGGCCAGUUUGAAGGAUCAAGAAUAGCUGAAAUAGCAGCAUUACAGUCGGAACAGAUCUCAAUGUUGUCCAAUGCAACGCUGAAAGACUAUCCAAAACCCAUAGAAUACCUCUUAACUCCGCAGCAAUACAAUUAAUUACGGGCAUAAACAUGUCUCUCGCAUGGAACACUGCAUCUCCUUAGUGAUUCCUUACUAUCCAUACUCCACCACAUAUGAGACUCAUUUAACCAAGAAACAUGGAUAAUUUACAGUGUAAUAUAGCCAUGGAUAUUGGAGAUCAGAGUGCAUACCAUGAGCUUGUAAACACACCGAGACUGCUAGUGCACCAGAUAAAGCCCUCCAUAAAAAUAUUUUGAUCUUAGGUACAGUUUUAACAGUCCAAAUCUUCUCUUUAAGAACUCUAGACUCUUGUUCCUGAGCAGAUAAUGGUGUAGACACAGUUUGCACGUUGGACAACAACCAAUUGCCACUCUUAACCGUGUAACACCCAGACCGAUUAUAAGCCCAAAUGUAACUGUCAGCCACGGCUAUAUUUGGAGGAUACGACAUAAUUCUAACAAUAUCCGGUGGGAAAAACAGUUCCAUUAGAAGAUGAUGAUUCCAAGAGCCUUGGGGGGUAAUAAGGUUUGAAACCCAUAAAUCUAAAUCAUACAGAGACUGUUUGUUGAAAGGACGACACGGAGCAUUAUCGAAUAUCCAUUUAUCGGUCCAUACACUCGUCGUUUGACCAUUACCUAUGUUCUUUAUGAGACCUUUUCCAAGCGAUUCUCGACCAUGAAUGAUGUUGCGCCACACAUAAGAAGGUCUAGAACCGACCACAACAUCCAUAAAACCCUUCCGGUGAUAAUAGCGUGCUUUAUAUAAUUUGGUUUUGUGAGAAGUCUCCAAGCUUGUUUUGCGAGUAGCGCUUGAUUAAAAUCACCAACUGCACGGUAACUUAACCCACCUUGUUUCCUUGUUUUACACAUCUUUAUAGCAACAGUAUUCAAAGAUAUUGAUAAAUUUGAUGCACGGAAACCCGAAACUUGAUGCCUUUAUAGCAACAGUAUUCAAAGAUAUUGAUAAAUUUAAGGAUCAGAGGAGGUGAAGUCUCAACAUAUUUUCCUUUUACAACUCCACAUUUUCAGAGAAAAGUUACUUAUCAUGAGAGAUUCCUGAUGUUGUUGUGCCUUUCGUUUUUGGUUUGGGAAUUGGCUUUCCAUGGAGACAACAAGGCCCAUGAUAAUAAGGUCAGAAACUCCAAAGUAUGUAACACACUAACUUAAGCAGAACUAAUGCUUCUAUGGUGACAAUGAUUUGUACAUCAUUGUAAUUCGGUUGGUUGCCUAUGGUGGAUUUCUUAAUCAGAGUUGUUAAUUGGUUUAGCAGAUACUCUUAUUCUUCACACUGGAUAUGUGAUUUGUUAAAAAUGUUGCACAUGAAACGAAAUAGAUAAAGAAAAGAAAAGGAGUAACUUAUUUACUGAAAACCUGCAAAAACCAACGACAAGCAAAAUUCAAUCCUGAAACUUAACUGGGACAAGGCUUAAAAGGUAUCAAAGUAUAGCCUAACAUAGAUAGAAAAAAAGAAGCAAGUUUCAUUCAAAACACAUGAGAAUGAAUACUCAAAACAAAGAUCAUUAGUCAUUACUGACAGAAGCAGCACUCCACAACCUUAGAAAUGAUCAAUACCGCAAGAAGAAAGACAAAGCCGCCCACAGCCCACAUAGAAGCCUCAAACCCCACAUAAAUAAGAGACUCCACGGUGGCCCCCAACCUUAAAUUACAGCUACAAUCUACUACAAAACCUAAUGUAAUUUUUUUUAAAAGAAUGAACUACCUCAAAAAGAAUUUACCAUGUAAUCUAAUUAAACAAAUUAAAAUAAUUAAUAAUAUCUUAAUAAAAUAAUUAGCUUAAAUCAUUAAAACCCCAAAAUGGAAUUAAUUGUGGGGACCAUUACUUGUCUCCUUUACGUGUCCCUCUUAGAUAAUUAAAAACCCAAAAUGGAAUUAGUGUAUUCCUUUUUCGAGGGAAAAACGAACAAAAAAACAUAACAAAAAUAAGUUUAACCAAAAUAAAUAAUAAUAGAGCUUCAGAACUUCCAAAAUGUUUUCCGCCUUUAUAUUCAAAAUAAUAGAGCUGUACAAUAAAUCACCAUAACUUUUGUCAAAUUCCUACAAAAUAGAAGACUUCAAAUCAUGAAAAAAAACUGACAGAUAACUCAAAUAAAAUAUUAAAAAUGAAGUAUUUACUUGUAGCACUUGUGAGAAAAAUGGCCAUGUCUAUAAGGUCGGAUUUGGUGGCAGCGACAUUUAACUGGCUAUCGGGAAUAAGAGUUGAACGUACAUAAUUUGAACAUAAGUCAAAAUAUUUUUUAUUCUUACAUCAAAAUUUCUUAGUUUGAAAAUUUCUUACGUUUUCUUGUUCAUCUUCCAUUUAGAAAGAAGGAAUAUAAUAUUAAAAUAAAAUAAAAUGAUAGACGAAGAAAACUAAAGAGAGACACGUGAAAGAGACGAUUAAUGAUCUUCAUAGUUAAUUUAAUUUUGAGUUUUUUAAUGAUUUAACAUAAUAUUUUUUAUUUAGAUAAUAUUAGUUAUUUUAAUUUUUUAAUUAGAUUACAUGACAAAUUCUGAUUAGUUAAUUAAGAGGCCCAACACCGGCGUGAAGCAAUUCAAAAGAGAGAGGACCCAUUAGACCAUCGGUAAAAGCUCCCUAAAUACAACCCAUUGUGGUGACUACGGCGGCAACUUCUGUUUUGACAACUAAGACUUGAAACCAGUUUCAAUCUCCUUGAAUUUGACUUGAAACUGUUGAAUUGGAUUCUGUUGAUCCUUCAUUAAGCUCAUCAUCGCCAUUGUUUCUUCCUCUUGUCUCCUUCUCCGUUCUUUCCCCAUUUGUCUCUCUUCUUAAUCUUAAUUUGUCACACUUUUCUUCUUUCUCCUUAUCUCCCUCCUUUUUGCCGUUUCCGAAUUUCUACGAUGUAUUGAUUGGGCCAUCUUAAUAGGCACAUAGGAUGGUAUUAGAUUACUUUACUGGCCCAAAAGAUAAUAGCUACAUGUUUUUUUUUUAAAUGUUAGAGUAUGUUGUUUUUGUAGAUGCCAACGACCAUCUAUCUUUAAUUCAUUUUACAAGUUUGUAUUCAGCCCUAAAAUCUGUAACAAAAUCUUAUGAUAAAACCUUAACAUAGUUAUAUAUAUAUCUAAAACAAAUGAUGGUAGCUUUAAACAAAAAAAAAAACAAAUGAUGGUAGCAUAUCUUUUUAGAAAAACCUAAUAAAACUUUAACAUAAUUCUAUAUAUACCCUAUAAAUUCUCCUAUAGACAAAAUAUCCUCUGUAGCACAAAGGUUUAAAUUAAAUUCAAUCUUCCAUUUUCGGGUUCAAAGCUCGGCAGCGGAAUGGAUGUUUCUAGUGUCCGUUUAUGUUUAGGUGUAGGGUUUAGGAUUUGGUUCUUGAAUCUCUUAUGUAUGACAGACAAUUUAAUAUUUGGUUUGUUUUCCCUAUUAGUAUCUUGAAUUCCAAACAAUGUCCUUGCUAGUCAUUAGUCUGCCUUGCUACACUUGAUAUUCAAGUAUUUUCAGUGUAAAAAAACUUUGACAGAUUUAAAGGUAAAAUGGACCAAAAAGACAACAAAAAAUCGUUUCAUAAUAGUUUCGAAGCUUCCAAAUUUUGACAUCCGUUGAAAGCCUUCCGAAGCACCAAAUCAAAAUAUCUUGAACGCUAUGGAAAGCUAGAAUAGUCAUGAUUCGCCUUGAAGUCAUCUUUGCAGAUGAGGACUUGGGCAAUGGAUUCUAUUCAUAGUCUCAAGAUGAAUAGGGUCAUCUUUGCAUCUGAGGCACAUGAUAUUUCCGGGGCUAUUGCAAGACUUAAAGCAUGGCUGUCUUUCACUCAACAAGUAAUGGAGAUUAGCCAUUUUUAGGAUAAGCUUAAAGAUUGGAGGCUGGAGGUGGAAAGUGCUUACUCAAAUAGAAGCUCUUCUCUCAUUGCGCAAAGUGUUAUUUCUAAUGCAAGAUUUCAAGACUAUGUAGCUACGGGUCAUCAUUGGUGGUUACAUAGCUAGGGUUUUUGAAGACGAGAGACUUGCCUCUAUUGCUAUUUGAUGUUCCUUUCAGUGGUCUUUUGCUUUGACUAAGUUUUUGGAUAUUUGGAGGAGUUAAUUCGUUUCCCUAAGCUAGUUUCAUCUUGAAUAUUCUUCAAGAUUGGUUUGUAAUGGUUGCUUACCAUUUCUAAUAAAUUUAUCCAAGACGGAAAAAAACAAAAAACAAAAAUUAGUACGGAAAAAACAAGUAUAUAACAAAGAGCUGUGUAUAAGCCUUGGUUUGAGCCUUGGAGACUGGCAACAUUAAUAGUAGAAAAGGAAAGUAACGUUCUUUUGUGGUUGCCAACAAUCAGUAUGCAUUGAUCACCAUCACUUGAUGUAAGCUUUACGUUGUAUAUGACGAUGCUCAUCCAAACAUUCGGUUGCUGCCUGAAACACACACCUCUUCUCUAAGCACUCUCACAGCUUCUGUGACUCCAUCCUGAAAUCAUCAAUUUUUUGGAUACCCUAAAACUAUCAGUUGCCACAAAAUACUCAAACUAUGAAAUAGAACACUCCAUGGGAAGAAAUGAUAAUAAACUGAUCGUAACUGGUUACCUCAAGAGAUAAUAUUUCAGCAAUUUCCAUCGCACAAGCCCUACUUUUUGCAGACAGUGCAUCGUAUAUGGCUUUUGCUACCACUUGUGCAGCUUCCAUGAUGUUUUCAUCAUUUGGUUCCUCUAGAAGCAGGUGGUUUCUUUUCAAUGGUUGAGGAGCAACUCCAAGCCAAGACAUCUUUUCUGCCCAAUAGAACUGAUCCAGCAUAAAUGGGCAUAUGAUCUGUAGAAAGGCAUACACACACAUUAUGUGGUCACUUUUUGGCAUUACAACUUGAAAUUGAUAAAGCUUUAAGAACGUCAAUCAUCAUUUGUAACCAAGCAGUGCACAAAACUAUGGUUUAUGAGCAAGUACUAGUAAAGUUUGUAGCAGAGUAAUCAUAUAUCAUACAUUUUUGAAGGACCAUGACAUGUUCUUCUGAUGUACUAGUUACUGUACAGCUAAAUUUCUACUGAUCCUUCUAGACAAACAAUUACUUUUACCAUUAUAUAUCAAAGAUCUAAUAAACUAACAUACAAACACAAACCUGCGGGAUUCCAGCCUGUAAUGCUGCAGCAACAGAACCGCUGAUUUCCAAAGGGGACAAAAUUCAUAUAGAAAGACAAGCAAAAAUCAGUUUACGUGUAUUUAUAUGUGUCCAUGUUCACCAGGAAAUGGUAUCCAGCUGACAUUUUCACCUGCCACCAUGAUGAAUUGCUGCAGCGCAUCUUUGAAACAUCCACUUGUAUGGCACCAUACUAAUUCAGAGAGACAAAAAAUUAAGUAGGUUAUAUGGUCACAGUGUAAUGUAGGUUUUGUCAUGUCCAAAUACAAUGAUCUUUUAUUGUAAAUAAUGGCCAACUAAAUAUUGGGCAAAUUUGUGCUCACCCAGGGAAACAGAAAAGCUUGCCGUUGAAAAUAGAGAUUCCUGCAUGUAACGGUUGUUUCUCACUUGAAUCUGAUCUAUUAGCAAUGGUCCAAAUUGCUGCAUCUAAAGGUCCAUAACCUGCUGUGAAAAUGAUAAAUCUGUAACCUGUAAUCUGGAUAACAGAUUGGAGAACUCGAAGAAAGGCUAUGGGAUCCCUUACAAAGCCCAUGCUGCAAAAGCAAAGAGAAAAGUUACUACCGUACACUAAUUCAGCAUGGGUUAUAUAAUAUUUGAUAGAAUAAGUCUCAGUCUUCUUCUGAAACAAAAGGUGUUGAAAACAUAAUCAGAAAUGAUUCAGGGGGAUCAACUUAAAUUUAGACCUUCCAACAGAACUCAACCCUACAAAGAUAGGCAGUUCUGGCUCACAAGACGAUAUAAAAGUAUACAACUCAGAGUGGUUUGAGCAUGUAUGGGAAUCGUCUGUACCCAGGCGCCCUGUAAAAGGAUUGUCUCCACACUUGUUGCAUGAAAACUGCCAUUCAUUGGGCAGAAACCAAAAGCCGCAAACUCGAACGCUCAAGGGCCAGUAAUCUGUUAAUAAGAAUAAAUGAAUGCAGUGAAACGCAGAGAACGAAGCUUUUUCAAAUCAAUGACGAUUUACACUGAGAUUUUAUAAUGUGUUCCAAGGAGUCAAGGAAUAAAAACAACUGCGCGUCAAACAAGAUUCAUCUUUAACUAUGAAUCUGUUACAUUCAAUUAGUUUCUACCCCUUUCUAUCAAAUGUAAAACAGACAUCCUUUUAAAGUUGGGUCUGUUUUAACCUUUUUCUUCUCUGGUAUAAAGUUCCAAUCACAUAUUUUCUCAAGAAUUUAUAAAUGGUAAGAAUAUAGCUGCAAAAUAUACCCAAAAGAAAGAAGAAUAAAACUACUACCCAGAUAACUUUUUUUAAAGAAGAUGCUAGCAAAGCACAGAAAAAUAUUUGGUAGACGCGACAAAUAUCCGACAUACCAGGGCAUUCGACGAUUUCUUUGCUGAAACCAUACCUGUCACAAGGAAAAUACGUAACAGGUCACUUACAAACUUAUGCAGUUUCAUCUGGGUUUUACAACUAAAUUACUUAAAUUUCAAAGUUCUUAGUAUUUAAUCAGAUAUCAGCCAGUGUUGGACAUAAAGUGAGAAAGUACAUUAAAUAGAUCAAGUAACCAAAAAAUACUUAGUAUAUGAAGAUAAAAUCGUGAUGGCAAGAUAGAUUGCAAAGUUGAUCAGCUUUUACCACCAAGUAAAUUCACAACUCACAAGACCAAGGGAGAUGGCGGCCGGCUACGCCAAAUUGGAAGGUCUGUUACUGGAUCCUGCAUCCAAUGAGUAAAUCGGGUGACAGUUCACACUAUCAUUUUUCACAAUAAAAUGUAACAUUCUAGGUCUCUAUGUUUAGAAAAUACAUACUGCAAAAGGGUAACAACUUAGGUUGAGUUCCUCGUAGCGCCACGAUCCCCAUUCUUCAGUAAAAAGAGGCCACAUCCAAUGAGUUACAUCACUCCAGCUAACCUGCAAAAACACAGACACUAGAAUGUUUCAGGAGAAAAUAACACCAAUUGCAUGUUUGUAUCACAAUCAUAUGGAAUACCUUGCCGAUGGGGGCUUCUUUCAAGUACUUGUACAAAUCUGGGAGUUCCUUCCUAAACUGUCUUUCAAAGCCUGAUGGUGGACUGUACAAAAGAAGAAUUGCAAGUGAUCAUCUUCCAUUUCCAGGAUGUCACACUCAUACUUGUAAGCUACAAAGUUACCUAUACGGAACAACAUAAGGAGCCGCUACCACACAAGGGAUUUGGAAAAGUUCUGCAAGGCUCCAUCCUUCCUAAAUGCACAAUCAGAUGAACCACAGUUAGUAACUCGAGAUAAAGCAGACACAAUCAAUCCUGGUACAAAGGAGAGAGUAUUAAGCAGAUGUACCAAUGCAAAGAAAUUUAUGACAACGAAAUCACCCUCCAUACAAGGACCCUUUCCGAAAAUGCUUUUGAAUGCAGAAUGACACUCUUCUCUGUGUUCCCUUUUUAUCCUUUCUUUUUCCUCCAAAAAUAGUUUCUCUGAUUGAAACCAGAAUUGAUGAAUGGUUAAAGCUAAGUAAGAAGAAGAAAACCAUAUUUGAAGAAGAAACUAAAAUCAGAGUAUUGACCUGCGGCGUUUUGAGUACCCUGAGGUUCACUAGACAGGGCAGGAGGAGAAUUGAUAGGAAGAUAGGAAACGUUUGCUUUGUUCAAGUGAGAGCUUAGGUUCUGCAACAAAUCAACCUCUAUAUCUUUGAUUCGAGAACGUAGUUUCUGCAAGUCGAGAACUUUAUGAGAAGAAGAAGAAGAAAAAACCAAACCUCAUGAGCCAAAUGUGACAUCAAAACCACAGAGUAGUGUUGCUGAACACGAGCGAAAGCUGCAGCAAUGGCCUGCAAAAACAAAAAACCUUCUUUGGUCUCGCUUCCUAAGCCAGACCCCAAUUAUGAAUCGAGAUACUGAGAGUAGAGACAGAGAGAAUACAGCGAGAGGGUAGACAUCGCCUUUGGUACCGAAAGCCAUGAAGAGAGCGAUGGCUUUCCUUCUCUCCGGUUCCUCCUCCAUGGUGCUCAAAUGCUCCGAUGAAGUGACAGAGCGAUCACCAGUGAAGUGCGUUUGCAACAUUUAAAGGUGCGUUGAAAAACAUUAGAAUCGCGUUUUAAAGACGGUUGCGUCUCACAACCCGCAAAUCCUGCGUUUUUGCGGGAUGUUGCGGUCGCUAGCGUUUAAAACCAAUCAUAGCAAUCAUUUAAAGCAUUCCAGACAGCUCUAUACCGUUCAAAAUUACUGAAUUUCAAAAGCUCUUUUCCGUAAACGUUUGAGGUUGCGGAGGAUCACAAACGGAUGCGGGCAGUAGCGAUUCGAAAAAAAAAAAAAACAAAUAAAUUUCCUUAAAAAUAUUAUCAAACCCUAUAUACUAGUAUAUAUUAACGUUAAUUCUCAAAAUCAUGGCGUCAAACCAAACUGAAGACAAAAGAAAAAGUUUUGACAAUUUUGAUCUGCCAAAAAAAAGUUUUGGUUUGCAAAAUGUAUAUACUUGAAACACUGCUAUCAAUUUAAGAUCGAUGUCCUUGGUUCUAGUCUUCUAGACACUCGUUUGUAUCAUCAUGUCGCAAUCCACUUUUGAUGACAAAAAAAGAGUCUCAUAGCUCUAUAGAAGAAAACCAUCACUUUUGUUUUAUACAACAAUCAGAUAAUGAAAUCGAUCUCAGCUGUAGAAUGUACACAUCUCUUGUUAAUCUUUUUUCGGAGACAUUACUUUGGCAUGUGAAGAACACAACGCAGACACUUUCCAUCUCUCAUGAGAUCAAAAGCUUUGUUGAUUUCAUCAAACACCAGGUUAUGCGUAACCAAUUCAUCGAUCAUAAUCUCCUGCGCCACGGAAGAGUGAAAAUGUAAACAAACUGUUUCAUCCACUAAAAGUGAUUUUGCUAAUGUAGCUGCACGCUUAUAUACCUUGUUCAUGUACUUUUCAAUGAGUGAAGGAAGAUCAGAUUUAGGCUUCCAACCACCAAAUAGAGUCCCUUUUAAAGAUUUUCCAGAAAGGAAAAGUCCGUAAUGAGCUGAAACUUCAGGCUUCACUUUCGGUACACCUAGAGUAACCGUCAUUCCCCAUCCCUGAGAUAUUCACAUUGAAAAGGUUUCAAAAAGGCAUUUGUAUACAAUAUAGUUACAAGGUGGGAACAAAUAGAACUGAAAUCUUACAUCCGAGCACGAUUGUAAAGCAGUUGUAGCUAUUCCUGUGUCACCAACACAUUCAAAUGAGAAAUCCGCACCUCCUCCAGUCAUUCUUUUGAUCACCUAAAAUCCCAACGCAUCAGUAUAAUUUUCUACACCGCCGAUUCCAAUGUCUUUAGUUAUUGCUAUGAUAAGCACAAACCGGAGAUACUGAAAUUACCUGGGGUAUAGGUUCAGAGAGGUCAUUUGAAUUGAUGAAAUCCGUGACGCCAAAUGUCUUUGCUGCAACAAAUAAGAAACACUCAAAACCAGUCCAGAAACGUGUUAUAUCUUAAUGAUGAUAUACCUUGUUCAGCCUUAGCUGGAUUUAUAUCAACCCCAAUUAUUUGAGCUGCUCCUCUGAGUUUGGCACCUUGAGCAACCUACUCAUAAGAGAUUAAUCCCACAUCAGACUCCAUUAGCACAAAAGCAUCAAAACUUCUGUAUCUAUACUUACCGAAAGACCGACAGUUCCAAGACCAAAUAUCACAACACUUGAACCUUUUUGUACAUCAGCAACAUUCCACGCUGCACCAAGACCUAAAAUUACACCCAAUAUUCUCAGUAUUGACUGUAAAUAACUAUUAGAAUUUAAUCAUUUUAAGAUAUUAUUUUUAACUACCUGCAGCUACUCCACAGCUUAGCAGACAAAUUUUGUGCAGAGGUGCAACAGGAUCGACUUUGACAGCACAGCCAGAGUGAACCACAGUGUAUUCGCUGAAACUUGAAACCGCGCAGUAAUGGUAAACAGGUUUGCCUUUGAUGGUGAAGCGUGUCUUCUGAUCACUAUGCAUCAAACCUUUCCUCUCCAUUCCAAGAACCUGACACAUAUUACUUUUCCCAGAGAUGCAAUGCCGACAUGACCCACAUUCUCCAGUGAAUACAGCGAGCACAUGAUCUCCUUUCUCAAACUCGGUUACACCUUCUCCAAUGCUCUCUACUAUACUGCAGUAACAUCCAUAGACACGAUGCUAGGAUUCAAACCAGUAAACUCUUUCUUUACUCAAUUCACAAAGAAGUACACCUUAGAAGCUACUAUUAACUAUAAAAUUCUCUAACUCUCGACUGAUGCCGCAAUGCCUAAACCAAGACUCUAGACAAAUCCAGAAUGUCCCCCAGCACAGUCUCUUCGCUCUUCUAUAAACCAUCACCUCUCAAUUAACUGGUAAGGUUUGAUCCUAAGCUGACCAAGCUAAUUACAAUAGUCCUAUACUAAACACCGCAACAACGCUGCUAAAUCACACACUAAGAACAACAUUAGAGCACUCAAUACCUUAUCACAUUCUACAUAUCCGAAAUGAAGCUAAUUUUCUUAACUUGUUCCUAUGCUUGCCUAAUCUAAAAAAUGAGGUUAUAGACAAAAUGUAACGUACCCUGCAGCUUCAUGGCCAAAUAUUCGAGGCAAAAGAGACUGUACCAACAAAUGGAGACUUCAUCAGAGACACAUACUUAUAAAGCCAGACUCAUUAACAGGUUAUAUAGUAAAGAAGAGAAACUACAAACCUGAGCUUCCCAAGCAGAAAGAUCACUACGACAGAGAGAUGUACAUACAACUUUAAUUCUGAUCUCAAGAGGUUGAGGUGGACUCACUUCAACUUCCUCCAUAACCAAUGGCUCACCAGCACGCCAUGCCACCGCCGCUACAGAAUUUCUCAAUCAAAAAACCUAAUCUUUCAUCAACGAGAACAAAAACAAAAACCCUUUUUUUACCUUUGCAGGUUAUGACUUGAGGUUGUUCGAAGGAAGAAGAAGAAGAAGACGACAUCGUUAUCCCAAAUUUUCUUGCUUCAAGCACAAAAUGAAGAAACCUGAAGAAGAAGACGAAGAAACAGAGCUUCUUCACCUAACACCGAUCCUGAAGAGGAAGAAACAGAGGUUCUUCACCUAACACCGAAAUCACCAACCACCAUUGAGCUUAAGUGAUCCAAGAAAAAAUUAAAAAUGGUGAUUUUACAGCUUUAGAGGUCCCACGUUAGAUGCAAGUUAUUCUCGCCACCAACCUUUCGUUAAUUAAUCAUACUAAUCUUGCAAUGGAUUCAAACAUUUCUACUUUAGUUUCUUCUGCGUUCGACAUUCUGGUGGAAUUUGUCACGCCGUAAUUACAAGAAAAAAGAAGAAAAAAAACGAUGACAUGAGUGAUAUGGGAGAGCAAUUUUUGGGUUAGCUAAGGCAGACAGAGAGAAGAAUAUUAUUGGGCUUAUAGUGGGCUCGUUUGGGCUUAUCUUACUUCAUAAUGUUCAUGAUAGGUUAAAUUAAAAAACCGAAUAGCCUAUAUUAUGAAUGAAUAUUCUCACACCCUAGCACAUUGUUAAUUGUCUUGUAUAUUCUUUUUUUUUUUUUCUUUUUUUUGCUAUGGAUAUAAAUAUCAUUAAGGGUCUAACUGGUUUAAACGCAGCGGUUGCGGUUGCGGUUGCGGGAGUUUGCAGAAGCGGGCGGUUGCGGUUUCAAGCGUUACCAAGCGUUUUGAACGACUGGUUUAGCGUUUGAAAAUGGAUGCGUUUUCGGGAGUUUUAUGACUGGUAAAUCAGCGGUUGCGGUAGCAGUUAAAUAAAAAAAUGACCAAAAAAAUAAAAAAAAUAUUACAAAAAAAGAAAUAAAAAUACUAAUAUAUUAUUAUGAUAAUAUUAGAAAAAUUGAACAUGCUUAAUAAUUGAAACCAUAAAUAAAGUACUAAAUAGUUAUUCAAAAUAAAGAAAUUUUGUAAUAAGAUAGUAUUUUAUACUGGGUUAACACCAAAAAUUGCAUCAAGUAAUGAGGCAAACUGUAAAUAACGUUGAAUUCAAUCAAAAAGCAAGUGAUUUUCUAUUCGAGAAAAUAAAUCGAAACAUAUAUUCAAUCAAAAAGCAAAGCAAUACAUAAUGAAAAAAAAAAAAAGAUGCUAAGAAAAAUAUUCAAAGAGUUACACAUGAGGUGAUGAAUGAAUAAAAUGAUAUAUGAUACUUACGUUUGGUUCUUGAUUUUCAUCAGUUUGAGUGGAAGACAUUGAGAAAAUAAAAUUUUAGAAUAUUGAUUAGGGUUUAUGAUGAGAACGUGAUACAAAGAUGAAAGAUACAUAUAUGAUAAAUAUAUUUUAUAAUAAUUAUAAGUAAAGGUUUGUUUGUUUGUUUUUUUUUUUUUUUAAAAUCCAACCGCUAUCGCCCGCAACCGCAAACGCUUGCGGGAAGGAACUUUUGAAAUUCAGCGAUUUCGAGCGGUUUAAAGCAGUAUGGAGCGGUUUCUAUGAUUGGUACCAACCGCUAACAACCGCAACCGACCGCUAGCAACCGCUAGGAGGGUGCUAGCGGAAAAACCAAUCAAGUCCUAAGAAAUGAAAAGUUUAGGUAUUAAAAAAGAUCAUUUUACCUAUAUAUUUGAGAUCUUGGCAAAAAAGAAUAAAAACAAAGUAACAAAUGAUUUGGGUACAAUAUGGGAGAGCUUACUAUAACUAUUCUUUUACUUAAAAAAAAAAAUAAUGUUUUCAUAUUUUUUUUUUCUUUAACAACUUUUCCAUUGAUACAGUCAUACAGACCCAACUAAAAAAAAGAAGACGAAUUACAAGGAGAAUUGGAGAAACAGACUUCCACAUUUGCCACCAUUUUUUUUUCAUAGUUUGUUUCAAAAGAGAGAGGUCCGGACUCUGGAGGCAUUAAUUAGUUGAUGAGGAGAAAGGCCAGCCACGAAAACCUCUUAGAGCAUCAUUAUAGAUAGUUUCUUAGAGAUAGAUCUUAGUAAUAUUUAAAUAAUUUAUUUGUAAAAGUGAUUAUUAAGAGAUAGUAUUUUUGAGUUAAGAUUUUUGUGUGAUUAAUAGUAGGCUCUUAACAUGUGGUUCUUAGAAAAACAAAUAUUAAUAUAAAAAUAAAAUUUAUAAUUAUAGAAAAUUUAAUAAUUGUUGCAAAUUAAAAAAAAUAAAACAUACAUGAGAUACAAUUCAUAACAUAAAUCACAAAUAUUUUAAACUUAAUUUCUUCUAUAUUUUGUCCAUAUAUGUUCGACCAAAUCAUUUUUCAAUUGUUGAUGCAUACCUCGAUCACGAACUCGAGCUCUAUUAUCGAAGAAAUUAGAAGGCGUAUCUGUAGAAUAUGUGAAAUCCGCUCAAUCAAAACGUGACACGUGACACCUCUUAGGUAUUAAAGUGAUUUAAAUUAAAUAGUUAGUACCUUAAUAAGCUAAGGAACGUUCCUUAGCUUAUUAAGGUAUUAACUAUUUAAUUUAAAUCAUUUUAAUACCUAAGAUUCAGCUAACAUCCCCCCUAUAAUGAUGUUCUUAGGACUGAAUAUGAUAAAGCCUAUAAAACAAAGAGCUACUAUCAUUUCUUCAUAGAUUGAGAUCUUCUUGGAACUUAAUGCUAUCUUUCAAAACGUCUCAAAUACCUUAGUACAUCUCUAAUGAUUACGAUCAUUUUUUCAUUCUAAACGAUUACACUAAAAUGAGUUUUUCAAAAAUAAUAAUAUUUCAAGUAUAUUCUCACUUACUAUUUUUUUUUAAUUUUUAAAAACACCAUUUAAUUUUUAAUAGUCCCAUAUAUUGAGAAAAAAGAAACAUAAAAAAAUUAGGGAAAUUAUUUUCCAAUGGUACAUCAUUUUGAAAAGAAAAGGAUUAGUUUGAUGUAUUAAUUUAAUAUUCACAAUUUUACUUUUUCCUAGAAAAUGAUGUAAGUAAAAAAAAAAUCCUCAUUUUUUAAAUAUUUCCUCUCAAAAUAAGGGACCAAAAGACAUGGUUUUAAUUGUUAGAUCAUGCAAACCACAAAAAUUAUAAUUUCCUAGGCUCCUAGCUACUUGAACAAAUUGAAUCGUUGUUAAAUUGUUUAUUCAUUAAUUUAUUUUGACCAUGAUUUGAGUAAUUGGCUCAUCGCGUUGGUACUUAAUCGGGUGAUAAAUUGAUAAUGAUACGAUGAAAGACAAUCUCACUUCAAUUACGCAGAAAAUGGACAACGAUCAAUAGAAACAGAGUCACAUGCAGUCAUAUAAUACCACAGAGGCUGGUCCCAUGCGAUAUAAAUAGAUUACAACAAACACUCGUGUAGAGGCACGUGUUCUAUUUGUUCGUGUCUAGGUUCAACGUAUCUGGCAACCAUAAUAAUAAUAAUAACAACAACAAAAAAUUGGUUUUUUAGUAAUUUGCAAAAUGGUCUUGUAUAUUUUAACUGGUUUGUGAAUUGUGAAUCAAUUUUAACACUACAUGAAUAUCGGGUUUUAAUAGCACUAUACAAUAGCGUUUGUAGUCAUUCUGCUAUUGUUAGAGGACCUCUGAACUUUCAAUAGCGUUUCUACCUUGUUGAAACGCUAUGGAUAGUAUUUCACAAUUUUUACUAUGACGCGGAAGUAUAUUUAAUAGCAUUACCAUAUUAAAACGCUAUUGAAAAGGUUGGGCGCUAAAAAUUUCCCAUUCCCGCUACUACACUUAGAAAUAUUUUUGGGCAUAGUUUCUUUUUCCCCUUAGCUCAUCUUUGUCGACUUUACUCUUCAAUUUUUAGGGUUUCCUCUUUCUCUCCUCUUUGCUAUCUCCGACAGACACAAAACACAAAUUUCCGAAAAAUUUCAACCUCUUUGCUCUCUCCGCAUCUUCCUUAGGUUCUCCCAUCUUCCUUGUAUGCUCGAUCUGUUUGGGAAUCCCACUAAAUCGAAGGUAAAUCCCACUUAAUCACAAAUUUGUUCUUGAUUUGUAGAGAGAGAGCUGCGAGAUGACGAUUUGGGUUUGGGUUUGGUCGAUUUAGGAAUUUGAGGAUUUAGAAUUUGGGGAUUUAGGGAUUUGAGGAUUUAGGUAGAAUCGCUUACACAUUUGAGACUGUAUCUACAUGUUCUUUGAACUGCUUUGAGCUGCUUUGUGUAUCUUUCACAUCUUCCUUGUUAACUUGAGUCCUAACAAUUUGAAACUAGAUCUGGUCUGACAUUUACUUCAAUGUGCAGGUCGUAGUCGAACCAGUAUCCAAACACAUCACUUGUCCAGAUUGAAGGAGUCAACACCCAAGAGAAGGUAAACAGAGCCAAAUCAAAGACUAAUAAUGAAAUCGAUUUCUUUUAAUUUUUGUUGGAUUAGUAGAUUUAUUGAUUUGAGUUUAAUUGAUUUCUAUUUUUGCUUUUUCUGUUGUAGUUCGAGUUAAUCAGAAGAGAACAAACUCUAUCAGGUAUAUGAUUCUUCUAUCAGAUUACUUGUAUUGUUGUUUUGGCUUUGAAAGUGACUGCCUCUGAAAAUUACUUGUAUGCACAUUUGGUCGGAGCUCUUGUGAAAUGGAUAAAGCUUGGGUUUGGUUGCCAAGGUAUUAACUUGUUCUUACAUAUAUGCAUUGAUUUCAUUUUAUGAUUGACUGUUCUCAGUUUGUAAUGGGUACUAUUUGUUAACUUGUAGGAAUAACCUUGAGUAUGAAACAGGAGCAACUAAGUUUGUGGUUGAAUCAGCAAGUAAUUUGGGUAAUCCAUCAGAAAUGUUCUGAAAUUCAAGUAAUAUCUGAUGCAGUAGGAAACUGGGUGGCUUGGCCUAACAAGCAUAUUGUAUUCAUGUGAGCAUAAGUUUGUGUCAAAAAACAUUGUUCUAUCUCAUGGUGUAGUACUACUCUUUGUAUGAUCUUUUAAAAUGACAGGUUUUAAAUCCAGUUUUAAUUUUAAGUUUAAUUUAAAGUCUUCAUAAUUUAAAUAUUAUGAAGUACUAAUAUUAUAUAUAAUUACAAUAUUAUAUAUAAUAUUAAAAACAACAAAUAUCAAUUUUUCUAAAUGCUUAACUUUUUAAUAACACACAAAAAACGCUAUUAUAUAAUUUAUAAUAGCAGAAAAGAAAACGCUAUGUUAUAUAAGCAUUUAUAGCAUUACAGAAAAACGCUAUCUAAAGUCACUUACCUAUUAUAGCGGGCGUAUAUACAGCGCUUUCAAAAACGCUAUUAUAUCUUUAGACAGCGUUUUUCAGACGCUUUUAAUACCCGAUAUUCCUGUAGUGUAAUUGGAGUAUUAAAUAGGGUAAUAUUAGUCGAUAGCCAAAUUAGACACAUAAAUUAAGAAACUAGCAGAAAAAAGGUUUUUCUCGGAAAACAGCGAUGGACCCACGUUGUCAGAGGAUGUGAAAUAACAAAACUAUCCUCCGUUUGUUUUGAGAUCAACAGUAGGCAAGAUUGUUUCGUGAUAUUUUUCAAAAUAGCACGUAAGAUCUAAAUUUCACAUAUUAUAUUUAACUAAAAGACAUGAUAUUUCAAAAAACGUAGUGAAUUUUUAAGAAAAAACAUUUUUAUGUAGUGUUUUUUUUUUUUAAAAAACAUUGUUAUAGAAAAAUUAAACUUGAAUAGAAUUUUUUUUUAAAGAAAUAACAUGUAAUCUUAAUAAAAACCGUGAAUUACUAUAAAAUAAGAAUGUUUUUUAAAGAAAUCACAUGUGAUAAUAAUAAAAAACAUGUAUUACUACAAAAUAACAUGAUAGAGAGAUAUUAAACUGAAUAGAGUGUUUUUUUCAAGAAAUACCAUGUGCUCUUUAUAAAUAACGUGUAAUACGACAAAAUCUAUAUUAUUAAUUGGGAAGCAUUGGAUAAUAAAUAACCUUAUAAAGGGUAAAAAAUUACAAAAAAUGCCAUUGGUUUUUAAUGUUUUUAAAUAACUUCAUUAAGGGUACAAUAGUAAUCACAAAAUUAAUAUAUUUAAAUAAAAAAUAGUUUAAUUCUUUUAAAUACUUAUUAAUUUCCAAAAAAUAAACUAAUUUUCUCUCUCUUAUUAAUUAUAAACGAAAAUUUGAAAUUAAUUUUUUAAAAUUGUUAACCAAUAGGAAUUGAAAAACUAAGAUUUGAUAUCCAACUAAGAUUUUUUCUAAACCAAUCCUAAUAGACUAUUCUAUAUCAAAAAUAAAAAUAAAAAUAAUAUCAUUUUAAUUCAAAAUUAAAAAAAAACUAUCAUUUAAAAAGAUUUAUCAAUGGAGGAUUUUAAGAUUGAAUUUGAAAUUUGGUAAAAAAAUUAAAUGCAAAUAUUUUAAUAUUCAGUUUUGUUAUAAUAUUUUUAUUACAAAUUUUGAAAUAUAAAACGAAAUUUUAUUUCAUAAUUUCUAAAAAACCAUAUUAAAUAUUAACAAAUAUUUAUUUUUACUAUGAAAUAAACUCAAAUAAUAAUAAAUUUUAAGUAAUUAUCAUAAUGGUUUUCGUUUAGAGCAAUUUUCGAAAAAAUCUAAACAAUAGAAUGUACAUAUUAAUUUUGAAAUAUUUUGUGUUUUAUUUUUUUCUUUUCAACUCAGAUCUUCCUUAAAUAAUAACUAGAUGCAAAUAUUAUUUAAGGAAGAUUUUAAGAUUGAAUUUGAAAUUUGGUAAAAAAAUUAAAUGCAAAUAUUUUAAUAUUCAGUUUUGUUAUAAUAUUUUUAUUACAAAUUUUGAAAUAUAAAACGAAAUUUUAUUUCAUAAUUUCUAAAAAACCAUAUUAAAUAUUAACAAAUAUUUAUUUUUACUAUGAAAUAAACUCAAAUAAUAAUAAAUUUUAAGUAAUUAUCAUAAUGGUUUUCGUUUAGAGCAAUUUUUGAAAAAAUCUAAACAAUAGAAUGUACAUAUUAAUUUUGAAAUAUUUUGUGUUUUAUUUUUUUCUUUUCAACUCAGAUCUUCCUUAAAUAAAUCCAUAAUAUAUUGCACACAGUUUUUGAAAUUAUGUAAACUAAUUAUAUAUUUUGCAUUCAACACAAAUUAUGCAGCAAUAGCAUAUCCCUUUUAUAGAUGUAUCUAAAACUUUUAUUUUUAGUCCAAAUAUUGAACUAAUUAUGAUUAAACAAUGAAAAGAAGAAUAUGCAAAAUUUAGCUAAGGAAAGAAACAUUAAUAAAUUUGUUAAAAUAUUUGAAACUUUAACAUCAUACAUAUUAAUCCGCAAAACUCACAGUAUGUAUUUUAUGGUAUUUUAAAGUAAGCAAACAAGAAUUUGGAACAUGGUUUUAAUGGAAUGAAAUGAGAAUAAGAAUUACGAGACGGGAUGGCAGGGGAACAUAAAUUAAAAAUCAAACUUAAUACUCAACUGGUAUGAGUUUGUGUUAUGAGCACUAUAUAAAAUAAAUUUGUUUACACACAUAUUAUACGUACGUUUUUAGUUACAAUUUAUGACAGAUACGGGACCGUAAUAUUUUUAUUUCACGUAUACGAGACGGGUUAUGGGACGAAAAAUUUAUGACAUAUACAAGACGGGAUAGGUUUCCUGUUCCAAAAUUGUUACGCCUAGCUAAUAUACAUGAAAUAAUCCAAACUAAACCGAAUAUGUAUCCUAUUUAACACAUGUAAUCAAACUGUUAGAAAUGUUUUGAAUAGUUUAGAAAAUAAAAACGUAACAUCACUUAACUUUUGCAACUAAAUAAUAUCUUAAUUUUAUAUUAAAUACAAUUUCACACGUACGUGUAGGUCCGAAUCUUAAAAUUUAACUAUGCACUAACGCAACUAAAUUUCGUUCAUUGCUCUAACUUUAUAAUAUCUAUAUUAUUACAAAGUUCACUAACACAACAAAAUAUUUUAUAUUUUUAAAAUCUAUAUAACAAUUUCUAAAAAAAAUAUCUCUGCACGUACAUGUGGAUCUAAAUCUAAUACACUAAAAUAUACAUCAUAAAAACAAUAAAAUAAUCUAUAUUGUAUGAAAAUUUGUAAGAAAUGUUUUUGAAAUAUGAAACUCCGCACGUACGUGCGGGUCAGGAUCUAGUAAUAUGAUAAAAGAGAUAUAUUAUUCUAUCACUUAUAAUUCGAGAAAAAAGCAUGUUAUAAAGGGCAUGUACGUAAUUACAUGUGCUUCCCGACAUGAUACCGACAAAUUACUGUAGCGUAUGACUAUUUUCUUAAUUAUCCUCAAAAAUUUGGCUAUUUUGUGCAUAUUUCCUAUUAAAUAACAUUAGAUUUUAAAUAAUAUUUAGAAAUCACUAAACGAAUACCAUUUCAUUUUGACCAACAAUUUAUUUUUUAAUGCAUAUUACGAUGUCAUCAAAAUUUUAAAAUUCUUUAUAUGUUGAUUGAUUUAAGUUCGAUUUAAAAAUUUAAAUCAUAUCAAGAAUAAAUAUAAAAUAAUUACAGUAUUCAUAUAUUAAAUAUAUAUAUAUAUAUAUAUGCAUAUAUUAUGAUUCAAAUUUUUGAAAAGGACAUAAAUUACUCAACAUAUAACAUAAAUAGCGUAUAAAAUUCACACACGUGCAGCUUUGAAAAUUAGUGGUGAUAAUUAAGAGUAUGAUAUUUUAUGUGAUGCAAAGGGUGGUAUUUAUAGUGAAGUGAAGUUAGUUUACUGUGUGGUCUCGUCUUAUGACGAUAAUAUGGGCAACGAGGAGAUAACUCAGAUAAUAAGUGUACGUGAAUGGCUUCGAGUGAUGCAAAUGCUUUCUGGCCCCAUUAUGUUUUAUAACCGAAGAGAUAUUUCACUUACACCACUCGUUUCUUGAGCACGUUGUGACCGUGCUAAAUUUAGAAUUCGGCGUUUUGUUGUUUCAUUUUUAUUAUUAUCGUAGGCUUUUAUUCUUGUGAAUUUUGAACCAGAGUUUCGGUUUACAGAAUACUAAUUCUGUGAAGCUGUUCCACAUUAUUAGCAAAAAAAAUGUUUGUGCCUAUGAUGGACUUGGGUAAUACUUGUGUUGGCGGGAAUACUUUCUUGUAUAAUUGGCAUAUAUAACAAUGAACUACGAGGUAUUGAAAAAAUACGCAUUUGAACCUAAAUAUUUUUAGAAGACGAGUUUAUGUUUUAUAUAAGUGUCAUUUGAUCUUUUUUCUCGUAACAACUUAUUUUUAAUAUAAUAUUAGAGUUUAGUAUUUCGGUGUUAUAUACGACGUUAAGUAAUAAAUUAAAUAUUUACAUAAAAAGUAAUAUGUUACGAAAAAGUAACCAUGUUAUGAAGAAAAAGUAAUAUGUUACGAAAAAGUAACCAUAUUUCCAUAAAACUUAAACAAAACCACAAUCCAAAAAAAAUAUUCAUUAUUUAAUGGCAAUAAUUUAAAUAACUAUAUUUUUUUUUGGUUGGAUAUUUUUUUGUACCAUAUUUACUUUUUGUCGGAUUAUAAAUAUACUUUUCGUGUGCUGAUGAAACCAAAUUAUUUUGCAACAUUAACGAGUGAUUAUACAGUACAAUAAUUAAACGUGUCUUACAACAUGAAGACACAUAUUAAACUUUAAUCUACGAGAUUGUGACAUUCUGCUAUAUAUAUCAUAAACAUAUUUUACAUCUCAUAAUGUAAAACUAUAGCAAUAUUUUUGUUCCAAAUUUUUCAAAAUUCAUUUUUACUUUUAUUUAACUAAUAAGUGCUAAAUUAGUUUCCAAUACAUUCAAUUUUUUUUUUUAUUAACUUCAAAUUGUUACGUAUCAUUUCAUUUCAUGGCCACUUGAUUAAUUAUCCCUAUAAAGAAAAACAACAUUUAGUACGAAGUCUUUGUUCUUAUUAAGUUACGAUAGGAUAGACAUUUUAUUUAUGCAGCGGUGCCUAAACGGCUACAAACAUAAACGGAAAGACAUAGAUAUGCAGUGGAUACAAGGGGACAAAGACAUGAUGAUAGAUGCUUAAGAAGGUACGUAGUAGAGUGGAUUUGGGAGCUUAAAGACCCUUCCAGGAGUAUCCUCAACCAAAUCAGCCCAUUGGUCUCCAAUAUUCCCAACGAUGUUGUAUCCUUUCUUCACCAGGCUCUUCCUCACCUUUGACUUGUACACCACUUCCGGCAAUUUCGAAUGGUUUGGCCUGCGUUGCCAUAUUUAAUUAAUCCUCGAUUAAAUUGCAUAUACAUCAUACUUACUUACUGUAUAUUAUUAAGCUUACUUGAAUAUAAGAUGCUUCCAUUUUGUCACACCAGCAGCCUUGAGAUUAUCGAGAGUGACUUCUGACAACCUCUUCCAUCGGUCAGAGAUUAUGAUGGGUUCAAUCCCGAGUUCUAAGAGGUUCCUGUAUAGAUGCAAAGUCUCCGGGAGUCCUGGAGUUGAUUCUCCGGACCUUAACCACGACCAGUACGCCCCCGGGGCUGUGUUCUGUGUCCUAAGAAUCCCAAAAAAAAAAAAAAACAAAUCUACUUUAAAAUGAAAUCACAAAGUAGAUAUGGACUACAAAAGAAAAACAGUUUGUAUCAAACUAUUUAGAUUUGUCAAAUGAAACGUGUUUUUCCAUAUAUAUAUGACAUUUUCAAAUGAAGAUAAUAUUGUUAAUGCAAUGGAGAUGGUGUAGGUAGAACUAAUAACAAUAAUAUGUAUACCCGUAUCCAUAUUUGGCGUAGUAGGGGAUACUAGAGAGGAGAGUGUCGUCUAUGUCAAAUAUCCAAACAUUGACGGUAUCGUUCUUUAGGGCAAGUCCUUUGGCAUAGAAAUAAGCCUCUUUGCACACCGUUUUGGAGUCAGAUUGAUAUUGUUUGGAAGUGAUCAAGUAGUCUUCAACAUAGUCUUUGCAAUUUGCGGGCACGGUGUCGAAGUCUAUGAUGUUAGAGGUCUCAACACCAAGGUGCCAGCUUCUACAGUUGUGGUAGUUGAUGGAAAGUCCCUCUUUCUCUAAGAGUUCGGCUUCGUCCCCAAAGAUGGUGUUCGAUUCGAGGAGUUCGAUGAGCCCUGGAACGGAAGCCGAAGACCGGACGUGGGAGACCGUAGCUGCCAAGAGAAAGAGAAGUGAAAGUGAGAGGAUUUUCAUGUUUUUUUUUUUGUGGUAUGGUUUAUUGUUUAGUUUGUGAUGUUUAUUUGUGGGACACAAAGGGUGGUAUUUAUAAUGAUGUAGGGUUAGGUAUGGUUACUUAUGACGACAGAUGGGAGAUGAGGCGAUAAGUGUAUGUGUAUUUGGAUUGGUGCAACAAAUGCUACUGGUCCCAUAAUGUUUAUAAUUGACAAUAUUUUUCACUUACACCACUCGUUUUUAGAGCACGUUGAGACUGUGUGCUAAACUAGAAUUUGGCGUUUUGUUGUUUUAUUUUUAAUAUUAUCUUUGGCUUUUGUGCUUGUAAAUUUUGAAUUAGAGUCUCGUUUUAGAGAUCUUACUGUGAAGUUUUUCUACAUUACUAGAAAAAUGUGUGUGAAUAUGUCGAUGUGAGUAAACUUUUUUUUUGGAUAAUUGAUAGAGUAAACUUUUUUUUUUUUGAUAAAUAAUUGAUAGAGUAAUUGGCAAAACCAAUAAUGCAAAACGUGAUAUUCAAUAAACGAGUAAUUGGCAGCAGCCUCCCAGUGAGCAACAAGAGAUAGAUGUGUACUGUGUAGGUUGAAUCAUACGAGAUGAAAUAUGUCGAUAAGAUAAGAAAUGUGAGGUAUACACGUAUAGACGUUUUUUUUUUUUUCUUUUGUCAACAUCUUUUAAUUAAAAUUUAAAAGAAUCAUUCAUGAAGAAUGUUGUUUACAUAAGUAAUAUGAUGCGGUUUGGUAUGAAUUUUUCGUGCCAAAUUAUCCGCUUUUACAUUUGCACUACGAGGGAUUAAAAAUAAAGAGAAGCUUGAAAAUUCUUUCUUGUCGCUCUUGAAAUCUUCCAAAUACACUGCGAAUGCCGGCCAUUCGAUUGGGAAGGACACCAUCUUCACCAGGUCUGAACAGUCUGUAUAAAAAGCUACAUCUUGGGUGUAGUAUCCAAUCAUACACUUCAUUGCCCAGAAAAGAGCUUCCACUUUGGUAUGUAGAGGUGAGAGACUUCUUCGGAUAUUGGCUGCUCCCAUGGUUGGCGUCUCUCCGUUUGGUGAUGUGCAGAACCACCCUGUUCCUGAAUAUUUAUCAGUUUCUUUUCAUGAUCCAUGACAAGUAUAGACGUUAAAUAUUACACCUUUCGUUUUUAUUUAUUUCAUAUUUGGAGAGAAAAAAAAAUCUAUAUAUAAUAGCAAUCUCAAUAAAUGUCUUUUGCAGUUUUGAACGGUUGUGUAUUUUUAUCGCAACUUUCGGCUAAAAUAUUGACGGUUAUUUUUUUUCGAUUGUAUUUUUUUAUCGCAACUCUCGUUAAAAUAUUGACAGUUACUUUUUUUUGUUGACGGUUAUUUUUUCGGUUGUGUCUUCUUAUCGCAAUUUUCCGUUAAAAUAUUGUCGGUAACUUUUUUCAUUUGUGUCUUUUUAUCGCAACUUUCCGUUAAAAUAUUGACGGAUAUUUUUUCUAAGUUGUGUCUUUUUUUAUCGCAUCUUUUCGUUAAAAAAUUGACGGUUAUUUUUCUGGGACAGUUCUAUUUGUUCAAUUAUAAUCAUAUUUUUUUUCAGUUUACGGUUGUGUCUUUAUAGUUGCAUCUAUUCAUUUAAAGUUACGUCUCUUCAAUAUAUUUCAUUGCAUUUUUUCGUCACAACUUUUUGUAUGAAUAGUUGUCUAUUUAAAUGUUCGUGACUUUUGAACUCUAUAUAUUUGUCUUUCUUCUUAAGUAGUUCCCGAAUUUUUGUUCUUUAAAAUAUAUUAUUUGUUUCAUGAUAAAAAAAAAUCUAUAAAAUAGCUUCAAAUUCUUUAUUCUCUAAGCUAUUUUUAAACAUAUAUCAUUUUAAUAUUAAUAAAUUCUUCUCAAGAAGAAUGAUUAUUAAAAUGGAGAAGUUUUAAUCAACUUUAAAUGUAAAAUUCAAAUGAAGAUACCAACAAUAUUUUUCUUAGAAUUGGACGGAUUAUACAGUAAUUUUUUAUUUAACUAUUUUAUAUGGUAACAAUGAUGCUUUCUGAUAUAUCACGGAUUUUACCGAUUUUUAACCGUGAUUUACGUGUCAGUUUUAGAGUUUUUUUGUUGUUUCUAGUGUCUUUUCAAGUCUUUUCAGGUUUUUGCAAGUUCGGGACAAAAUUGGAGGAAAUGAAUCAUUUUGGAGCUAAACAGAAUAUUUGGAGCUGAAGAGACGAAUUCGGAUUCGAACCAAGGCAUUGGUGUCGACCGACACCAUACGCGGUCCAGCAAGAAAUCUCGACGGUUUAGAGUAAUAAAGCCCGCAGAAUUUACCCAUAAGACUUCCCUAUUUGCAAUUUUAGUCCCUGCACGUUUUUGAGACUUUAUAAAUAAUUUUUAAGGUUUUCUAUUUGAUUAUCUUGUCUUUGGCUUUUGUAAUUCUCUGAGCUUGAACCCUUUGGAAGAUAAUUGGAGAGAGCAACUUUUCAGAGAUUUUAUACCUUGUUAGAGAGAAGAUUUAUUCUAAACUCUUUUCUUCUUUUAAUUUCUUAACUAGAUCCUGACCCGCACGUACGUGCGGGGUUUCAUAUUUCAAAAACAUUUCUUACAAAUUUUCAUAUAAUAUAGAUUAUUUUAUUGUUUUUAUGAUGUAUAUUUUAGUGUAUUAGAUCUAGAUCCACAUGUACGUGUAGAGAUAUUUUUUUUAGAAAUUUUUAUAUAGAUUUUAAAAAUAUAAAAUAUUUUGAUGUGUUAGUGAACUUUGUAAUAAUAUAGAUAUUAUAAAGUUAGAAUAAUGAACGAAAUUUAGUUGCGUUAGUGCAUAGUUAUAUUUUAAGAUUCGGACCUACACGUACGUGUGAAAUUGUAUUUAAUAUAAAAUUAAGAUAUUAUUUAGUUGCAAAAGUUAAGUGAUGUUACGUUUUUAUUUUCUAAACUAUUCAAAAUAUUUCUAACAGUUUGAUUACAUGUGUUAAAUAGGAUACAUAUUCGGUUUAGUUUGGAUUAUUUCAUGUAUAUUAGCUAGGCGUAACUAUUUUGGAACAGGAAACCUAUCCCGUCUUGUAUAUUUCAUAAAUUUUUCGUCUCAUAACCCGUCUCGUAUACGUGAAAUAAAAAUAUUAUGGUCUCGUAUCUGUCAUAAAUUGUAACUAAAAACGUACGUAUAAGGUUAUGUGUGUAAACAAAUUUAUUUUAUAUAGUGCUCAUAACACAAACUCAUACCAGUUGAGCAUUAAGUUUGAUUUUUAAUUUAUGUUCUCCUGCCAUCCCGUCUCGUAAUUCUUAUUCUCAUUUCAUUCCAUUAAAACCAUGUUCCAAAUUCUUGUUUGCUUACUUUAAAAUACCAUAAAAUACAUACUGUGAGUUUUGCGGAUUAGUAUGUAUGAUGUUAAAGUUACAAAUAUUUUAACAAAUUUAUUAAUGUUUCUUUCCUAGCUAAAUUUUGCAUAUUCUUCUUUUAAUUGUUUAAUCAUAAUUAGUUCAAUAUUUGGACUAAAAAUAAAAGUUUUAGAUACAUCUAUAAAAGGGAUAUGCUAUUGCUGCAUAAUUUGUGUUGAAUGCAAAAUAUAUAAUUAGUUUACAUAAUUUCAAAAACCGUGUGCAAUAUAUUAUGGAUUUAUUUAAGGAAGAUCUGAGUUGAAAAGAAAAAAAUAAAACACAAAAUAUUUUAAAAUUAAUAUGUACAUUCUAUUGUUUAGAUUUUUUCAAAAAUUGCUCUAAACGAAAACCAUUAUGAUAAUUACUUAAAAUUUAUUAUUAUUUGAGUUUAUUUCAUAGUAAAAAUAAAUAUUUGUUAAUAUUUAAUAUGGUUUUUUAGAAAUUAUGAAAUAAAAUUUCGUUUUAUAUUUCAAAAUUUGUAAUAAAAAUAUUAUAACAAAACUGAAUAUUAAAAUAUUUUCAUUUAAUUUUUUUACCAAAUUUUAAAUUCAGUCUUAAAAUCUUCCUUAAAUAAUAUUUGCAUCUAGUUAUUAUUUAAGGAAGAUCUGAGUUGAAAAGAAAAAAAUAAAACACAAAAUAUUUCAAAAUUAAUAUGUACAUUAUAUUGUUUAGAUUUUUUCGAAAAUUGCUCUAAACGAAAACCAUUAUGAUAAUUACUUAAAAUUUAUUAUUAUUUGAGUUUAUUUCAUAGUAAAAAUAAAUAUUUGUUAAUAUUUAAUAUGGUUUUUUAGAAAUUAUGAAAUAAAAUUUCGUUUUAUAUUUCAAAAUUUGUAAUAAAAAUAUUAUAACAAAACUGAAUAUUAAAAUAUUUGCAUUUAAUUUUUUUACCAAAUUUCAAAUUCAAUCUUAAAAUCCUCCAUUGAUAAAUCUUUUUAAAUGAUAGUUUUUUUUAAUUUUGAAUUAAAAUGAUAUUAUUUUUAUUUGUAUUUUUGAUAUAGAAUAGUCUAUUAGGAUUGGUUUAGAAAAAAUCUUAGUUGGAUAUCAAAUCUUAGUUUUUCAAUUCCUAUUGGUUAACAAUUUUUAAAAAAAUUAAUUUCAAAUUUUCGUUUAUAAUUAAUAAGAGAGAGAAAAUUAGUUUAUUUUUUUGGAAAUUAAUAAGUAUUUAAAAGAAUUAAACUAUUUUUUAUUUAAAUAUAUUAAUUUUGUGAUUACUAUUGUACCCUUAAUGAAGUUAUUUAAAAACACUAAAAACCAAUGACAUUUUUUGUAAUUCUUUACCUUUUAUAAGGUUAUUUAUUAUCCAAUGCUUCCCAAUUAAUAAUAUAGAUUUGCAAUUUAUUCAACAUGUUUUCUGUUUCAUUAAUCAUGUCUGAGUAAUCACCCUAUUAGGUUUAGGGAUUCUCACUAAGGAUUUAGAUGAACUAGUAAAUCGAUUAACUGUUAGGAAUCCAUAGAGUUCUUCAUCUAGGUUGUUAUUAAUGCUUGUUCGAGAGUAGCUGAUCGUAGGAUAAUAGGUAUUUGAUCCGAGAGGGCACAUGUUACUGGAACUACUUUAGAUGAGCCUAGUUUAUAGGUGUGUAAUAAGAAUCGGCCUAUCUACUAAGGUGAACAUAUCAAACCUGAAUUUAAUGCUAGUCUAGACCUAGGAAUUCGCAUCGAGAGGUGGAAUUUCUGGUAUUAGGCUUGUUAGUUAUCGCAUCGAGAGGUGGUUAGCUAUUCAUUAGUGAUUUGAGUUCAAGAACGGUUCAUUAAAUAAUCCUAAUUAAUUUGCUAGAUUUAUUACUAGUUUAUUUCCUGAGAAUUUCUCUAAACCUGAAACUUUAAUCUAUUGAUCUUUUCACCUGAAAUCAUUGUUUGCUAUUGUUUUAUUUUAAUUUUAAUAAUUUUAUUUAGCCUAAUUUCGAGACUUAUAACUUAUUGUGUGAACAAAAGAACUUUGUGGAUCGACCCUUAAGUGCUGCAAUCGACCUCUUAAUAUGAGAGAGUAGGCUUUAAGAUUAAUUUGACCUGUAUCACUUUAUUCUAUCUUAAGGCAAUAUAUAUGGGUUGUAUAUAUACAACGAAAUAUUGAUGCUAAGUUAGCACUAUUACAAAGUCCGAAUAUGAGAAGACAUCCUCAUGUGACGCUUGUGAUUUGGCGCUUUAAAUGUGGUAAGCGUCAAAUAAACCAUUUUAAAUGGUAUAUAUAGUAAUCCAGAAAUCAUCUCCAUUACUAGGAAUAUUCGAGGAAUAAGUUUUUUUACUUAGUUAUUUAUGAGAUCUUGUAAAUAUUUAUUUGUUUGUUAUAGAUAUAAUUUACGUCAUCCAAUUUUAUAUUUUCUCGAAUAUUAUCAUAAAAUAAAUAUUAAUUUCUUAUUUAAAAAAAGUAAGCAAACAAAAAAAUACUAAUUCUCGGACGAAGUUCUUAGUCACCCACAAGUCGUGCUAUGUACCGACUCCAUCCAAAUUUUUGGAUUUCACCCUCUAGAAUUUUUCAUUUCUAUAUUAUAACUCUUCGUUAUGUAUUUUGUCACUUAUAAAUAAUUUUACAUUCAUAUAAAUUAUUUCAUAAGUGUUUUUAUAAUUAUUUUUUUUAUAUUUUUAUUCAUAAAUUGUUUUAACAUCUUUGGAAAAUAUUUACGAUAUAACUUUAAAACAUAGCUAAUUUUAUGUAAUAAUUUAAAUUUUGAAUAUGUUAUCAUAAUAAUUUAAUACAUAAAUACAAUCAAAUAUAUUUUUUGAAAAUGAGUUCUCCCACGACAUCGCGGUAAUUCAUACCUAGUUAUUUUAAUAAAAUAGAUAAUAUUUUCAAUUUCUAUAAUACAAAAUUAGUUAUUUUUUUCUGGGUUAUGAUGAUUUAUAUUUUGUAAAUUUUAUUAUAGAUCGAAUCGUGUUUAGAUAGAUAAUAAAUAACUUUUAGGUUAAAAAUAAACAAAAUUUAAAUGUUUUUUUUAACGGUGUACAAAAACUUUAAACAUCAAAUAUAAAAAAUUGGAGAAAUCAGUAACUUAAAUCGUAAUAAAAAAUAAGUCAAUAAUUAGCAAACAUACCUAUAUAGUUGUAUCACUAUUCACUAGUUCUCGAUAAAGAUUUGAAUAAUAAUUUUCGUGCCCGUGAUUAGGAACACUCUUUGUCAGCAAGAUUUCCCACAAAAAGUUGUAUCUUGGUGAUAGCUAUAGUUUCAACGAUGAUUGUGCUUUCCAACAAUAUAUAUAUAUAUAUAUUUAAUGCAUACCACCUCGUGACGAUAUAUUUUAAAUUAGUUUAAUAGAAAUUAUAUUUUAUAUAUUAACGAACAGUUUUGCAAAUUAAAGUUCUGAUUGGUAAAGUUUUUUAAGAGUUAGUUGGAACGGUAAACUGUUAAGGAAUAAUGCAAAAAUGUUAAAAAAAAUAUUACAAAAAAACUGUACAGAAAAUAAAGGUUUUUUUGAGGUUUUGAUAUUAUUCUUGUGAUUAGUACCACUUGUAGUACUCUCUUUUUGUUCACCAAUCAAAGCCUAACUUGUAGUGGAAUAGUAGUUUCCGCAUGAAAUAUAGUAUCUUUAUUUCGAUUUAGGUCAUAGAACGUAAAUAAAUGGUGAGAUAUAUUCAUGGAAAAAGAUAAUUUAUACUGUAUGCAUGAUUAACGAGAUUGGUAUAAUAUUGUGUUAACACAUGUAACACGCAGUCCUACAGUAAGAAAACUUUAAUCGAUGUGGUAAUUAAACAUAAGAAUUGAGAUUUUGUUCAUAUACUUAUAUAUAGUUGAAUUUUUCUUUCUUUAAUAAAUAAAAAUUGGAAGAACCAUUAACCAUCUGACAUUGGAUAUAGAAAUGACUCUUUCUGAUGCAAAAUAACUAAACCAGAGGAACCAAACAUUCAUAACAAAGCACAUAGGAUAUUAAAUUGGCCAGAACGGCGAGUUGCAAUAUGAAAGAAGAGAUGAUAUCUUGUCAUAAAGUCAAACAUGGAUUAUGAAAGACUUAGCCAUACAACAUGAAGGUUAUUCUGAAAUACCGGGAAGGAUAUUGAUGAAUGAUGAACUUUUAUAAUAAGUGGAUUGCGUAUUUUUUGAAAAAGUAUUUUGACCAUUUUCAAGCACUGGGUUACACGAUAAUGGUACCAUUAUUCAUAAACCGCAAAAUCAAAAAUGUAAAUAACCCUAACAAAAUUCCAAAUAGAACAUCCCUGAUUUUUAUAGCAACUAUACACUUAAUACGAGGACCUUUUAUUUAUUGAGUUGUGAUAAGAUGGACACUUUAUUUGAGCAGUGGCACAUAUGAGGUGAUGCAUGUAUGGGAACAAAUUAAAGACGUGAAAGUGUACGACAAGAUGCUUAAUUAGAUCUUGCAGUAGAGUGGAUUAGGGAGCUUUAAAGUCCUUCUACCAGGACUUUCCUUUAUCAAAUCAGCCCAUUGGUCUCCAAUAUUCCCAAUGAUAGUGUGGCCACUCCUCUCUAGCUUCUUCCUCUCUUCUGACUUGAAGCUCGAUACCUUCUUGUUUGAGCCUGUUGGCCUGUGUUUACACAUAUACAUAUAUCUUUCGAUUCAGUCACACAUAUGAUUAAGCUACUUUAACUAAUAUUUUUAAUUAUUAUAUAUGAUUAAACCUACUUUGAUUAUUCUUAUUUGAAAAUGACAUGCCUCCAAUAGGUGAAUCCAGCAGCUUUGAGAUUCUUUAGAGUGAUUUCCUCCAAAUCUUGGAAUCGUUCAGUAAGUAAGACAGGGCGAAUCCCGAUUUCAGGGAUGUUUUGGUAAAGAUGCAAGGUCUCUGGGAGCCCGGGAGCUUCUCCGACCACCAACCACUUCUUGAAUGUCUCCGGGUUGUGCUUCUCUGUUCUAAAAAACCAAACAAACAAAAUAUAGUUUCAAUACAAUAAAUCGAAAUUAUGUUGACAUCUAAAUAUUUUAAAAUAUACGGAAAUGAUAUUUACAAGAAAUCAUAUUAGAAUUUCAUUAAAAAUUAGACACUGUGUGAAUACAAACUAUGGUGGUUAGGCAUAAUUAAUAAUACAAUAUGUAUACCUGUAUCCAUAUUUGGCGUAAAAGGGAACAUUAGAGAGGAGGGUCUCGUCUAGGUCAAAGAUCCAAACAUUGUAGGUGUCGUUCUUUAAGGCAAGUCCUUUGACGUAGUAGUAAGCUUCUUUUCUUUGCACACCGUUUUGGAGUCGUAACGAUACUGUUGUGAAGUGGUCAAGUAGUCUUCAACAUAGUCUUUGCAGUUUGAAGGCACCGUCUUGAAGUUUAUGAUGUAGACGUCUCAACACCAAGGUGCCAGCUUCUGCAGUCGGGGUAGCUGAUGGUAAGUCCUUCUUUCUCUAAGAGUUCGGCUUCGUCCCCAAAGAUGGUGUUCGAUUCGAGAAGUUCGAUGAGCCCCGGAACGGAUGCCGAAGACCGGACGUGGGAGACCGUAGCGGCCAAGAGCAAGAGAAGUGAGAGUGAGAGGAUUUUCAUUUUUUUUUUUUGGUAUGGUUUAUUGUUUAGUUAAUUUGUGAUGUUUAUUUGUGUGACACAAAUAGGCAUGUCAAUCGGGCUAGCUCGGCCCGGCCCGGCCCGGCCCGGCCCGAAGCCCGCAAAACCCGUACAUAUUUGAGCCCGACCCGGCCCUAGCAGGGCUACAUGGCUUUUCCGGAUUUUUCUUCCGAUAACAGAAAACAAACUUAUAGUUUCUAAUAUCUCUUAAAAAAUAAUCUAUAUAUGAAACGAGUCAAUCAAAAUUUAAAUAACCACUAACGCUAAUUUAGUUUUUUAAAAAGAAAGUUAAAAUCAAAUAAAUAAUCUAAAUAAAUUGUUUAAACUUAUACUAGAUAAAAUAUAAAAUCAAAAUAAUUCAAAUUAGGUAGUAGAGCUAAUAUUUACUUUUUCGAUUUAUAGUAAUACACAACAAACAAACUAAGUUUAUGGUUUUCAACUCUAUUAAAAAAAAUUUUAACAACAAAUCUUACAAUUAAACGAAAAUAUUAACAAAAAAAAAGGGUCAAAAUAUUUUUUAGAGGGCUUUUCGGGCUAGCCCGAGCCCGGCCGGGCUAAGCCUAGAAAACCCUUUAGCCCGAACGGGCUUAGCCCGAACGGGCUUAGCCCAAAAGGCUCGGUUUUUUCUAGACAUAUAAUUUGAAGUCCGAGCCCCCUGUUUUUCAUGGCUGGGUCGGGCUAGCCCGCGGGCUUUGGCCCUAGUUGACAUGUCUAGACACAAAGGGUGGUAUCUUUCUUAUUAUAUAAAGUAUGGUUUUCAAAGUUAAUAACUCAUAGGAUCUUGACACGUAGCAAAUCUAUCGAUCUUAGAUUUUGACAUGUGUAAAACAAAAAUUUCGACACGUGUGAAACAAAAAUUUUCUUUUAUUUAUUUUUAAAAUAAUAUAAGAAAACUAUACACACAUGUCAAAUUUAUCAACGUGUAAAACCAAAAAUAAUUUAUAAGGAAGUUAUACAUAUAUAUCUUAUAUAAAAAUAUUCUAAAAAUUUUAAAAAGAUAAAUAUAAGGAUACUAGAUGUAUAUGAAAUAAAAAUAGAAAUUUAAGAAAAAAAGAAUUAAGGCAACUAUACAUAUAUCUUAUAAAAAAAAUUUAAAAGUAAAGAAGAUAAUUAUAAGGAAAAUAUAUGUAUCUUAUUAACUAAAAUUAAAAAUUAAAAAAUUAUUUACUAAUUAUAAUUUAAAGCUACUAAUUCUAAAAGAAAAAGAUUAUUAAAAAAGAUUUGUGAAAUUAUACAAUCACAUUGUAUAAUAUGGUAAUUAAAAUUUUUUCUAAUUAAUUAUUAAUCGUAGAAGAAAAAGGGUUCUAAAUACUCACAUAUAUUAAUAUAUAAUUCAUCUAUAUCUAUAUAUAAAUAAAAGAAAAAGAAUUCUAUAGAUAAACAAAUAGAUAGAUAGACAAGUUAAUGGCGAUAAAGGUAAAUUAAGAAUUAUGAACGGCGAUGGAUAUAAAAUAAAAUUGUUGUCGGAAAAGCUCGACCCGAUGUCGGAGGAGAUAAAAAAGGUGGAUAAAUAAGAGCAGUUGGGAAAAGAGGGGAAGAUGCGGUAACAAUGGUGUUGGUGUUGAUGACGGUGUUUCAAGCUUGGUGAUGGUGGCGGUAAAUAUUGAUGAAGGUGGUGGGUUGGAAUUAACGAGAUUUAGUAUUGAUUGUGAUAGUUGUGAAAUUUAGUUGUGGUGGUGGCCUGGUGGAUCGGAGUAGUGAAACUCGGUGGUGAUAUCCGACGAUGAAGAUAAACAGUGAUAUGGAAAAAGAAAAAAAAUAUGGUCUCGAAGAAAUCCAACGAGAUAGAGAGAAAGAAAAAGAAAGAGGAGAUCAAGCAAAAAUAAAAGAAAUUUAAUGAGAUAAAAAAGAAAGAUUUGAGACUUCUUGCCGGCAAGAGGAAAGAAAAAAGAGACAACAAAAAACUCAUGAGUAAUAUGAACCAAAAAUUGACAAUAACCAUAUAGCAAAUAGACAUUGUUUAGUUUAUAUUAUUUUCUUAAUUCUUUUUUAGUCUUAAAUUAUUUAGUCCAUAUUUUCUAAUUUCUUCUGAAUUUGUCUUUUUGUUUUGAGCUUUUCUCAUAUUAUCAAGUAAAAUUACAUGAUGUGGAUAUAGACUGUCUCAAUGUCACAAUUUUGUUUCCAUAUUGUCCACAUUGAAAUUAUAAAGUGUUAUACACUCUUCCGAUGGAUGUAGAUAAUUUAUUAAAUUUCAAUAAUACACAUAGGAGAAUUUAUUAAAUAUCAUAAUGUAACAUAUAAUAAACAAAACUACAAAUAGUAUUUUAUAUUGCACAUUAUUCAUAAUUAAUCUAUAUUUAAAAAAUAAUUAAAAUACUACCUUUUCUAAAAUUAAAACAUAUUUUUAUAUAAUUUUAGUUAAGCUUACAAAAAUAAAAAAUAAAAAAUGACAAUUUCGAAUGGUAACCCGUGCAACGCACGGGUCCAUCUAGUCGUAUUAUAUAAAGUAUAGUUUUCAAAGUUAAUAACUUACGAGAUCGUGACACGUGUCAAAUUUUUUUAUCUGAGAUUUUGACAUGUGUCAAAUAAAUUUUUCCUUUUAAAAAGAAAGAAAAAGUUAAAAGAUAAUUAUAAAAAAUUAUAAAUUUAAACAGUUUUAAAAUGUAAAAAGCUCAUUAUAAGAAAAUUAUACAUAUAUUUCCAUAUAAGAGUUUUUACCAUCUAACAAACAAAAUUUUUGUUUUUAGAAAGCUAAUUUUAAAGAAAUUGAACAUAUAUUUCCAUAAGAGUUUUUCCAAGAAAAAAAUUUAAAAAUAGAAAAAAAUCUUAAGAAAAUUAUACAAUCAAUUAUUAAUCCUAUAAGAAAAAGGAUUGUAAAUAGUUACCUUUGAAUAAAUAAAUAGAUUGUCUCAUAUUUUCUCAUCAAGCAAACUAAUUUCUUAACAAUGUUAUAUCAUAUCAAUUAUAAAAAAAAAAAAAUCGAAUCACGAUGAUUUUCUAAAAAUAGCAUGUAAUAUUUAGAACUAAUGAAUAUAUGGCAAUUGAGCCAAACUAAUAAUGAUGAAAGGCGAUAGACAUAGACUAGAGUUAUUGUUGGAGAGGCUUGGUCCAAUGUCGGAAGAGAUAAAGAAGAUGGAGUAAUAAAAAAAGUUGGGAAAAGAGGAUAAGAGACGGUAAGUGGUGUUGGUGUUGAUGAUGGUGGUUUAAGCUUGGUGGUGGUAGCGGCGGUAAAUAUUGAUGAAGGUAGUGAGUCGGAAUUAGCGAGAUUCGGUAUUGUUGGUGGUGGUGACUGUGAUAGUAGUGAGAUUUAGCUGUGGUGGUGGGUCAUAGUAGUGAGACUCGGUGGUGAUGUCCGACAAAUGCGAGAAAUGUAGAUAGGAAAAAGAAAAAAAUAAAGAUAUGGUGGUGAAAAAAUCAGACGAGAGAGAGAAAGAGAAAGAAAGAGGAAUUCGAACAAAAAUAGGAGAAAUCUAAUGAGAGAAACAUAGAGAUUUGAAAAUUAGAAAGAAGAGAAAACGAAGAAAUUAAUAAUAUGAGCCAAAAAAUUGACAAAAGCCAUCUAGCAAAUAGAUAAUAUUUAGUAUGAUGUUAUUUUUUUAAAAAAUUUUUAGUAUUAAGUUGUUUAGUGUAUAUUUUUUAAUUCUUUAUAAGGUUUUCUCUUUCUGUUGAGGAUAUUUCAUAUUAUCAAGUAAAGUUAAAUCACAUGGAUAUAGACGGUCUCAUAUUUUAUCCUUUUUUAUUGUCACAAUUUUAUUAUGACGUCAAACUUUUCUAAACAAAAUCAUAUAUUUACGUAUCUCAUACUAUAUGUUUACGUAUUAUAUAUAUCGUUCAUAUAUUUACGUAACUAUAUAGUUUUAUUUUUUCUUAUUGUCAUUGUUUUGUUUUUAUCUUGCCCACAUUGAAAUUGUAAGAUGUAACACACUCUUCUGAUGGAUGUAAAUAACUUAUUAAAAUUCAAUAAUACAACAUAUGAAUAUUUAUGACUUCAUAACUUAUAAUAAGUAAAGAAUUAUAUAAUUUUAUAAAUAGACUAACAUUUAUAUUAGAUGACUUAAUAAUUAGUAUAACAUAACUACAAAUAAUGUUUCAUAUUGCGUAUUAUGCUAAUAAAUUUAUAUUUAGAAAUAAUUAUGCUGCAUUUUUUAAAAUAUAUAUGUUUAUAGAAUUUUAGUUAAGCUAACAAAAAUAAAAUAAAAAUGUUAAGAAUGAUAAUCUCGACCUGCAAUUCGUGCAACGCACGGUCUAUAUCUAGUUUAUAAUGAAGUAGGGUUAGGUAUGGCUACUUUUAUGACGACAGGUGGGAGAUGAGGAGAUAAGUGUACGUGUAUGUUUUGGAUUGGUGCAACAAAUGCUACUGGUCCCAUAAUGUUUAUAAUUGACAAUAUUUUUCACUUACACCACUCGUUUUUAGAGCACGUUGAGGCUGUGUGCUAAAACUAGAAUUUGGCGUUUUGUUGUUUAUUUUAAUUCUUAUCUUUGGCUUUUGUGCUUGUAAAUUUUGAAUUAUAGUUUCGUUAGAGAAUACUAUGAAGUUGUUCUACAUUACUAGAAAAAUAUAUCUGAAUAUGUUGAAUUGUUGAUGUGAGUAUAACUCAUGUUUGCGGAAAUAAUUUAAACUUUUUUUUUUGAUAAUUGGCAAAGCCAAUAGUGCAAAACGUGAUAUUUGAUAAACGAGUAAUUGGCAGCAGCUUCCGCAGUGGGCAACAAGAGAUAGGUACGUGUAUUGUGUAGGUUGAAUCAUACGAGAUGAAAUAUGUCGGUAAGAUAAGAAAUGUGAGGUAUGCAAGUAUAGACGUUAAAUAAUACGUCUGAAUGUUUUACAUUGUUACAUAUCACAUAGCUUUUUCCUCUUGAUGAAAGCCUUCCUCAAAUUCGAGAAAUCCAUCAUGAAUGUUUGAUCUAGAUCCAUUUUUGUUCCAAGUUAUUAAACAAGCUUUUUAAUGAAAGCCUUUGAUUUAGACUCUACCUAAAUGUUUGAUUUCAGAACAAUUCAAACCAUUUUUAUAUGUUUUUUUUUUUUUUUUUUUUUUUUUUUUUUUUAGAAAACGAACCAUUUUUAUAUGUUUACCGAUGAAAACAUAGCUACCUACCAAAAUAUCCAAAUAUUUAGUACAAAACCUUCUUGAAUAUAUUUCAAAACAAGUUUUGUGGUGAAAACCGUUCAAAAUAUUUUUGAUAUCCAAGAUUCUAAUAAGAAAACAAUAAAUACCAUAUGAAAACAAGUAAUCAAACUCAAAAUACUUCAACCUCAUUUAGCAUGUAUAGAUGUCAAGUGAAACCUUCAAUCUUGUAUCUUAUAACUACGUGUUCUACUUCCUCCACAUAUGUUGAUUUGGUUCUUUCCCACGAUCAUAUAACUUUUUGGCAAUGGAACCAUCAGAUUAAAAUAAUCCCCAUGUUUUACCAUGCCAAAAUGUUUUUUUUUUUUUUUAUAAAUCCUAUCAGCGGAUCCGGUUAGCCCCGAUAGAAAUGCACCGAAGUGCUUUAGAGUGGACUUCUUCCCGAAGGACCACCACACUGUCUGUCCCGAGUUUAGAAUGUUUUCCGACUAAUGGCAGGGGUAGCCAGAUCGCCUGUUACUGGACUACCAGAUAAACUGCCUGAGCCUUUGGCCCAAGCGACUUCCCACACAGAUUUGCUUUUUGUUUUCAGAGUGGAUCGAACUUGGGUUAGUUCCUUCAAACAUUUCUCCAAUUCCCAACUACCACUGGACCACAGCUGUGUAGGCUACCCUCCAAAAAUGUAUGAGACAAGAUUAAGGGAGACCUUCCAUAAUUAUAUGGAGUUCUUUUUUUUUUUCUUUUUGAAUUUUAAAAUCGCCAAAAAUUAUCAAAAACAAGCCAUAUAUGUUCAUAUAAAUUCAACGAGCAAUAGCAAAAUCUUAUUCUGAACACAUUUACAAGACAAAACAAAUCUUAACCAAGUCACCAAACCAAGUUUAAUAUAUAAACUAUAACAUAAGCAAACAAACAAGUCUAAUAAUCGUGAUAUGUAUAAACUAAUCUCCUCUAUAAACAAAUGGGAAUACGUUUAAUAUAGUAUCACAAACAAAAGUAGUAAACAUAUUGUUCAUGAAAUCAGAAUCUAAACGUCAUUGGAGUACAAACCAUUGCAUUUUCAUGAAAUCAAAACCUAUAAAAAUAACAUUCAAUUAUGCUAAGCAAUCAAUCUACUUUAAGAUCGACACAAAAUGAAAGAUGAGAAAAAAUGGGUACUAACUUGAAUUAAUAAGCGCUUUGUUACAGAUCACGUUGGAGAUAAACUUGAAUUUUUACCACAAAUUGAAACAGUUUGAGAAAAAUGAAAGCCCGAAAAACUCUUUCUUCUGUUGUUUUAGAAUCCUAAAUCGAAACCAAAAUCAAAAUAAGAGUUUCACAUCCCGAUCGGGAAUUGAUUUGUUUUAGUAUCGAAACCAAAACUAAAAAAGAGCUUCCAUCAAUGAAGCGGUUAGAAAAUCUUAUUAUGAAAUCGAGCUUGUAAGUGCACUCUAUACCAGGAGCUCAGAUAAGUGCACAAGUUGCCGGAACAGGAUUGAAGCUGUUCUUGGAUACAGGAGUAAUGACUAAGUAAUUGUCGCUGACGUGGAAUAGGCGCCAAAUGAAUGAAUGACGUGGUGAUCACAACAGGAUAAGUUCAGUUUGGCAAGAAGAUAUUCGAUGGAGAUUUGGAGAGAUCCAAGAUCGAGAAGACUAAACCUAGAAGAUCUGAAGACCUCGUGAAUAUAAAAGGGGUGCUAAGGCUCUUGCUAGGGUUAGCCGUUUCUGAAGCAAAAAAAGUAUCGCAAGCUUUUUUGUUCUGUUAGAGAGUAAGCUUUACUCUGUUUGAGUUGCAAGAGAGAUUAGAGAGUGUGUUCUUGUAAUUCUCUUGUGAGUCUUAGAAAUCUCAGGUGACAAGCCAAAAGUAGUUUUAGGUCUUGUGUAAAACCAGUUAAGAGAGUUGUAUCUUCUUAACCAGAUUUCUAAUAAAGUAAUACUCAGUGUUUCUGAGUUUGGGAAAUACGGUUCUGAGUUCAUCCAAAUUUCACUUGGUAUCAGAGCAGGCAUCUGAACUAAGUUGAGAUCAUACAUUGUUAAGAAGAUACAACUCUCUUAACUGGUUGAUAGUGAAUCUGAAGAUGACGAUUCAGAUGAUGAUGUGAAAGGUUUCGUUUCCUUUAUAGGAAUCAUAGAAGAAAACUCUGACAGUGAUGUAGAAGACAGAGAUAGUAUUGUCCAAGCUGAUGAUGAAUCAGAAAUGGAGAAGGAUCUUGAUAUUGAUGGACAGUUCAGGAAAAUGUAUGACAACUGGUGUCUUCUGAGUAAAGAGAAGAUUGCUUGGAUGGAAGAGAAGCUAGCAAUUUUGGAACUAAAUGAAAAACUGAAAGCUGACUUGGCUCUGGAGAAUCAGAAGAAUAGUGAACUCGUUCAGAAACUCGGGUUGGAAGAGGAGAAUGUCAGAGUGCUUACUCAAGAACUCAGCGAUACCCGCAAGAAGAUACACAUGUUGAACAGUGGAACAAAGGACUUGGAUAGCAUCUUAGCUUCUGGAAGAACAGGAAAAUCCAACUUUGGAUUGGGGUAUCAAGGAGGAGAAACAAGUGGUAAGACGAAUUUUGUUCGAAGCAAAGCUGUACCUGGUGUUCGAAGUCAGACAUGAUUCAGAAACCAGACCAGAGCUGUUCCAGCAAGACAACAGUAUCAGAACUACAAUUAUCGUCAGACAGGGUUUCAAAACCAGACUGGAGCUGUUCCAGCAAGACGAUAGUACCAGAACUUCAAUCACAGUCACUAUCACAGGUCAGUGACAGGUUACGAAUGCUACUACUGUGGACGACAUGGUCACAUUCAGAGAUUCUGCUACAGAUAUGCAGCUAAGGUAAACCAGCUGAAACGACAAGGUAAGCUCUAUCCACAUCAACACAGAGCUUCAAAGAUGUAUGUUAAGAGGGACGAUCUGUACUGUCAUGUAGCAUACAUUUCAGCUGAAGCAGGUGGGUCAAGGCCGUGGUACUUUGACAGUGGAGCAUCUCGACACAUGACGGGAAGUCAUUCUAAUCUUAACAACUACACUACUGUUAAGGAGAGUAAAGUCACAUUCGGUGGUGGAGCUAAAGGAAGAAUUAGAGGAAAAGGAGACUUGACUGAAGCUGAGAAACCGCAACUCACAAAUGUUUACUUUGUGGAGGGACUUACUGCAAAUUUGAUAAGUGUAAGUCAGCUAUGUGAUGAAGGAUCAACAGUGAGCUUCAACAGAGUCAAGUGUUGGGCUACAGAUGAGAAGAAUCAGAAUGCUCUUUCAGGUGUUAGAACCGGUAACAACUGCUACAUGUGGGAAGAACCAAAAGUUUGUCUUAGAGCUGAAAAAGAUGACCCUGUCUUAUGGCAUCAACGCCUUGGCCACAUGAAUGUCAGAAGCAUGUCCAAGCUGGUCAAUAAGGAAAUGGUUAGAGGUGUACCGGAGUUAAAGCAUCUUGACAAGAUCGUGUGUAGUGCUUGCAACCAAGGAAAAGAGAUUAGAGUUCAACACAAGAAGGUGGAGGGAGUGCAGACCACUCAAGUUUUAGAUCUCAUUCACAUGGAUCUAAUGGGACCAAUGCAGACAGAAAGCAUUGCCGGAAAGAGAUAUGUUUUUGUCUUGGUUGAUGACUUCUCACGUUAUACUUGGGUAAGAUUUAUCAGGGAAAAAUCUGAGACUGCCAACAGCUUCAAGAUCUUAGCUCUUCAGCUGAAAAAUGAGAAGAAGAUGGGAAUAAAACAAAUCAGAAGUGAUCGCGGAGGUGAGUUUCUAAGUGAAGCCUUUAACAGCUUCUGUGAGUCUCAAGGAAUUUUCCACCAAUACUCAGCACCUAGAACUCCACAGUCUAAUGGUGUUGUUGAAAGGAAAAAUCGAACUCUUCAAGAAAUGGCCAGAGCCAUGAUUCAUGGGAAUGGAGUCCCUGAGAAGUUUUGGGCUGAUGCCAUUAGUACUGCAUGCUAUGUCAUAAACCGAGUGUAUGUCAGGAUAGGGUCUGAUAAAACUCCCUAUGAGAUCUGGAAGGGGAAGAAGCCAAAUCUAAGUUACUUCCGAGUAUUUGGAUGUGUCUGUUACAUCAUGAAUGAUAAGGAUCAGCUGGGAAAAUUUGAUUCUCGCAGUGAAGAAGGUUUCUUUCUUGGUUAUGCUACCAACAGUUUGGCAUAUCGAGUUUGGAACAAGAGGAGGGGAAAGAUAGAAGAGUCAAUGAACGUUGUCUUUGAUGAUGGAAGUAUGCCCACUUUGCAAAUAAUUGCAAGUAAUAGUGGUGAAGCUCACAACUUAACUCCAAGGAUCCAAGAAGUGGAAGGAAAUGAGAAUCAAAAUGUCAGUGAAGCAAAUGAAUCAGAAGAAGAAUCUGAUGAGGAAGUUCACUCAAUCCAAGUACACCGUAAUCAUUCUGCUGGGGAUGUAAUCGGAGAUCUGAAUGGUGAAAGAGUAACAAGAGGGAUAAAACAGAACUACAGACAAAUGGCUUCGUUUGCAGGCUUUGAAGAGAUCAUGUUUUCAUGUUUUGUUUCCAUGACAGAACCUAAGAAUGUCAAAGAAGCUUUGGAUGAUCAUUUCUGGAUUCUUGCAAUGGAGGAUGAAUUAGAAGAAUUCUCAAGAAAUCAAGUUUGGUAUUUGGUUCCAUGGCCUCCAAAAGUGAAUGUUAUUGGAACUAAGUGGAUCUUCAAAAACAAAAGUGAUGAAGAAGGAAAUAUCAUCAGAAACAAAGCUAGGCUCGUGGCACAAGGAUACACUCAAGUUGAGGGACUAGACUACGAUGAAACCUUUGCUCCGGUUGCAAGGCUCGAAUGCAUAAGGUUUCUUCUUGGCACAGCAUGUGGUAUGGGGUUUAAACUGCAGCAGAUGGAUGUCAAGAGCGCCUUUUUGAAUGGCAUCAUACAGGAGGAAGUGUAUGUAGAGCAGCCCAAAGGAUUUGAGAGUCUUGAGUUUCCGGAUCAUGUGUUUAAAUUGGAAAAAGCUCUGUACGGUUUGAAACAAGCACCUCGUGCAUGGUAUGAGAGACUUACUACUUUUCUGACAGUGGAAGGAUACAUACGUGGGAGUGUUGAUAAGACUCUGUUUGUCAAAAGGGAUAGUCAUGGGAUGAUCAUCAUACAAAUUUAUGUAGAUGAUAUCGUUUUUGGAGGAACAUCCGACAAACUUGUCAAAUCAUUUGUAAAGGCAAUGACAACUGAGUUCAGGAUGAGUAUGGUAGGAGAACUCAAGUAUUUUUUGGGGUUGCAAGUGAACCAGACGGAUGAAGGCAUUACCAUCUCACAGAGCACAUAUGCCCAAAAUCUUGUAAAACGGUUUGGAAUGUGUUCUAGCAAGUCCGCCAGAACUCCCAUGAGUACUACGUUGAAACUCUCCAAGGAUGAGGCUGGUGAAAAGGUGGAUGAAAAGGCAUACAGAGGUAUGAUUGGAAGUCUCCUCUAUCUCACUGCAAGUAGGCCGGACUUAUGUCUCAGCGUAGGACUGUGUGCAAGAUAUCAAGCCAAUCCCAAGGCUUCUCACUUAGCAGCUGUGAAGAGAAUUGUCAAAUAUGUGAAAGGAACAGUGAACUACGGGCUUAGUUACACCAGGGAUACUAGUCUGGCACUAGUUGGCUACUGUGACGCUGACUGGGCAGGGAAUCUUGAUGAUCGUCGGAGUACUACUGGUGGUUGUUUUUUUCUAGGAAACAAUCUCAUCUCAUGGCACAGUAAGAAGCAAAAUUCUGUAGCACUGUCUACAGCCGAGUCUGAAUAUAUUGCCCUUGGCAGCUGCUGCACUCAACUCCUCUGGAUGAAACAAAUGGGCCUGGAUUAUGGUAUUUCAUUUCCUGAACCUUUACUUGUUAAAUGUGAUAAUCAAAGUGCAAUUGACAUCUCUAAGAAUCCUGUGCAGCAUUCUAGAACUAAACACAUUGAGAUAAGGCAUCAUUUUGUUAGAGAAUUAGUUGAAGAGAAACAAGUUAUCAUAGAACAUGUACCCACUGGAAUCCAACUUGCUGAUAUUUUCACUAAGCCUUUAGACUUUGACACGUUUGUGAACUUGCAAAAGUCCCUGGGUGUUUGUGAACUCUGACUAUCUUCUCGUUGAGUGUUUGUGCUGAAACAGGGUUGGUUGUACAGUGAGAAGUGUGUUUUUCAAAAUAUUUCUGUGAUUCACAAGUGUUUUGUUUAAAAUUUUUUGCUGAAAAGUUCAUCAAGAGAAAGAGCUACCUAUCAUGUGUUGGAGCUGCAAAGUCAGUAAAUUGUGUGAUGGACAAUGUGUGUAGAGCAUUCAGGAAGGCGUGAAAUGCAGAAAGGAGCAGAAAAAGCAUUUCAUGUCAUAAGAUGAAGCAUGAGCUUAUCUAAGUCACGGGGGACAAAGGAGAAAUCUUGUCACUAACCCGAGGGAACAAAGGAGAAAUCUUGUUUACCUAACAAUAUGUGAGAGGAGCAAACAUCAAUCAAAAUAAAAGAGGUUCAAAAGCAGUCUUGUCAUAAAAAAAAAAAAAAGGAACUGUUGUCCUCUGGUUGCAAUCUUCUCUCACUGCAGAAAGGAGCAGUAAGAUGCACAUUCACAAGGUCUGAAACGCUUUCUCAGCCUUGUGGUUACAUAGAGCCUGAAUGCUGCUGCACAGUCUAUCACAUUCCUUGUCAAAGGACUCGCUAGCUCUCUGAUCCAUGACAGUGUGAAGACUACUCUUGAAGAAUCAACAUUCUCAUAUGUGUUGGAACAGCAGAUUAUGUGUUUUAAAAAAAAAAAAAAAAAAAAAAAAAAGGAGCUUCGCACUGUACAAUUAGCUUUGGGACUGCACAGAUGUCAACAUGUGGAAGAGACGGUUGCUGUUCUGAGUACACUGAUAGGGACUUGUUCUAUGUCAAUCACUGUCUUGCGUCAGAAAAUUGAGUUGGAUCUUCAGAGGUACCGUGUUUAAAAAUUUUUUUUAAAAAAAUUAAGAACUCUGUGUGUUUCUUUUAGUGCUUUCUCUGAUUGAUUCUUGAUUAAACCGGUUUUAUACCCGGUUAGCACUAAUUUUUGGUUUUGAGUUUUUUGUUUGUCUAACAGGAGAACACGCGGGAUAUCACAAGUUUUUGUGUUUCUUUCUCUUUGAGAGUCGUUCCCAAUUCCUCUCUCAAACCCUAGCCAUGGCGAGAACUCGCGCUGCUGCUAAGCGCUCUCAUCCCGAUCGAUUGGAGCUCAAUGAUUCCGACAGCUCAAUUGAGGAAGUUCCCCCGAAAGCAGCCCUUCGAUCCUCGAGUUCUGCUCCGCCACCAGAUGCUGCGGCUGACUCCGGCCCUGCUCCGUUAGACAAAUCGAUGCCAUCUUCUUCGAAAGCGGCUGGCCACAAAUCUGCACCGUCCUCCUCGCAUCCCCCAAUCAACGAUCCGGUGCCAGAUCUGCUGAAGAACUUCAUGAAGACCCGCGGGAACGUUCCGUACGACUCAUCAGACCGCUGCAGCAUGCACCGCUAUCAUCAGGCAAAGAGGGAUGCGGCUGACCCUUCGAUUUGGAAGCUGCCCUAUGCUCCGAUGAACUUUCGCUUCCUCACAUCUCAGGGAAUUGAAAGGUACAAAGAUUUCACACACCGUGAAUUUCAUGACCAGAGGUAUGUUCCGCGUGGUCCUGCUAGUACUACUGAGAUGAUGAAAUUGAUAGAGGAGAAUCACCUGUCUGACACUGUUAGUGAGAUUGAUCCGUAUGUCAAAGAAGUUGUGCUGGAAUUUUACUCAAAUUUCCACAUAUUCAAUGAGGUAACCAAGAAGUCGCCUGUGUUUGUUCAAGGGAAAAUGUACGAAUUCUCACCACAGAUGAUCAACAAAGCGUUUCGUACUCCUGCUAUCAAGUGGCAUGCCAAGGCUGAGUAUGAAAGAGCUGCAUUGUCGAAGCAUGCCUUGGCUAAGUAUCUGUCAGAAGGUAAAGUUGUUACCUGGAAGGACCUGCGUACUCCUGUGAUGCCUACACAUCUGGCUGGCCUGUACUUGAUUUGCUGCAUUAAUUGGCUUCCAUCAAAGAACAAUUCAAAUGUGACAAUUGAUCGGGCUAAGCUUUUGUAUCUUAUCAAUGAGAAAAUCCCUUUCAAUUAUGGGAAGCUGGUAUAUGAUCAAGUGGAAAGAGCUGCUCGCUUUCCAGGUCAGAUUCUAAACAUUCUGCCAUUCCCGAACUUGAUCUAUCGGGUACUUAUGUUUCAGAGGGAGAUUACCUUGGAGAACUUUGAAAAACCUGAUCCACCUCCAAAGAAGUUCAAUCCAGAAGUGAGAGGUGGUAUAGAUCACCCAAGACGUCGAGGAGAGUAUGUGUUUGGAACCUCAUUGGCAGGAGACCUGAGACACGCAUCCACUCUCCUGCUGAACAUGGCUGUUCGGUUGGAAGGUACGUUUUCAAGUUUCUUUACUGGAGUCUUGAGUGCAUAGGUGUAAUCCUGGUAGAAGUUUUGUUUUUGACUCAAUUGUGUCAUACAAGCAGGGGGAGAUUAUGGGUUAGUACAGCCUUCUUCUGAUCAGUCUCAGGGUGUGAAUGCUGAUGCCGAGGCUCAAGGUUCUGAACCUGAAGCUGAUGACUCUUAUGCUGAGCCCGUUGAUGAAGGCUGGCCUUCAGAGAACUCUAAUUCGGAUUCAUUUGUGGAUUCAUUGGAUGUUGACAAUGAAGAAGGGUUUGAAGACACUCAGUCAGGAUAAUAUAGACUAGUUUUGGAGACUGAGUGGUCUAGGAUUUAGGGGGAGUCUUAACUUUUGGCAUUACUUCGGAUUGUUUUUGUAUGUAUGCCAUGUUUUCUCUGUUUUUCAGUAUCUUGCGAACAAGGAUCCUGUGUCUGAAUAUUUUUCGGAGUUAAGACUUAAUUUUAAUAAUUCCGCUGUGCCUUGUUUUUCGUUGAUAUGAUGUGUGCUUGUGAAUCUUGAGAGAAUCAUUGCAGGAUGGCUUGAAUUGACAAAUUGAAUCAAAAAGGGGGAGAUUGUAAGUGCACUCUAUACCAGGAGCUCAGAUAAGUGCACAAGUUGCCGGAACAGGAUUGAAGCUGUUCUUGGAUACAGGAGUAAUGACUAAGUAAUUGUCGCUGACGUGGAAUAGGCGCCAAAUGAAUGAAUGACGUGGUGAUCACAACAGGAUAAGUUCAGUUUGGCAAGAAGAUAUUCGAUGGAGAUUUGGAGAGAUCCAAGAUCGAGAAGACUAAACCUAGAAGAUCUGAAGACCUCGUGAAUAUAAAAGGGGUGCUAAGGCUCUUGCUAGGGUUAGCCGUUUCUGAAGCAAAAAAAGUAUCGCAAGCUUUUUUGUUCUGUUAGAGAGUAAGCUUUACUCUGUUUGAGUUGCAAGAGAGAUUAGAGAGUGUGUUCUUGUAAUUCUCUUGUGAGUCUUAGAAAUCUCAGGUGACAAGCCAAAAGUAAUUUUAGGUCUUGUGUAAAACCAGUUAAGAGAGUUGUAUCUUCUUAACCAGAUUUCUAAUAAAGUAAUACUCAGUGUUUCUGAGUUUGGGAAAUACGGUUCUGAGUUCAUCCAAAUUUCAGAGCUUACCUUGAGUUUUAAAUCCAAAAUGGAUGACGGGAUUAGGUUGCAGUGAGAGAGGGUGAAAAAGAUUUAUAGGUUUUGUGUAGAAAAGAUGAUGAUUGCGAGAAUCGGGCGAGAAUGUGAAAUGGUAACGAAAACAGCGAGCACGAGAACCCGGCGAAGCGACGAGAAUCCGGCGAUUUUUAGGUCAUUAUUAUGGCAACGAGAAUCUGGCGGUUUGAGAUAUGUUUUGGCAAUUUCGUCAAUUGUGGCCCGUUUGGUCUUUGUGGCUCAAUAACGCAUCUUUGAAAAUUGCCGGUUAGAUAUAAACUUGUGUUAUAUGUUGAAUUUCAGAAUUUUGGUGCUAAAUUUGGAAAUAAAAUAUAAUAUUGUGCUAUUUUGUCAAUUAUCCAAAAAAAUAUAUUCAAUGGCAAUAAUUUAAAUAAUUGUUUUUGUUGUAUAUUUAUUUCUUUUUAAUUAAUAAUUUUGUUUUAUUAUUGAAGAGAAAAAGUGUAGGACCCACAUAUCUGAAAAAUGAAACAAAAAUUCCUACAAAUUGUAAAACAUAUUGAAGAACAAAGAGGAACAUGAUAUUCCUACUUAUUUUUUCCUUAAAAAUGGUUAUCAAUUCGAGUUUUACUUUUUUGUAGGAUUAUAUAUUUCUCCCGUGCAACAUCAACGAGUGAUAUUCUUAUUUUUUAUACUGUACAAUAAUUAAACGUGUUUUACUUUAAUCUAUGAGAUUGUGACAUUAUGCCAUACAUCAUAAACAUAUUUUACAUCCUAUAUUGCAAAAUUAUAGCAAAAUUUUUGUUCCAAAUUUUUCGAAAUUCAUUUUUGUUUUAUUUAACUAUUAACUGCUAAAUUAUUUUUUUUCAAUUCACUUUGUUUUUUCUUUUUAUUAAAUUCAAAUUGUCAUGGCCAGUUGAUUAAAUACUUCCUAUAAAGAAAAACAACAUUUAGUACAAAGUCUUUGUACUUAUUAAGUUACGAUAGGAUAUCACAUAUACAAACAACAUUCCUUACGAAUAACUUUUUUGAACUCUAAUUAAUUUAGGAUAACAAGAAAAAAAAAAGAUAUGAUAGACAUUUUAUUUAUGCACCGGUGCCAAAACGGCUACAAAGAUAAACGAAACGACAUAGAUAUGAAGCGGAUACAAGGGGACAAAGCCAUGAUGAUAGAUAGAUGCUUAAGAAGGUACGUAGUAGAGUGGAUUUGGGAGCUUAAAAACCCUUCCAGGAGUAUCCUCAACCAAAUCAGCCCAUUGGUCUCCAAUAUUGCCAACGAUGUUGUAUCCUUUCUUCACCAGGCUCUUCCUCACCUUUGACUUGUACACCACUUGCCUCAAGUUCGAACCGUUUGGCCUGCGUUUCCAUAUUUAGUCCUCGAUUCAAUCACAUAUGAUACUUAAACAAUUAUUGUAUAUAAAUAUAUAAUUAAUCUUGAUUCUUACUUUAAUAUGAGAUGCUUCCAGUAGAUCACACCAGCAGCCUCAAGAUUCUCGAGAGUGACAUUCUUCCACAAUUUCCAACGGUCACUAAGUAUGAUGGGUUCAAUCCCGAGUUCUAAGAUGUUUUGGUAAAGAUGCAAAGUCUCCGGAAGCCCGGGAGUUGAUGCUCCGGUCCCUAACCACAACCAGUAUGCCCCCGGGUCGGUCUUCUCUGUCCUAAGAAGCCAGAAGAAAAAAAAUACUUAGAUUUAAAAGAAAUCGCACAGUAGAUAUAAAAAAAAAAACAUUUUGGUCAGUGUCAGUCAACCUAUUUAGAGUUGAAAAUUAUAUACUAUAAAACCGAAAUUUAUCUGUCCAUAUAUAUAUUGACAUCUAAAUAUUUUCAAAAAAAUAUGAAGAUAAUAUUAUUAAUGCAAUGCAAUGGAGGUGGUAUAUGUAGGACUAAUAAUAAUAAUGUGUAUAUACCCGUAUCCAUAUUUGGCGUAGUAGGGAAUACUAGAGAGGAGAGUGUCGUCUAGGUCAAAGAUCCAAACAUUAACGGUGUCGUUCUUUAGGGAAAGUCCUUUGGCAUAGAAAUAAGCCUCUUUGCACACAGUUUUGGAGUCAGAUUGAUAUUGUUUGGAAGUGAUCAAGUAGUCUUCAACAUAGUCUUUGCAAUUUGCGGGCACCGUGUCGAAGUCUAUGAUGUUAGAAGUCUCAACACCAAGGUGCCAGCUUCUGCAGUUGUGGUAGUUGAUGGAAAGUUUCUCUUUCUCUAAGAGUUCGGCUUCGUUCCCAGAGAUGGUGUUCGAAUCGACGAGUUCGAUGAGCUCU
rnacentral:lncRNA from 1 species